CUCACCGAUCUCUUCCAUUCUCCUUCCUUCGUUUUGUUGUGGAUGUAAAAGACCUUCUGCCAUCCAUAAUAAAAUCAGCUUCUCUUUGUAGAAUUGGUGGUCCUGGGGAAAAAUAGAACAAUAAGCAAAACAAUGCUUCAGAGGUAAAGAAAGAUGAUGGUAGCUUAAUAUCAAAGAUGGAAGAAUUUCGGAGCCACUCUGCGGAUGCCAUAUUUCACUUUUCAACACAUCGUCCCAUUCCCUUUUUUCGACCUUAGAAUACAAGAGACAGCCGAGUGCUUUCACAGCCAAAGGCAAUCCUUGGCACUUGUCCACAAUCUGUCUGCCUAUGCGUUCAAGCUCAAGGAAUGCGUUGGAGUCUCGAUCUUGAAAUGCAUGCUUUUUAAACAGGGACCAACUAUCUUCAGAGCUUAAUUUCCCAAGAUGAUGAGUAGGGACUGCUCGCAUGGUUGUUGCAACAGAUUGAUCACGACUGGUCACGACAAUCUUGCUUCCCUCUGCUGCAGCGAGGAGUGGAGUUCGUAGAAUAUUCCAACCUUCACGAUCACUAAGCUCCAUAUAACCUUCAUCACGAGGCUUCAAAUUCCAGACGUCAUCAAGAACAAGCAGAAAUUUCUUGUUACUAAGUUGCUCUUUGAGUUGAAGCUGAAGCAAAUUUAGGUUGUCAGCAGAAGUAGGUGGAGAACGAAUUUCCUCAAGAAUUGUUUUGGUGAGUUUGAUAAGGAGAAACUCAGUGGAAACACAGACCCAUGCUUGCAAGUCGAAGUGUUUCUUCACUUCCUCAUCGUUAUAGAGAAGCCGAGCAAGCGUGGUCUUGCCGCUGCCGCCCAUGCCCACCAUGGACAUCACCCCCAUUUUGUCGCCUGUUGUAUUGUCAGAAAGCAACCACUCCACCAUCUCCUUCUGAAUUUCAUCCCUGCCGACAACAAUGGAGUCAUCCUCCAAAGAAGUGGAUAUUGGUGAUCUUGGUCUUGGUGACCGUUUCUCGCCCCCACCUUCUGCCAGCCCCAACCCAACUUUUUCUAGUGCGAUUUUUUCCAGUAGAUCAAUCAUGCCCCUGACCCUGGACUCCAUGCUUUUGAUAGCAAAUGGAGUCUUCACAGAAGCAGAGAACUUGUUCCAUUUCCACGCCUUAAGAGUUCCGCCGGUUUGGGAGUCAGCAGCUUCCAUCUUGCAACGCAAAGCGUCGGUAGCGAUCUCGUCCAACAGGUCUUCCGCAUCAUACACAGCACCCGUGACAUGGACGAGCCACUCUUUGACAUUUGGGUUUGAAAAUUGCUUCACCUCCGCAUCAUCGAGCACAUUGAGAACAACCACGAGUUUCCUCUUCAACUCGUUGAGGAGUUCAUCGCUAAGGUUCCGUCGCCGAAUGAAGUUUAUGAGCUCUGGAGAAGCCAACCUUUCGAAUAGAACUUGAAGCGAAGCUGAGAGGAGGGCGUCCGCCAUAUCUGUGUCGACUGUUGCUUUGCAAUAGGAAUUUAGAGGAUUGGUUUCUGUUACCGCGAUACCACCAAACUGCAAAAGACUGGGUUUGGAUCACCACACUGCAGAAUGCUUGAAGGAAUCAUUGUUGGUGGUGGACCUAGCUGCCAGAUAUUGGUGGUGGACCCAGCUUCACUGCAGAAUGCUUGAAUACACUGCAGAAUGCUUGAAGGAAUCAUUGUUGGUGGUGGACCUAGCUGCCAGAUAUUGGUGGUGGACCCAGCUUCACUGCAGAAUGCUUGAAUACACUGCAGAAUGCUUGAAGGAAUCAUUAUUGGUGGUGGAUCCAGCUACACUGCGGAAUGCUUGAAGGAUACAUUAUUGGUGGUGGACCCAGCUGCCAAUAUUUGUCAAACACCAUAAUUGAGUGGUGAGAAAAAGAACAGGAAAAGCAAGUGGGAGGUAGAUGCGCUUUCCCCGAGGCGAACGCAAGUGGAAGCUGGAUGGCGCAUGCCCUACAACAACAACAUUCGGUAUUUUUCUUUUUCAUCGACGCAUUUCUUCUUUCUUUCUUCUAGUAUUAUUAUUAGUAGACAUAUGCACACGAAUAUUUGUUUAUAACAUUAUCAUUCAUAAUAUUAUAAAAUUUAUUAUUAAUAAUAUUUAUACUAAUAUUAUUUUUUAAUAAUUAUAUUAGUAUCAUGAUUUUAUAAUUAGUCUCCUUACUUUUAUUGUUUAUAAUAAUAAUAAUAAUUAUUAUUAUUAUUAUAUUAUAUUACGUAUUUUCACAUAAACAAUGAUAUAUGCACAAGACAUUAAAAUUUUGAAUAUUAUGGUUAUUAUUAUUUAAUAAUAAUAUUAUUAUUUGAUUCAAAAAAAGUUUAUAAUAUAAUAAUAACAAAAAUAAAUUUUUUUAAUAAAAUAAAUUAUAAAAAUAUAAUAAUUUUAUUAUUUAUAAAAUAUAUUUAUUUUAAUGUAAUUAAAAAAAUUAAAAUAAUUUUAAAAAAUUUAAAAAUUUUCAAAAAAAGUUAAAUGGAAUGGGAUUAGGAUGGGAUCGAUCCAUCCCAAUGUCAUCCCGUUGUCAUCCUAACUCACCUAAUGAUAAUUAAGGCCAUUUUUUAUCAUUGUUUUUUUAAAAUGGUCUUUUAUCCUUAAUAUAUAUAUAUAUAAUAAUUAGAAAAUAAAACAUAAUUUUUGUUUUUAAAAAUAAAAAAUAAGGCAUUUUUAGAUCAUACCCUUUUAGUUACUUUUACUUGUUUUUAAAAAAUUAUUUUAAAAAGUAAUUAUAUAAAUAUAAAAUAAUAAAAUAAUUUAAAUAAAAAUUAUUUUUAAAAUAUAGAAAAUUAGUUAAGAACACUUUAUCUUCUCAAGCUCUUGUUUUAUAAAAUAUCAUAAAAUAAUUUUCAAAAACUUUUUUUUUUUCACUAUUUUGACAACCUCAACUGGAAUAAUACACAACAAAAAUAAAUAAAUAAAAAUAAAAAGGUCCAAAGAAAGACAAACGUGUCCAGUAAUGCACUUAAAUUCAAUGAACCUAAAAGCCAAAUGUGCAGUGUUGACUUUUCAACCGAGAGUUCACACAUGCCCAUUUUUUAAAGCACUAUUAAUAUAAAAUAUAUAUUUAAAUAAAAAUUAGACUUUUAAAAAAAUUAAAAUAUAUUUUUAAAAUGUUAAAAAAAUAUUUACAAUAUUUCCUUAAAAAAAACAUCUUCCAAAAACAUUUCUUUAAAAAAUACUUCCACCGAUAACAAUUCAGACACACUUGUGAUUUAAUAGUUAAAUAUUCUUUCCAACAGGAAUUCAACUAUCGGUUUGUAUUACCACGAUACCAUCAAACUGCGAAAGACUAAUUUUGGAUUACCAAAAUGCAGAAGAGCUGAAGGAAUCAUUGAUGGUGGACGACCCAGAUGUCCACAUUAUUUGUCAGACACCAUAUUUGAGUGAUGAGGAAAUGAAAGAAAAGCAAAUAAAAAACAAAAAAGGUGAUGCCAAACAUGGUCUUAUAAGGUGGGAGGAGCGAAAGCAACAAAGGAAACUAGCAGGAUUUUUCAUUGCUAUUCCAUACCUCAAAGGACAAAUUUUGAAUUACCAAAAUACAAAAGACUUGAAGGAAUCAUUGAUGGUGGUGGACCCAGAUGUCCACAUUAUUUGCCAAACACCAUAAUGAGUGAUGAGAAAACAAAAGAAAAAGCAAAAAAGGUGAUGACAAACACGGUCUUGUAAGGUGGGUGGAGCAAAAGCAACAAAACAAACUAGUAGGAUUUUUCAUUGCUAUUCCAUAUCUCAAAGGACUAAUUUUGAAUUACCAAAAUAUAGAAGACAUAAAGGAAUCAUUGAUGGUGGUGGACCAAGAUGUUCACAUUUGCCAAACACCAUAAUUGAGUGAUGAGAAAAUGAAAAAAGAAAAGAAAAUGCCAAACAUGGUCUUGUAAGGUGGGUGGAGUGAAAGCAACAAAGUAAACUAGCAAGACUUUUCGUUGCUAUUCCAUACCUCAAAGGAUUGAUUUUGAAUUAUCAAAAUACAGAAUACUUGAAGGAAUCAUUGAUGGUGGUGGACCCCGAUGUCCACAUUAUUUGCCAAACACCAUAAUUGAGUGAUGAGAAAAUGAAAAAAAAAAAAAGUUAAGAAAAAACAAAGAAGUGAUGCCAAACAUGGUGUUGUGAGGUGGGUGGAGCAAAAACAACAAAACAAACUAGUAGGAUUUUUUGUUGUUAUUCCAUAUUGAGAAAAUAAAGGGCUACUCUAAAUAGAUAAAAACACCCAAGAAAGGAGGUGAAUAGAAGUUAAAAAAUUUCUUUUUAAACACAAUAAAAUUAAACACAAGAAGUACAAAUAUAAAGAAGUAAGGUUAUAGAAAGUAAACUCAAAUUUAUAGUGGUUCGACACUUCCUUACUUACAUCCACUCUCCUCAAGCUUCUAAUCGAGUGAGGGUUCCACUUAUACUUGAAGUUUCAACCAAACUUCUUAUCACUUUUUACACUUGGAUUCCAAUUCCAAUGAAGUCUUACACAAUCUCUUCAAGUCUUUACUCACUUGAAGGUUUUAACACUCAAUUAACAAGUUUGAAUCUCUCAACCUAGCUCAACAAUGACUCAAAUACAACUCAAGGCUAGGAUGAAUCACUAAGGUGCACUAAAGAAUAUGCAAAUGAAAAUUUAAUGCACUAAGAAAAUAAUGAGAGCUUUUAUGGCAAUAAUAAGUAGGUAAACAAAUAAAUGCAAGUGUUCUCUUACUCAUAAAUGAAGUAGAGCUCUCAAUUUAUAGGUUUCUAACCUCAGGAACUAAAAAGCCAAAAAACAGUCUCGACUGGUCGAGCUGGGGGUUGACUGGUUCACUAGUCGUUGAAACAUUAAAUGCUUGGCAUGUGACCGUUACCCUCGACCAAACCUUAAUCGAGAAGACAAAUCCAUCAACCAGGAAAGAAAGACUACUAGAAGAUAGAGAAUGUUUUUUACAUCUCUUAACUGGACCUCGACAUAGAAGGAGUAAUCGGUAGACCGGUACCCUAGCUGAUUGAGCCGGUUGGCCAGUGUCUCGACUAGUUCACCAUUUUUAGUCCGAAAACCUAUCUUUUUUUGGUCUUUUUGCUUCUAGCACUUAGGCAAGGACUUUAGAUAAAAUAAUAUGUCAAUUUUGAAAUGUUUUGCCUAAGGUUCAUUUGAUAGAACUCGGAUUUUGAUGGAAAUGUAACUUUAAUGCAUAAACCGAGUUUUAAAGAUGUAUGAAAUGAUAUGAAUAUCUUAAGUACAUUCAUGCAUUCAUCUUACGUAUGUUUCCUAUGAUUAAAAGGUCUUUCAUAAGUCUUGAUCUUGCAUUCAUUAGGUCCUUUAAUGAAUUUCCAAAUUAACACCUGAAAUUCUUUAUAAUUCAAAUCAAUUAGUAACUUAACCAUGAUUUUUUAUCAUCAAAACAUAAUUAGGAAAAUCAUUAGGCUAACACAUACCUUAAAGGACUAAUUUUGAAUUACCAAAAUAUAGAAGACUUGAAGGAAUCAUUAAUGGUGGUGGACCAAGAUGUCUACAUUAUUUGCCAGACACCAUACUUGAGUGAUGUGAAAACGAAAGAAAAGCAAAGGAAAAACAAAAAAAGGUGAUGACAAACAUGGUCUUGUGAGGUGGGUGGAGCGAAAGCAACAAAACAAACUAGCAGGAUUUUUUGUUACUAUUCCAUACCUCAAAUGAUUGAUUUUGAAUUACCAAAAUACAGAAGACCUGAAGGAAUCAUUAACGGUGGAUGACCCAGAUGUCCACAUUAUUUGUCAAACACCAUAAUUGAGUGAUGAGAAAAUGAAAGAAAAACAAAGCAAAGGAAAAAAAACGUGAUGUCAAACAUGGUCUUGUAAGGUGGAUGGAGUGAAAGCAACAAAGCAAACUAACAAAAUUUUUUGUUGCUAUUUCAUACCUCAAAUGACUGAUUUUGAAUUACCAAAAUACAAAAGACCUGAAGGAAUCAUUGAUGGUGGACAACCCAGAUGUCCACAUUAUUUGCCAGACACCAUAAUUGAGUGAUGAGAAAACAAAAGAAAAGCAAAGGAAAAGCAAAAAAGGUGAUGUCAAACAUUAUCUUAUAAGGUGGAUGGAGCGAAAGCAACAAAGAAAACUAGUAGGAUUUUUCAUUGCUAUUCCAUACCUCUAAAUCACCAUAAUAAUAAUAAUAAUAAUAAUAAUAAUAAUAAUAAUAAUAACAAUAACACCAAAUUUUAAGGUUAUUUUUUGUUAUAAAAAAAUACUAGGAAAAUAAAAAAAAAUUAAGGAAAAUGAUUUUUUUCAUAUUUGAUUUCACUAUAGAAAAUAUAAAAGAAAAUCAAAUAUAAUUAAAAUUAAUUUGAAAUUUAUAUAUUUUAAAAGUAUUUAAUCUUUUUAUAAUUUAGAAAAAUAAGUAAAACGAGUUUGAAGAAAUGUAUAAAAAUAAUUUAUUAAAUUUAAAUUUAUUUCUUAUUUUCCUUCAUUUUUUCUUUUCUUCUACUUUUUCUCUCUAUUUUCUUUCCUUCUCAUUUUCCCUCAAAUUUUCCAAGAGCCAAACAUAGCUUAAAGGUUUAGAAUCUUAUGCACAAGACUUUCAAUUUUUUUUACAAUAUUAUUUUAUUAGUUAAGAAUUAAAAUUUAAUGUACCAUAUCUAACACUAACAAAAAAAUUUAUAACAACCGGUCUUAUCUUUUAAGAAUGUAUUGUUUAAAUGAGAUUAAAAAUUAAAAAUAAAUUUUAAUUCAUUUAACAACUAAAUUAAAAUGAAAUUUAUAUAUAUCAUAAAUUUAUACAAUUUUGAAUCAUUUUAUAUGGAGGAUUGAGAAUGGAGAGAUUGAAGAAUUGUUUGGUGACGAGGAGAUUGAUUGAAGAUUUUAUAGUCUUAAGGUUCUAUGGGAUGAAUUUUUUUGUAAAGAGUUUAAAUUUUUGUAAAAAAUAAAAUUAGUUUUAUGUUAUCUUAUUUCAUGGAAAUAUAAAGUUUUAAUUCAAAGAUUAUGUUUCAAAAAUAUUAUUUUUAAAAUAUAUUUAGUAAAGAUUUAUAAAAAUUUAAAAUAAAAUUUAAUUAAUCUAUAAACUAAAUUAAAAUAAUAUUUAUAUAUUAUUUUUAUAGAUUUACAUGUAUAAAAUCUUUAAAAUGCCUCAACUUAAAAUAUCCUUACAAAAUUUCAUUAAUCUACUAGCAAUCCGCCUAUUGUCUCUAUAUAGAGUCUAUUUGCAUUAGGAUGAAUACCAUCAGAAUAAUAAUUACGUUCCACAUAUGACAUAUCUUAGCUUCCACUUGGAGGUUAAAAAUCAUUAUGAAGAUUUGGACAAUAAUUCAAGUAGGCAUCUUUGAAAUUUGACUUCCAAAUCCCUUUGUCAAUAUACACCACCCUAUGACAAUUAAAUAAAUUAGAAGGAAAAAAAAUGUUGAAGGAAUGACAUAAGAAUAAUUUAUGUAUGACUAGAUUUAAAGUUUAAUUAUAUGAGGAAUCCUUCAUUAUGAAAAUAUAAGGAACAAUUAUAUUUAAGGAGUGGAUGGGGUUGAUAAUGACUAAAGGGUACAAAUUUUGCAUAAUUGAACUAAAAAGGUAGAAAAAGUUUGUAGAUUGUUGUGGAAGAUAUAAACCCAUUUUGUGAGUCAAAAAUGCUCAAAAUACCCUUAAGAGUGUUUUAAAAAAAAGGACAAUUAAGUACUCAUGAUAAUUAAUAUAUUAAGAUUUCAAGAAAAAUUAAUAAUAAAUAAAAUCUUUUUCUAAAUCUAUUUAACAGUCAUAUAGUUUUUAUUUUGUUUUAUUUUUUCAAGUUGCAGCUAUUAUCUUAAUUUAUUUUUCAUUUUAAGGUUCAAUUAUUAUUAUUCUUUAUUUUGAUUAAUUAAAUGAAACUGUAUAAGACAUGUUUAUAUUAAUUAACUAAAAAGGAUAGAUUUUUUAGCAAUAGGAUUAAAAUAAAUAAAAACAAGGAAUUUGAUUUUCUUUAUGAAAUAGAUUGGGAAAAGUAUAUUUCGAUACAUUCGUAUGAAAAAAAAAAAUCAUAAAAUAGGAACUCAAGUUUAUAAAAUACAAAUUUUAAACAUCCAUCUAAAAAUAAUUAUCAUUUCAUGCAUUUUUUUUGGGUCAAAUAUAUUAUAUUUGACAAUUUAGGUAUUAUCUUUUAAUAAUAUAGGUACUACCUUCACCUGCAUAAAACUUGAAUUAUUUUUAGAUAGUUUAUAUUAUAUAAUUAGUUAAUCCUUUGAUAUAAAUAUUAAAUAAUUAAAAAAUAUAUCUUUUUUUUAAGAAUUUUAAUUAUAUUUGGCUUUCUUUUGUAUUUUCUAUUGUGUAAACCACAUAUAAGAAAAUCAUUUUCUUUUACAUUUUUUUUCUUUCCUUGAUAAUUUUCGAGAACCAAACAUGACUUGGAGGUUUGGAUAAUAGGGUAUAGAUGCCAGAAAUACUGGAAUGGGUUCAGGUUUUCCAUGCUAAAGGUCUUUAUUAUUAUUUGGUAGCACUUUUCCAAAAUUGUUCCAUUCCCAAAACCACUUAAUUUGCUUAAAUAUUUUUACCUCACGAUAUCAUAACAUUAUAAUGGAAUAGAUUUUGUUGGUGUUCAAAUCAUGUCAACUCAAUUUCCAAACCAUUCGGAUUGUCAUUUGGUGAAAAAUAGAAAGAAAUUUUACUUUAUUGAAAAGCAUUUCAUUUUGAUUUGAAUAUGCUGCAAUGAAAUAGUUACUAAACCAUGGGGUAGCAGAAGAAGUAAUCGAGAAAAUGAAGAAGGAUGUUCAAGAUUCUUUAUGCUGCCAUUGGAGGAGAAGAAUGCUUACACACAGCUACCAAAUAGCAUUGAAGGUUAUCACAAAGAAUUACUCAUUUUAUCAAUUUUUUAGAGUUUUCUUUUCAAUAUUUUUAUGAGUUUUGAUAAUUUUCAACAUUUUAAUCCUUACUUGAUGGCACUUUGCUCGAGUUUCCACCUUGUAUAUCAGGGCAAUCUUAGAUGAGUAUUGAUCAGAGCUCCAAAAGGUUUCAAUUUGCCUAUUAAAGUUGAUGGCCAAGAACCUUAAGAUCAAUCCUAACCAGCUCACAAAUAUAUUUGAGAAUGGAAGACAACAUGUGAGGAUGAAUUAUUUCCCCCUUGUGUGCAUGCAAGAAAGGUUGUGGGCAUUUAUAAACCUAUGAGCAAUGAGGAGUUUUCAAGACUUCGCCUGAGUAGAGGAAACUUAAUGGUAAGAGUACAAUAAGUCAUAUGAAAUUGGAGAAUUGAAAGAGCAUAAGAACCAUGUUUUAUUAGAAGACCUGUGAAAGUUUAAUCAGUCAUGGAACUACUAAGAGGGGAUGAAUUAACAGUUUUCUUAAAUUUUGUUCAAAGUUUAUGAAUUUUAUUUUUUAUAAUUUUUUUUACUUAGAUUGAAACUUAUUAAUCAAGGUAAGAUUUCAGUCACAUCGAGAAACAAACAUUUUAUGUGAAAAGCAACUGAUAAAAUCUUGAGUUUACAGAUGUAAAAACCAUAAGGCCAAAGACUGUAGAACUCCAACCCCAUUGAAUCAAGAAUAGAAACACAAAUUUAUCUACUAACCUACACUAAUCUCUUAUCUACAAUGCAACACCGUUAUAGUCUUAAGUGACUUGAAAGGAUGUGAAUCUUUCUCACAAACUUCAUAAUGAAAUUCAAAUUAGCUUUGAGAGUUUAAGAGUAAUAAUGCAUAGCUUUUGUGUGCGAGUUUUUAAGUGCUCCCCCAAAAGACAUAUUUAUACCCAAGUGAACUUAAGACUCAAUUUAAAGCAUGUAUUUUACUAUAAAAAAAAAUUAAAUACAAAUUUAAGAAACUUCAAGAAUUUUGGAAAGAUAAUUUUAAAAAAAAAUUCAAAGAGAGUCAGAAAAUGUUUCCUUUUUAAAUUCUCAAUUUAAUUUAUUUUCAAAUUUCUUAAGAGUUUAAGAAAUAUUUUCUUUUUAAAUUCUCAAUUUAAAACUCUCUUUUAAAUUAAUUUUCAAAUUUCUUAAGAGUUUAAGAAAUAUUUUCUUUUUAAAUUCUCAAUUUAAAACUCUCUUUUAAAUUAAUUUUCAUGUAAGUCUACUCUAUACAUUUUACAUCGUUAUUCUCAAUUAACUCAAAUGUAACAUCCCCGAUUGAUUUUGCACCAACCUUAAGUCUUCAAAGACAAUGAUUGAGGCAUUUCUUCUCCUAUUUUCUCCGAUGUAGAAAAAAAAAAAAAAAAACUAGAAUAAGGUUAAGGCAUUUCUUCUCCUAUUUUCUCCGAUGAAAAAAAAAAAAAAAAAAAACUAGAAUAAGGUCAAAGCUGGUUUAUAGCAAAAAGUCUUAAUUUGAGUUAGCCUUUUUUUUUUUUCAAAUGAUAUGCAGGUCCAUCAAACCUUCAACUCAAAUUUUUUAUUCAAAGAUCACAUGUGGAUAUGUGAACAAGUAAAAGUUGAGUUUUACCUAACAUAUCAUUUUGAAAAUUAGGAAAUUUAAAAGGUCUUAGAUUGUUGAACUCACCACCCUAUCUAUUCUACAAAACAAGUAGAUUAGCAAAGAAAGAAAUUGUACCCACGAGUAUAGAGUUUUGGGUUAAAACGACCCUUUUGAUGGGAAAAAUAUUAAAUUUAACCACUUUGUCAAACUUAUGUGUAAAAUGGUUCUUUUAUUACCACGUAGGAGUCAUAUCACUAAAAUAUAUACAUAUUUUUAAUUUAAGUUGAAGCCUCAAUUACCAAUUAAGGCUUCAAUUGUCAAUUACGAUUUUAUUUUUUAACCCGAAACCUUACUUGUCAAUUGAGGUUUUAACUAAAAAAUGAAACCUCAAUCACCGACUGAAACUUAAUUUUUUAAUUGAAGCCUCAAUUGAUAAUUGCGAUUUUAUUUUUGAACUGAAAUCUCAAUUGUCAGUUGAGACUUUAUUUUUGUGGAAGGAUUACGUGACACUCACGUGACUAGAAAAAAGCCAUAUUGAAUAUUAGUUUCAAAAGUGGCUUAAAAGAUAUAUAUUUAUGAUCAAAGAUGCCAUUUUGACCCAAAAUCCCAUGGGUGCAUGAGACUCUAGUUAAUCAUAGAUUUCAUAAAUAAAAAUAAGAGUUAGGAUGAUUCAACCCCAAAGCAUCAAGAAUUCUUUAACAUAAUGUUAGAACAUUUUCCAAUUUAAAUUCGAGAGUUAACUUUAUUUGAAUAUGCUUUUGAUUUUUUUUUCUUUUUUUAAAAUAAGCUUCAGUGUUUUUUUCAUAAAAAAAAAAAUAAAAAUAGGAGCUUCUAUAUAGAAAGAAAAAUUUUAUCCAACAAAUAUAAGGCUCACCUUAUAUCCUUAUAAAAAAUUUAAAAUUCAAAAUUUUUUAAUACCUCAAAAUUUUUAAUCAAUAUUUAAAAAUCAUUAUAUUUUCAAUAUGAUCCUUUAAAAGUUUAAAUUACCUAUAUUUUUUAUUUUCAAAAAUACAAAAAAAAGAAUGAUUUUUUUUUUUUGUUUUUUAAUUAUUAAGAUGAAUGAAAUAAUCGCAAAUUUGCAAAAAUAACUUCUUCCAUGUUUGAAUUUGAAAAAUAACUCAUUUCCAAUAUAAAUACUCUUCAAUAUUUGGAUUAUUUUAAUAUAAAUUUUAGAAGAAAGUGUUACUUUGACGGGAAAACAUGAAAGACAUUUUUAUUAAAAUUUGAUCUUUUUUUAAGGCUAAAAUAUAUGUAGGUUUAUAUUUACAAUUUGAGACCAUUUCGUCCUCUUAAUCAAAUAACUUAAAAAAGAAAAGAGUUAAUUCCACAAGUGGGUUUAAAAUACUCACAAAAUUGCAAAAUAUAUCUAUAUAUAUAUAUAUAUAUAUAUAUAUAUUACCCUUACUUAAUCAAUUCGUGUGUUGAGCACAUGACACUUCCGUUCAUUAAAGCUAACACCGUUAAAUAACAAAUGUACAUUGUAGCUAUUUAAGAAGUAUGAAGGGCACAUUGCUUAAUUUUAGUACAUGGUGAGAAACUUGUUGAACAAGUUAUGUGUAAAGUUUUAUGGUUCAUGUAUGAUAGGAAAUAUAGAUCUACUACAACACUGGAUUUGCAAUUUGGGUUAAUAUUUAAAGAAAAGACAAUAAGACAAAAAGAAUUAAACUUUUGGUGGAAAACAAUAAAGAAAGGACUACAUGGAAAAAGGGAAGAGAUCAUUAUAAAGGAAGAUUAUUGAAUAGAAAUAAUUCCAAGAACAUAAGGCAAGACAUAGAGUAUCACUACUACUAUCACAAAAAGGGCUAUAUCAUAAAAUUUAUGAAAUUUUGAAAAAGACCUAAAAAAUGAAGACAAAAAAAAAAAAAAAAAUCAAAGAAGCCUACAAGUGUAACUAGUGUUCUUAAAGUUAAGAAAUGAAGGUAAUAAAUCAAAAGCAGAUUUGUUAAUAGUUUUUAAAAUGCUUGAAUUACAAAUUGUCUACUUGUACCAUACGAGCCCUUGUAAAAACUGGUUUGACAUGUAAAUUGUUUGUAAAAUCAUUUUAAUGGGCAAUGAUGCACCAAGUUGCUCUAUGAGAAGCGUAGGGGUUUGCGAAACCAUCGCUUGUCGUGGCAUACAUCGUUGGGGAAUGACGGAUGAGGGCAUCCAUGGGAAGCCAAUGUCUACCCUCACUCCACACCCCUCUAGUACAAGGCUCUGGGAGGGAGAGAGGCAACAAGUGUGUGACACUAAGGUAAAUAUGCCCAACCUUAUGGCUUUGGGAGCAACGUGCGUUUAAAGACUUGAUAAUUCACAAAAUUCUACAAUUCAUACCAAGUAUUGCAUUUAACGACGUUCUUUAUCAAUGAGAGAGCCUAGAUAUCCAUUGUCAAGAAUUAUUUAUGUAUGAAAACAACAACACCUAACCGACAUGCCCAAGAUCAAGGCAACUAGAAGCUCAAGUUACUUAGUGCGUUUUGUGCCGAAGUUUGUUGUUUACUCAAGAGGGCUUUGUGAAUAUUUGUAAUAAAGGGAUAAUACAGAGUGAGCCGUAAUUUAGCAUCUUACACGCUCAGUUUCUUCCAUUGGUGGCAUAUAUUAUUUUGUUUGUCAUUGAUGAUUAUUUAAUAAAACUAUGAGAGUAUUUCAUGAAAUAUAAAUAAGAGGUUUUUGGGAUAUUUAAUCGAUGGUAAACAAAAGAUGAAAACUAAGUAGGGAGGAAGAUAAAAUAUUUUAGAUUUGAUAGUGGACUUGAGCAUUAGAACAAAAAGUUCACAAAGUAUUGUGAGAAUUCUUAUAGUACUUAACAUUUCACAUGUAUAGAAAUUACAAAGCAAAAUGGAGUGGUUGAAAAAUGAAUAGAACACCAUUGGAAUGACUAGGUGGCUAAGAUUAACCAUUCGGUUACUUAAGAAUUUAAGGGUUAAAGCUAUCAACAUAACUUAUCAUGUAAUUACUUAGUUGUCAAGUUUUACAAUUAUUUUCAAUAUUCCAAAAGAAGUGUCAAGUAAAUCAAUUGACUUUUCAUCUAUUGAAAUAUUUGAUUGUUGCACUUAUCUUCAUAUAUAGGUGAAAAAAAAAUUCAAUCCAAAAUAAAAAAAAGGUAUAUAUUCCUUGGGUUUGAAAAAAGGAUUAAUUAAAGACUGUAGAUUUGGGGAUCCAACAAUUAAAGGAAAAAAAAAAGUGGUGAGUAGAGAUGUAUUCGAUGAAAAACAUAUGUUAAAGAAAGAUCAAGGACAAAUGAAAUUGUUAUUGAAAAAAAAUUCAACUACAUGACCAAUCAUCGAGAUGAAAUUUGAGGAAAAUGUCGUUAAAUACGGAAAUGAAAUCCCUCCUAAUCGAUGUCCCUAUUGGAACUUUAUAUGGGCAUCUUUCUCUAUUGCUCUAAAGAAUCAUCGGAUUGGGUAAGGACAUCAAUUUGAAGAUUUUUAUUUUUUUUCAUUAUUUAUUGGAAUAGGAGAUCUUUAAAUUUUUUUGGGGCACAAUUAGGAGGGAUGAUAGUUAUCAAUGUCUUGGUGCUAUGUCAAAUGAGAAUCCAAUGCACAUGUUGACUAAAGUUGUUCUUAAGGAUAAGUUCAAGCAUUAGUUGAAUGUCAUUAAUUUUUCAUUUUGUAGAACAUGGAAGGUCAAUUUUAUUGAAGAGCUAGGUUAGUCAACUUCUAUUAGGACUUCUAUUGAUUCUUGAUUUGACUAGAGGGGCUCCUAGCAGUAAACUUGUAUGGAGGGGCCCUAUGGAGACGCAAGAGAUGCAAGAGCUGCCAAUCGGAUCGACCAAUAAAUGAUAGGCCCAUACAGAAAUGUCCCUAAAAUAGGGGAUUGGUUGAUUGGAAAGCUUAGGCAGAGUAUAAAGGAGAACAAUUUAGCAUUUUGGGAAAAGCACAUAUGAAGAUGUUUACAAGUUUGGAAAAUUGAGUUAAAGAAGAGAUGGUCUAAAAAUGUUUCAAAUUUCAAUUUUAUGUUUUUCUAAGUUUGAUAUAUCCUGUUUGGAUAUUUGGGAAGUCUUCUCUUGUUACAUAAGAUAGUCCUAUGAUGAGAUUUGUUAUGAAAAUAGGUUCUUCAUCGUGUGAAAUAUUCCUAUGAAAUUAAGAAGGAAUAUAGGAAGAGUUUUGAUUGAAAUUAUGAAUCUUUUUUUAUGUAAUUAGAACUAAAAUAUGAGAGUUUUAAAAUUGUAAUUACACCUUUGAAUAUAAAUAAUUGAUAAUAGUGAAUUAAUUUACCUUCUCCCUCUAGAUGUAGGUAAAUGCUAAAUUAUGUUAAAUCUUGUAUUCUCAUAUGAUUUUUUUUUUCAUUUAUUUUUCAUUUUCUUGCCCAUUUCUAACUUGCUAGUUGCUACUACAUAAUAACAGGUGGUAUCAGGCUUUUUGUGUUUGCACAACAAAUGGUCUCAGUUUUUCUAGCACCACAAAAAUGAUAUUUUACUUAAUUGCUCCUCAGUGGAAAAGUUGGAAAGAAAAAUUAAAUCAUCGACUAUACAUUUUUUUUUUUUCAAAACUUUUCUUGUCUUUGGCAAGAAAAUUAGUAUAUGAAGUAUAAAAGAAUUAGAAAAUAUUCAAAUUUUAAAUGAUUUUUAUUAUACUUUGUCCACUUCCUAUUUCAUAUAUCAAAUUACAAUAGAAUUUAAAAUUCUUUUAUAUGUUUUUUCUCCCUUUGCUACCACAUAAAUGCAAAGACAUUAUGUGAGUUAAAUACCUUAAAAGAAAAAGAAAUUAAAAUGUGAUAGAAAACAAAAGUAACCUCUUUAAAUUCAAGGAAACAAAACACUAAACUUUUUCAUGUAUCUUAUUCCAUUUAUAAAUGCAACAUGACAAAAAUAGACAAAAAUAUAAAUGGGAGCCCUUCAGGUCCUUUAUUUUAUAUUUUAUUAACUUCAACCAAUUCUAUUUCUAUAGCACAACCGAUGUUAUAAAGUUCAAUGAGUAUAUAAUAUAUAAAGAUACUAAUCAAUACGAAUUAUUCUUUCCUUCAAAUGGCUACUUGUAUUAAAAAUUAAAUGUAAUUCCUCCUAAACAAUAAAAUAUGUUGACACGAUUUCAAUGAAUAUACAGUACAUAAAGAUAUGACCAAUUAGUACGAAUUAUUCUUUCUUUUAAAUAGCUACUUGUACUAAAAUAUAAGUAAACGUAAUUCCUCCUAGAUAAUAAAAUAUGUUGACACGAGGAGGAAUAUAUUUACUAAUUAUAUCAUUUGCAAUAGCCUCAAUCUAGCGACGUUCUUCGAACCAACCAUAGACUUUAUUGAGAUAGGUUAACCAAGGGAGCUCCCACUCUCAUAACUCGUAUAUGAAAAUUUCAUCUUGUACAACUCAAAUAGAAACCCAUAAAUACUGGUUGAAACCAAAAUGUAAUAAAAAAUAAAAAAAAACAUAUUUCAAUGGAUCCAAUUAGUAUUUUUCCGAUCUCACAAACAAAUUUUUCUUCAUUUUGUUUUUUUUUCAUUAAUCUUUGUAAGUAAAUUAUAUUUUAAUUUAACAAAGCACUAAACUUUAAUUUUCAUGCAGGAUCAACUAGCUUUUCAUAAUAAAAUUUAUCAAUAUAGCUGAGCAGAGAUUUGAUGUAAUAAUACCAUACAAAAUUCAAGUAAAAUUAAAUUAAUCAAAUAGGACACUAUGGUUAUAUUUGGAUACAUAUUCUAUUUUUUAUUUUUAAAAUUAAAAUUUUGAUAUAAAAUAUGACAACCCUUUGUAUAAAAAAUAAAAAUUUAUCCUAUAAUCUUAAAACUACUUUUCAAUAUUUAAAAAAAAGAAAAAAAGAGGACGUGUCCUAAAAUUUUAAACAAAUUUAAAAAUAUUUUUAAAUACCCAAGAUAUCCACUUUUUUCUUUUUUUAAUAAAAAUUCCUAUAUUUUAAUAAAACUCUAUUUUAAAAAAUGAAAAAUAAAAAAUGUAUCCAAACAUAAGCUAAAUUGUUAGAUUUUAUUGUGAGAUUUCUUAGAUUCUACAAUUCAUAGUGAAAUGAAGAUGAGAGAUAACCGACUGAACUAUGAAAAAAAAAAAAUUAACAUUGAUGAGAUUCAAAAAUGCUAGUUAAUGAAAGAGUUUCUCCGCCAGGAUGACUAAGAAAAAUGCUGAAAUAUGUGUCAUGCCCAAAGCAAUGUUACAAUGAAGAAUAGAAUGAGAGCUAACCCGAAACAAAAUCCGACAAUCGCCAUGAAAGCCUGGAUGCAGAGGAAAUGUAACUAGAGACAUGUAAGGAAUCAUUAAGCAAGUGAGAACAAUAUCAAAAUCUCAUGUACGACUUACCUUUCCCUGAGAUUCAAACUUGAAUUUUACUGUAAACCAUGACAAUCCUCUAUCUACAAUAGGAGCAAGUGCAAGGGCCCUGCAUGAGAAGCACCUCUACAAAAAUCACAGAAAACCCAAAGGAAAAAAAAAAAGAUUAAAUAAAUAGAAACUAGUCUACCAGAAACCAGGAGGCUGCAACAAAUAAUCUCCAAAUGUCAGAUUUAAUAUUUAUUUACGAAUGCCGCUAAAAGGCCUUUUCAUCAGAGAAAUCUAAAAUAAAAAAGUAUAAGGAGCCAUUUGGAUUACAGAGGUCAAAGAUUGGGUUGGAUAGGAGCAAGUUUAACCUCUCAGUAAAAAUGAAAAUGCAAGGCCCAUCAUCAACGCUAGGUUCAAAAAUUGACACCAUUUCUUGAAGACUUUCUUUUUUCAUUCUUCAAUUGUCAUUUUGAUUCAAAGAAGCGGCAGCAUGAUAGACUAAACAAUCAUCAUAAACCCAGUUGCAAGUUAUAAGGAUAAGAAAGAAAAUGAACAAAAAACAUAUAUGAGAGAACUGAUAGGCCAAAAAAAUCAUUGUUGAAGGAAUCGAGCAUAAAUCUCUGAACAAAAUUUAGCUGAAAUUCACUGAUUUUGGGUUAUUUUGUGAUAAGAGCAUUGCAAUAUCCCAAUAAACUGUUACGCUAACUAAAGAUUUAAAACAGAAUUUAGCUGCUUACCCUCCAGCUCUGACAAGUUUAGUGACCUGGCUGCCUGCCCACACCAUAGCCAUGAUUUUGACAAAUCUGCCAAUUGGAUUCCAUAUGUCAAGAUAUUUUGAAAAACUUGUGCAAAAAGAAACUUUUUGGAAUAAGUUUUUACCUUUCAACUGCCGCCAAAUAACCCAUCCUUCCUGGUGCUGGAGCAAUAUAAAACCUAGAAGCAGCAUAGUGAAUUCAGAGUUAUACUGGUUAUUUGAAAUCUACUCUGAACACCUAUGAUAGAGACUGCAGGAUGUGGUAAAACACUAAGGCAUAUUUCAAACUACAUUAUAAGGUAUUUGAUUAGAAAAUUAAAUAAAUAAAUAAAUAAAAUAACAUAACAUAAAAUACAAAAAAGAAAAAAAAAAUUAACAAACUGAAUUUGUCCAUAUGCAACAAUAUGCAAUUGUUAGCCAUGAAUCCCAGUUAUGUCGGUUUCCAGUAUUAAUAAUUAAGCAUGAUGUUUAUGAACUAGACCAGCAUUCUAAUAACUCUAGAUUGAAGGGCAUGGAUGUCACAUUUGUAUUCCAUCAUGUGCAACUAACAUCACAUUGAAAUAAUAUCCACUAAAGCAAGUUAAGACCCAGUAUAUCAGAUUAAAAUUUUCUACCAUGAAUAUAAGCUUGAUAAAAAUGAAGAUGGAAAUGCAAUACUUCUUUAUAUGACAUAAUGAAGGGAACCAAAUACAAGGACUCCCCAUUCCAGAUGCAGAAAGCCAAGUUACAACCUUUGCCAAAUAAAGAGAUCCACCAUAAAUUCAUUUUUAGACAUGCUAUAGUUGAAUAUGCCAUCAAUAAGUGAUCAAAAGCCAAUUCAGAUGGGAAUAACAGCCACAAUGUUGGGAAGGUCAAUAACAAAAGCAUUGACUUGAAUGUUGGCAGUGUCAUUUACACUGGCCAUAAGAACCAGAGGUAAUGCAUACAGUUGGUAAGGUAGUGAGAAGGGGAUGAGAAAUUGAAAAUUCUUGAAUUUAAUUGUUUCAUGCAAUUCCGUUUUCCAAUACUCUAUACGAUAAUAUACAUUGUACAGCACAAGAAUAGGGUUGUUUUAAAAUUUUGAACAAAUAAAAAUUUCAUAUCAAUAUCUAAUAUUUAAUAAAAAAGAAUGAAACAAGAGUAAGUACAUUCUCUUCUCCUUAACAUGGUAUUAAAGCAGUCUCCAAAUUCUUAACUCCUAGUUGCAAACUUGAUUUGCACUGGAAGUUGCAGUUUGCUCAUUUUGUUAUUCAAGUAAGUUACUUCAAUCUAUCAUAGUUUAAAUGACUUGGGAUGGUAGUUGUCAUGGGCACGAAUUUUCCCACAAAUUUUUCGCAUUCACGCAGCGCUUAGAAGCCCUCUAAGCCAACAUACUCAAACCCACAUGAGAUUGCAAUCAAGAAAAAACUCACAAAGACACACAAGGCUAUGGAGCUCAAUCCCUAACUUGUAUUUUAUUUCUUCUCUAAAUAACAAUACAAGACAUAGCUUAACAAGACUUCCACAAUCUCUUUGGUGAGUUCAUGCUCUCUCUCAAGCUAUGUUUUAAGAAAGUUCCCCCUCUCAAUAUACCUCUGUAUAUUCUCUAUGAUCUCCAGAUUGCACGAUAAUUCAAAGGGCACUCCAGUCCUCCUUUUAUAGGUGUGACACCAACCACUCCCUAUUUGAUAAGGAGCAAGGAAUCCUAGUUCUACUCAAACUACAAUUAAAAUAAGAAUCUAAACUCUUAUUCAAACUCAAAUUACAAUAACAAUUUGAAUUCAACUCUGAACUUUCAAAUGUCUUCGGCCCAUUCCUCAUUCAUUUGAAACUCCUUGUAUCAGGCCACAUAUCAGCCCUUCAAUUCCCUGGUUUGUGGUGCAAUACAUCUUCCUUAAGCUUGUCCCAAUGCCAAGACAUCUUUGUUGUGUUCUGCCUGAAGUCUACCCACUCUUGUGCCUUGAGUCAGUCCAUUCAUGCAUUUGAAUCAGCUGAUGCAUCUGAUCAGCUUGCUAUAGCGUCUCUAGGCAGCCUACUACAUGUGUCUCUAUGCAACUAGUGUGCAUGCCAAGCCCUCUCUUAGCCUACAGAUCUAGCAAUUUUCCUUGGUGCCAAUCUUUCCUUUGGCUGUAACCCCUUGUUGUUCCUUGAGCGUGUCAGUCAUGCUCAUAUGUGUUCCCGCAUCUGGAUCACAUCCAUGCUGAGGCAACCUGCCCAAGUUUGCUCUGCCUAGCUGUUGUUAUGGCAUCAUGCCAUGCCCAAGCCCUCUUCUUGGUGCAGCAACGAGUCAUGGCAUUGCACCCAUGACUCCUCAUCUCUAUGCACAAGGCAUUGUGCCUUUGUGCUAAGCAUUAGGCAUCACAUCUGAGUCGGCUUCCCUUAUCUCUAUGCACAAGGCAUUGUGCCCUUGUGCCAAGCCACCUCAUUGCACAAGGCAUUUCCCCCUCAUGCUACCAUCGGGAAGGGAAGACUGCAUAGCACCCCAUGUCGUUGCAACCUUGAGUUGCACACCAUCACAUGUCAUGGAGCCCAUAUAUGGUUGCUAGCAAGGCUUGCCCAUGUGCCUUGCUCAUGUUUGAGGACUUGCACCAAAGCCCCUAAGUGUGGCCAUGCCCAUGCCACCUCGUCUCCCUUGAGUCACCCCCACCCUCACCCCCCUUAAAAGAGCAUUUUAAGCCCUUUUAAUUAAUUCAAGAAAAUCUAGAAAAUUCCGCUUCCACUUGGAGUCUCCCUUUUGAAGGUUCCUAUAAAUCUUUUAUCUCUAAGCAAAUUAACCAAGUCACUUAAUUGUUUUGCAACAUUCCUUCCCUUCCCUUAGUGUAUUUCAAGAUCUCUUAAUGAACAAGACAAUUGGUGGAGGGCAUGAAGUAAAUGGAAUUUAUCACCAUAUUGGCCCACCUCUUACUCCAAUUGCUCUACGUACUUCCAUUUCUUCUAUGUAGUGGCACACCUUUCACUUCGCAUCUUUAGCAUAUGGGACUUCUAGUUAUAUUGGACUCCAAGUUAAAGCACCAAGUUUGUGAGUCAAGCAAAUAGCAUCACCAUAGUGUUGUUCUAGUCCUUUUUGUUCUAUAAUCAAUAAGAGGAGUACUAGUCCUUUUCAUCUUGUUCAUUUAGACAUUUACAGUUUAUGUAGUGUUGUUCCUAAUGUUGAACUAAACUUUUUUAUUGCUAUUUUAUUAAUUAGAUCAAUGAAAAUGGUAUGAGCAUAAAGAGGCUGAAUAAUAGGUACUAAUCUCUUAAAAAAACCUAUCUUGUAGAAACAUCAUCAGGUGACUAUGCACAAGUAAAUGGUCUGAAAAGGCGUGAGAAAAACAUUCAUUUUUGUGCAACAACCAAGUAUUUGCAUCUUAAUCAACCAAAGAAUAAAUGGCUGAAGACAAUAAAUGACUGAACAAAAAGAAAAUCAUAAGUUUUAGGCCAGACACUUUUUUCAUCAAUUAUAUACAACAACAAUAAAUCAAAUAGUCCAAAAUUUCAAAAGAAUAAUGCUCAGCAGCUAUGCAUACUCACAAGUCACAAAUACCUCAUCCUUGACUAAUUUACAUGAAUGAAUUAUUUACUUACCAUACCAAGAGAAACGUUGUAAGAUAGUAUGCAGUAUUCAGGAGUCCAUAGGAUAAUAUUCCAGAAAUUCCAUAUCUCUUCAGUUUCUUUAGAAGACUGAAAGGUUAAGCAAGAAUGAGCUCUCAAUGUAAGUAGACAUGCAUUUCAGCGUACAAAGGGCAAAAGGAUUGAGGUAUCACUUCUUACAGAUUGUUUGCAUGAAAUUCAGUAGUAGAAGAGAAAUUAAAAUGAUUGGGACAAGAUCACUCAUCCAAACAAUAGUUUAUUUACAUAGAAAAGGUCUAAAGCAUAAUCAUGCAGUAGACAAAAUGAAUCUUUUGUGUCAUGUUCCAAUAAUGUUAACAAACUACAUUAAAUUUGUAAGGUUACAUAGAAAAAGAAAGAAAAGACAUUGUUACAAUAGUUUGGUUGUUACACUGCUAGCACCCAGACUACGACCAAAUCCUUGCAUUGAAAUUGAAUUUCAAACUCCCAAUGUGAAAAAGGAAGAUACAAAAAAGAAAAGAAAAACAGGAGGAAAAAAAAAAAAAGAGGGAAAGAAAAGAAACAUGGGAUUUCCAUGUAUAAUACAUACAUAUUAUAUCUAUAGAUAAAUGCAUGCAUGUGCAUAUGUCAUAGAGGCUGGUCAAACACAUUUCAAGAAGUUUGACAACUUGCUUUGGAAUGACAAACACGUGGAUCAAUAAAUGGCUUGUCUCCAUUAUUGAGAAAUUGCAGGUAAAUUUCAUCCACUACAGGCAUGGGGUGGCUGGACAAAGUUAUGCCAUUUGGUGGGAUGUAGUGGACUUAAGACAGAAAAUUCUCAAUCAUUCUUCUGUCCCUUGUGCAGUGUUGAAGCUGACAAUAUUAUUGAGCAUACAAGGAAUGUGAUGUAAAACAUCAUUGAGGAGCCAUGAGCUGCGAAUGCAGGGAGAAAUUAAGUUACAAUUAAGUUUUGGUGAGGGAUUUUCAGAUGCAGAUCAUAUGGCAAAUUAACUUCAGAGAAUUGCAUGUUUUUAUUCAUUUCCAUACACAUUGAAUAAUCAUAUUUAAAAUCCCUCAUUCACUUGUUUCGCUUCCAUUAGUGCUCCUUCCACAUGUGUAUUAGCAGCACAGACCUCAUGAUAGUUUUGUAAAGGUAAGACAAUAAAAUUGAAAAAUACAGCUAAAGCCUAAAAUAUUGGCUCAUAAAAAGAGAAACCAUCCAAGUUCUAUCUUAAAUGACUCUACAAGUUCUAAACAGGGAGACAAGGACUUCAACCUGGUCCAUCAAUGCAUAUAAAUGGGUAAACAUUCCAACAACCAUUACGUUAGAAGUACACUAAAAGAAAAUUAUUAAACAAUGUUGUUUCCAAAAAAAUUCCAUGUUAAAGAAUAGAAGAACAUACCGCUAUAAAUGAAAUUCAUUCAAAACAGUUCAAACAGUAAAGUUAAGAAUUGUGACUGCAUAUUUUUUUUUAAAAAGAAACAAGAAUUGUGACUGCAUAUCACCACACUUGUUUUAUUUAUAAUCCACACAAUGUAUUCUUCCCUAGCAUGUUAUCCCAUUAAGUAACCUCCAGAUAAAAUUCCCUUUCUGACUCUGUCAAUCAGUCAAAAAAUUUGAUGUAAAAUGUAAAAUACAUGGGUACACAAAAACAACUAUAUAAACUGCCAUCCCAUUAUUAAUAAAUCAGUAGGUCUAUAACAUAGACUAAUAGCAUUGUAAGGCAAGUAGGAAGUACUCUUUUGAUGUGUGCAGUUCUCCUUCACCAUUUUCGCCCUUUGCACUUGAGUCUAUAAAAAUAUGUAUAAGUAGAUUUUUAGAAAUAUCAAGUUUAUCAAAUGUAAAAUAUGGUAUCACAGAAAGCUACACCAUUUUUCUAGUUAUCAUUUGAAAGAUAUUGAUACCUUCAUGGUUGGCAGAGUAGUCAUGACCAUUUGACAUGCCAGAAGCCUAACCUACAACAAAGGCAAUGUUGAAAAAGCAAUAUUCAAAAUUCAAUGAAAAAAACAGAAGACAAACAAAUGAACAAAUAGCAAAUCAUCACACUCAAUUGUUUUCCAAAAAUGAAAAACCAAAUGAAAGGAACAAGGAAUAUAUUGAGAAAAAAACCUAUGAUCAAUGGAUAUGCAGUUGCAUUCUAGCACAUAUAGAGGAUCAAACAAGUAACUAAUCUAGACAUAGCUGCAACAAAUUUGUGUAUCUCUGAAUGCGUGUCUGCUUUUUGUGGGGGGAUAUUUAUUAUGACAUGUUCUUAGUGCAGACAAACCAUCUGCAUUUACUUGAGGAUUAGGUGAACAUACUUUCCAUUUAAAAUGAGGCCUUGAACAUCAAGCCUCGGUGAGUUUUCAAAUAAGGAAAAUGUAAUAGCUUUACAAUGAGUCCCAUAGCAAGAAGGCAUAUAAUUCCAUUCAUCAGCAUACCAGAAUAUAGAAUAGUGUGGACAUGUGGACACAUGCCAGAAUUAGCAUUGGACACACUAACAUGCCAGUCAUGCAUAGAAAGAAUUUCCAAAGAUAUUAAAGUAAAACACUGGUAGUAAGCAAAUUAGACCCUGAAAAACAUGCAAGUAUAGGCCAAGAUCAAAUCUUAAUUUUAAUUUCCAGAAAAAUAAAUAAAUUAUAUCAACCAAUAGAAAUGGUAUCACCAGCAAUUAACACCAAAGCACACCAACAUAUCGGAAUGCAUAACACGUGUACCCAUCUCCAAUCAGCAUUACACCUGUACAAGUUAGCCUGUAGCAGGUCAUAAUAGGUUCAGACUAUAAAACCUUCCAAAUCUUCCUUUGCAGGGCUUAGAAACCAUUUUCUAAGUAAUUUGCAGUUUUAAAAGCCUGUGACAAAAUUUUGGAUGAAGAGCUUGAACUAUAUACUCACAAACCCACUCCAAAAUUUCCUUAAGGUAAUACACAUUUUUUGAAGUCCUUUCCAAUGUCUUCUCUUAUUUGAGUUAGAAAAGCCAAUGUUUUUAUGAAUUGACUACUACGGCUGUUGAGGUUUGAGGUGUAUAACUAAUUUCUUAAUAUAUCAUAAUUUACAUCAGUCAUUAGAAAUUAAGGUUCCAUCCUUUUACACUAAGAAAAUCCUGAGAGCAAUUAAAAAAUACCUUCUUUUAUAUUAUUAAAUUUAAGUUUCCUUUAGGUCUUUGAGUCUAAUAGAAAUUAGUGUAAAAGGAAUUUUAAUUUUCUUACACUAAGAAAAUAAAAAUAAUAGGCAAAAUAAUUUUCACAUUUUGGAACUUUAUAGGUAAUGCUUAUUAAAAUAAAGCAACAAAGUUUGUCAUUUGCCAUUGAAUGAACCAAUUGUGGAAAACUAUGCAAAAAAUUUUAUUAGUAUGGAAUUUUUUUUUUUCUGCCAAUAUAUAGAAUUCAAUUUCAAACCUGCCCCUCCCAACCCACCACUUGCUGCUUGAGGCAAGCUUAGAGGCAGAAAAAUAUUUGCAAUUCUACGUAUGGAUAAAAAUUAUUUCUUAGAUUUUAUGCCAAUUCCAUAUUUAUAGGUAUCAAUUUAUUAUUCUACUGUUGUCAGAAGCUUCAAUUUUGGGCGUCCUCAUGGCUAUGCCACCCUUAAAUGAGAACAACUUUGGUCUUCUGUUUUUCUUUUUGAGCUCUUCAAAUUUUUGCAAGUUACUUCUAUCCAGGUUCUAGGAAACACCCAUUUUUUUAAAUCUCCAAUAAUUUAGGGUUCUGUGGCUGAGGGAAUAGACUUAUUUUUGGUUGAAGCACACAAAAUUCUUGGCUAUUUUUUUUUUUUUUUUGGCAUCAGGUCCUUUUAGGUUGAUUUUUCUACUUAUUUUUCACCCACCAAUUAACAUUGCCCUAACUCUAUUAUCUACCCGAGCAAAUGUUUAUGAACUAGCAAAUCAUACUAAAAUUUCUUACUAGUUGACAUGUGCAUCAUCUCAGCAUGUCAUUCCAACACCAAACUACAACCAUAAUCUCACUAACAUCCUAACUGCCUCAAUGAGUAUGGAUUACAGAAAUACAAUUAAAAUAUACUUCCCUAUUUAAUUUCAUAAUUUUUAUAAUAAUAUUUCGGCAAUAUUUCCACAUAGUAGCUUAUGUGGGAACCCUAGGAAUGCUGGGAUUGAAACCCUGGAUUGAAACAAGAGGAUUGUGAGAGAGAAUUGGAAAUUGAAGAAACAAACACAAAAAAUAAAUCCAAGAAAUAAAAAAGAAGCGUAAAAAUGAAAUAGAGAAGAGUGUGUAUGACGCACCUGAUGAUGUGAAAGCAGCUUCAGCUGGUGAAGGCAAACUUUCGACGGGAGAGACAUGAGCAUACCGGCCUCCGACAACAAUCCCUCCAAAAUAUUCUUUCUAUACCAUUUAUUAUUAUUAUUAUUAUUUUCAGGUUAUUUGAAGUGUAAUGUCUAGCUAUACCAUUUAUUAUUGUUAUUAUUUUCAGGUUAUUGAAGUGUAAUGUCCACCAUGAAGCCCUUAGAACUCUCCAUGGACCCUAAAUCUCGGGAUGCUAAUCACCCUAUAAUAACCAGCAUAGAGUAUAUUCAAAGUAUCAUUAAUGACAAAUUUUGAACUUAGGACCAUAUGUCAUUUACAGAGACCACACUUCUUAAUGUUCAUCCUUAGCGACAUACUCAUAUAUACCAAAUUACCCGAUAAUAUGCUUUUCCUAUUUUCUCAUUUUUAGAAAAAAAAAAAAAAAGAAUAACUUCUAUUUUUAAAAAUUUAAUUUUUUUUUAUAAGUAAAUUUUUGUUCUCAUUAGGACAUGUGGAACCUCCCACAAGUCCUCUUGAAUCCUUUACCACUUGAGUCAUGCCUUAAUGGCUUGUUUUUUUAAAAAAUAAUAACAACUUUUAUAUAAAAAAAUACUUAUAAAAAAUAUAUACAUGUCAUUAAAAGUCUAAAAAAAUAUAACUUUGUUAAUAAUUUUUAAAAUAAUUUAAUGUGUUAAUUGUUCUUAAAAACUAUAAAUAACCUAGAAAAGAAUAGUAUGUUUGACCAAAUUGUUAUAUGGUUUUAAAUAGUCACCUUAACAAUGUUACAAGUGAGUUGAUUAAUUUAUGGUAGAGAAGAAUUACAAUAGAAUUCAAUUAGUUAUCGCAUUUGAAGUCUUUGAUUAUUUGUUGAAUAAUAUUUGCAGCCAAUUAGAUAGGGUUGGCUAACCCAAGCCAAACCUACUUACUAAUAUGUCCAACCUAUGCUAAACUCGAUUCAAAGUUAGGUUGGUAGUUACUAAACUCAUUGACAACUAAAGUUUCUAUGGAUUCCCACGAGUUUUCAUGGAUUAUCAAAUAAACCACAUAUAAUGGAAUCUCCUAAUAUAUAAAAGACAUAUUUCAAAAUUAUAAAUUAAACCAUAUUAUAAAAUAAAAUUUUAACAAAGUCAUAAAUUAUAUUCCUAGUGACUAAUUUUAAUGGUAAGAUGAAACACAAGUGUGAAUAUUUAAAAAUAUUUUAAUAAUUAAACAAAAAUGAUAAACUUAUAGUGUAAUGUAAUAAAACUAGCAAAAGUUAUAGUUCUUUCAUUAUCCCUUUUAUAAAUUUCAUAUUUUAAAUAAACUAAUAAAUAAUAUAAUAGUAAUGAAUUUGCUUAGUCUUCAUCAUGUAGAACCAAUUUGAAGAAAUUUUUUUUAAUAGGACUGAUUAAUGACUUAAUUAAGGGUAGGUUACAGCUAAAAUAUUUAGUAGGACUGAUUAGUGACUUAAUUAAGGGUAAACUACAGCUAAAAUUUUCCUAGUAGUCUUCCACUAUGACAAAUUGUGGGAACUAGUAGUGGCCUGUCCAACCUAUAGAGGAAACAAAUAGGUGAGUGAGUUAUUGAAUAUGUGGCUGAGAGUGACCAACCAUUGAGGCUCACAUGAAGUUGUAGUGGCUGAGAGGAAGGGAUAAGAGACCAAAAACAUGCUCAGGGAGAUUCUUGUUAGGAUCAAAUUGGGGGCAUAGAUAUAUCUCUUUGGUAAGAGUUCCCAUAAUUUAGGUAUUAAUGAAAUAGGUAUAAAAGAAUUAUAUAUCUUGAUAUGAUCAUGUUGUUAAUGAUGAUCUAAUGAGUUGAAAUAUUAUGUUUUCAACUGUGUAUAUCUAAUAAAUACAUCAAGUGCUUAAACUUUAAUAUAGAAAUGGUCCACAAUGGCUUGUAUGACUCAUCGUCUUAUAAACAUAUUAUUUAGAUUAGGCUAAAGUGGUCAAAGUAAGAAGAAAAAUUGAUACUUGAUUUGAAGUAUAAAGAAUUCUUCUUAGACUUUGUGUGUAGUGUUGUUAGCUUAUUGUUGUGUUAAAGUCUAUUUUGAUGUAUUUUGGAAAGAAUGACCAACUAGAACCACAAUAAGAUGUUGCAAAACUUAUUUAAACAAGGGCUUGUGAGCAAGAUUUUUUUUUUUUCCUUUUCAUGUACAAAUAGUAUGAUGAAUGAAAAUUUGAUUCUCGAUUGUAAUUAGUAUUUUCUUUAAGUUUUAAAUCAUGCAAUGAAUACUUAAAAUUAGCUUACGAUGUCAAAGAAUGUAAGUAAACAAGGUUUUACAUGUUGGAUAUAUAAUAAAUUCAAAACCUUUACCUUCCACAUUGAAUGAUUACAUUUUUUCUUUAAGUGCCCUUUAAUCAUUCUCAUUUUGUUUAAUCAUUUUCUCUAAUGUCUUGAGCAUAGUAGAUUUCUAUAAAUUUACAUGAGCAUUCCUUAACUCUUCUUGAGUGAUCCUAAACUUAGCAUUGAAACAAUCAUAAUUUAGGCGAAGAUGCUUACACGUCUUCAUAAUCAUCCUUGGUUGCUAGCCAUUUUUCCUUAAUUACUUUAGGAUGUUUAGUGAAGAUGAUUACAAAUAUUAACUAGUUCACUCACACAUUUUUGUAUGAGUGUAGAACAAUUUUGCAUUCUUUCCACAUCACUUAUGCAUCUUCGUUCCAAGAAAGAAGAUAUAGAACUCUUAUCUUUUGCCUACGCCACUUGGUUCUCCAGCCCAUUAUGCUUAUGCAUCCUUUUUAUAUCACAUAUGCGACUUGCUUCUCAUUAAGAUAUUUCACUUACAUGUUCUUGUAUAUGCAUAAUUUAGGGAAAAAUAUUUUAAAAUAGCAAAAUAGAUUUUAAUACAUAUAUUUGGAACAAUUAAACUCAAACUAUGCAAGUGACCUUGUCUACUAUGUAGGUGACUUUGUUUACUACAUAGGCAAAGUAUAUGACAGUGAUAGUCAAGGAAGCUAUGUGGUUGCAUGGUUUAGUGGAGAAUUUAAGAGUAAAGCAAGAUCACAUUGUGAUUUAUUAUGAUAAUGGGAGUGCCCUAAAUUUAUUUAAGAAUAAAAUUCAUCACUCAUUGGUAAGGCAUAUUGAUGUCUAAUUUCAUUUUAUUUAAGAGAUUCUAGAAGAAAGUCAUAUCUUAUUUUAGAAAGAUUACUAAUGUUAAUGAGGUAGGUCAUAUUUAAAUGUGAUCCAUGUUGAAAGGAUCAAUGUACCUUUAGGUGUGUAGUAGCAAAAAAAUUCUAUUUGGACCUAUGUUUUUCUCUUGGAACCUCAAUUCUUUAUUUUUUUUAAAGAAAAAGUGGACAUAUCAAAUUAAGCAACAUCAGUCUUUUAUUUUUUUCAUUCUUGCUUGGUUUUUGUCUUGAAUUUAGAGUGGAGAAGAUGUAAUAAAUGAGUAAGGAAAGAGGUAGAAAAUAAAGAUAACAUUAGAACUAGGGAUUGUAAAAGAGGAAGAAGAUGAGGACAUUUUUGGCAAUGUUGCAUGUCAAUUUUCUAUUUAAUGAUUCCCCUAUAAUAGUUUUCAUAUUCAUUAACUCUCUCUAAACUAAGCAACAUAUUUCUUAAAUAUUUUAAAUUCUUAUUUAUUCUUAAACUCUUUCAUUCUCAACCGGCCUUUUCACCAUUCUCACAAACCUAAAAUUUGCUCUCAAUUUAUUUCAAUAAUGUUGACAUAAAAGUAAAUAGGUAAGUCAACAUUCAACUUUUUUUUUUUUUUACAAACCAAAAUCUAAUAUUUUUGUUUAGAAACAAAAAUUGAACAAAAAUGUAUAAACUAAGAGAAAGAAAAAGUAAAAACUAGAGACUUGUAAUUGUAUAAAUGUCAAGAUUUCAAGUUAGUAAUUUAUGUCAAUAUUUGUUUUUUUAUUUUUUUUCUUGAUUUUUAUAUACCAUUUUAAUUAAUAUUUUCAAUUUUGUGAUUGAAGUCUCAAGAAUUUAUGUUAUGCUUAUUUUAUUGUUUCCAUGUCAAAAACCAAUGUGAAAUUAGUAUGACAUGUACACUUAUUAUUUUGAAGCAUAGUGUUGAUAUCUUAUUUUGUAAAACCCAUGACGAUCAAUCAUUGUCUCUCAUGUGUCUCAUUUAUGACAUGUGAGUUUGACUAAUUAUAUAGCAUCAUGCCUCAAAGAUUAGUGUUACAUAUCCAAGACAUCUCUCUAAUAAACUUGACAUUCAUUACACUUUUCUUACCCUUAAUCUUUCAUACAUGGAUAGGUCCAUGUUCUACCUUCAUAUCUCCUAUGCCAUAGUGCUACAUUGUUUGAAAAUGAAUUUUUAUCUUCAAUAAGAUCCUAAGUCACAUGGAUGACUAUGAAGCAUGGAUGUCGCCCAUAGUGAAUGUCGAGGAGAGGGGUAGGGGUGUUUCUUACUCUAUUCUUCCUAAAGAUGGUAUCGCGUGCUUCUGAUAAUUGUUUCAUUUUUAAUCUAGAAAAUGCAUGCUUCCUAAAAACUAAUAGUUGUUAUUGGUUUAUGAUCUUUUAUACCCUCUUCUAAUAUGUCAACCUUAAAAUAAUGCCUUGAUGUUAAUAAAUCUACCUAGUUCAUGAGCAAAGCUUAAGGUUAUGAAAUGGACUUUGUGUCAUUAGUUGUAAAUCUAGUUUCCCUACCCAUUAGCAUUUCAAGAUUAGUUUGAGGGUCUUGGUUUAGUAGUUAGAUCUUAUACUUACCAAGGUCGGAUCAACACGCAUUGAUCUCAUUUUAGCUUAAAUGAGAGAGAUGACAAUUGUGUCUUCAUUAUAGGUGUCAUAUGAAGAAGUUUGUAUAUCCUUAUAGAAUAAUUAAUAUUCAAAAUACUAUUUCAGAGCAUUAUAAAAAAACUUCAUUUCUAGCCAAAUGAAAAAGAGUGAUAUUCUUGGUCUCUUUGAUCCUACUACCACCAUUUCCACCCAAUCAUCUACUCUCACUUUGCUUUGCUCUCAUUUUAAACUCUUGGCACAUUUAAAACUUUCAAGUUUUAGUUGUAAGCUUAUAGAUACUAUUUUAGAAAAAAAAUAAAAUUGCAAGUGAGAUCUAAUAUUUUGUUUUGAGAAAAGUAUUGAAAAAGCCCAAGGCUUAGAAACUUUGAUUUACCUAUGUCUAAUUAUGAACUUUCGAAUGAAGAUAACAAUGUUAUAUAAUUUAAUAGUUGAAGAGAGUUAGAAGGUUUUUUCUAAUUUUGGAGCAUGAUGUACAUUAUGAGCCUAAGUCAUGACAACUUAAGUCGCUAGGAAGAUCAGUUGCUUAACAUGCCAAUAGGGUCUUGUUUAGUGGGGGUUUGUGUGUUUGAAUCUCACCUCAUUAUUUCCAUGAUUUAUUGAGCCUCAAUGUAAGUCUAAUAUGAGGUUAGUUGUAUAGGAAAAUUUUUCUCUCCAUGUGUGGUAUGGGGUUGUAGUGAGAGAGAGUGUUAAAGAAUGGGAUUAAAUCUUAAUAGUUUAAGCUUUUAGAAAAAUCAAAAGUUCAACUUGGCAUUAGAGUCUUAUUUAUUCAAAGGUUAUUAGUUUGGACCUCAAGACAUAUUAUUUCCCUAAUUUAUUGAGCAAAAAGAAGGCUAGAUAUGAGGUUGCUGAUGAGAAGUUAAUGGAGGGUCCUGAGUCCAAGUUCUCCCCUCAUUAUUUAUCUAUCUAAUUAUUUAUGACCAUAAAGUGCUUCUCAUGGUAGGUAUGGGCUCACAUAUGGGGGGAGGAGGGGUGUUGGAGCAUUAUAUAUGUUAUGUGCCCAAAUUCUAACAACUUAGUUAAGCUUUUAGGAAAAUUUAUUAUCUAAAAUUAAUAUUGUUUUGUAAUCAAAGUAAAAUCAACCUUAGUUAUUCAACAUAAUAAAAAACAUUAGUUUCCUGAUUGAAAAUGGUAAGGACUAAGUAAACUGAUAUAAAAUAGAAUGUUAUUAUAGUUUAUGGGGUGAAGUAUUAGCACUAUAAAGUUAAGUAACUAAUUUGCUAAAAUUACUAGCUAAAACUUGAAAAGUCUUAUCAAAGUGAAAAAGAAAAUAAAAUUAAACUCUUUAUUUUACAUAAUAGCAUAUCUAUAUCCCCUUAAAUUAUGAAAUUCAUGUUGUUUUUUCAAAAAAAAAAAAGAAAGAAAGAAAGAAAGAAAAAAAAAAAACCUAGAAAUGCCUACUAAAAAAAAGUCGAUUGAUACACUCCCUAACCAUAAAAUUGAGUUGUAAAUAUAAAUUAUAGUUCAUCCAAGUCUUUAUACGACUUUAAGAAAUCAAUAGCUAGUUUCAUUUACACCAUUGGUUCGUUUUUUUUUUUUUAUUCCAUUGAAAAGAAAGCAAUAAAAAUGAAUUGAGACAAAAAUGAGAAUACAAUCCAUAAAAUAUCAAUAGAUUUGUAAACUCAUUAUAAAGUUCAUAAAUCUUUAGAUAAAAAAAGCAAUAUAAAGAGGUAAAAAAUUAGGAACUAUCAAGUUGAAAAAUAGAGUGUAUGGUAAAAAAUAAAAAAUAAAAAGAUAAAACAAACAACAUUUUAAAGUAAGGGUACAAUAGUUAUUAAAAUGAAUCACAAUAAAAGUUUUCUAAAAAUUGAAAAAAAAGAGGAAAAGUUUUUGGUAUGCUUUUAUGGUUUAGGGGGUAAAGGUUCAUAAUACUCGUCAUUUUAUCAUCUUUAUAGGAAAAAAAAUUUAGACUCAACUUUAUCACAACUCAUAUGAGUUAAAAAUUUCUUGAAUGUAUUUUCUCUCAAGUUUCUAAUGGAUACCCCUUUAUCAAAGGUGUGGACAUUGAGCUAAAUUCACCAUUAAAAUUCAUCAAGUUUCUAUUUUCCUUUUCCUAAUUCAUCAAGCUAUAUUUAUGAAAUAUCCUCAUUCUUCAUUAGUAAUAUCAUAUUGUCAAAAAAACCCUUAAUAGAUCUACACCUAUCACCAGUUAAUAGAUAAAAUAACUUAACAAUUAGUUUUAAGUUUUAAGGACUUUACAAGACAAGCUAAGAACCUCAUAUUGUUUGCACACAAUUGACAAGUUGAUUUGUUUUAAAAAGUAAAAUGCUAAAGAAAAUCCACAACACGUGUUGUUUUAAAAAUCUUUGUAUUUAUAUGACAAAAAAAAAAAAGAACCAAUAGUUUAAAUUGGAAAAGUUUAUGCAAAUUAGAUGAGGAAAAUGCAAGCCAUAAAAUAACAUUCAAACGUUAUCAUUCUCUAAGAAACAUCAAGAACAUAUUGAGAGAACCAUUACUCAACAUAAUAAAUUUGUCUUGAAAGGAAAAGAAAAUCAUCAAAGCAAUCAUAUUUGUGAUGCAUUCUGAUUUCCAUAGUGUUUCCAUAUUUACUAUUAGGAUAAAAAAAUGGAAGUUGAAAAUUAUGGCAAUUCCUUGAGACAAUGAAUUAGAGUAGUAGAAAAGGAAAAAAAAUAAAAAAUAAAGAGAAAAAUAUGGUGAGUGAAAAAUAUUUUAACCCCAUAAAUUUUUCUUUCACAUCUCUUUAAAUUUAUUAAUAUCAAUUCUUUUCUAAAUAAACAAUGAAAUUUUUGAAAUUUCUUGAAAUUUAAACAUAUUUACUAGUUGUAUCAUCUCCAGUCACCUAAAUCUCAAGAUGUUCUUCAAAUGAAUUAUAGACUUUAUUUAGAUAGGUAAACUAAGGGGACUCCCCCUCUAAGAACUGUAUAUAAGAAUUUCAUCUCAUACAACUCAAAUAGAAACACCUAAACACUAGAUGAAACGGAUAUAUAAUAGAAAAAUGUAUUUCAAUGGAUCCAAUUGGUAUUUUUCCUGUCUUAGAUAAACAAACAAAUUUUUCUUCAUUAAUCAUUGUAAGUAAAUUAUAUUUUAAUUUUAAAAAGUACUAAACUUUAUUUUAAUUUUCAUGUAGGAUCAACUAACUUAUCAUAAUUAAAAUUUGUCUCUAUGGCUGAAUAGAGCUUUGAUGUAAUAAUACUAUACAAAUUUCAAGUAACACUAAAUUAAUCAAAUAGGAAACUACAGUUACGUUUGAAUACAUAUUCUAUUUUUUAUUUUUAAAAUUAAAAUUUUGAUAUAAAAUUUUUUUUUAAAAAUAUUUUAAAAUAAUUUCAAAUACACAAGAUAUUGACUUUAUAUAUAUAAAAGUUCUUAUAUUUUAUAUAAAACUCUAUUUUAAAAAAAUAGAAAUAAAAAAAUGCAUUUAAACAUAUGCUAAAUUGUUAGAUUUCAUAGAUCCUACAAUUAAUAGUGAAAAUGAAGAUGAGAGAUAACUGACUGAACUAUGAAAAGGAAUUAAAAUUUAUGAGUUUCAAAAAUACUAGUUAAUGAAAGAGAUUUUGUGCCUGGAUGACUAAGAAAAAUGCUGAAAAAUGUGCUAUAGAGUGGCUUUUCCUUUCUCCUCUUGCUAUAUAUGCAUAUCAUCCCUCUUUUUUAUCUCGUUGAACUCAACAAAUUCUCAUUUGUUCUGAGAAAAAAAAGAGAUUAUGUUAUAUGAUGGUAGGACUUUAUUCUGUUAUGGAAUAUGCACACCCUAGAUCUAUUGGCUAGAGCUAUACAGUAGGUUGUUGGCUUGUUUAGCAUUGUCUCUUUUUUGGAUAGGUUUGGACAAUGCCUCUUGAUGUUGCUUUUUGGUAAUGUAUUUUUCUUUGAUUUUUCAUGAAAAAUUCCACAUUUUGAGAUUUUCACCAUAUUAGAGUCUUUGGAAUUGGUACUUGUCUUGACACAGUUAGUAGGAAUCAUUUUCCCCAAGCUACAUAACACAUGUCUGCUAAUUGGUAAUGUUCCAUUGGCAUUUAUAAACUCUCCUGUCAAAAGUGAAUAUGCUCUAACAUUUCAAAUAGUGUGGUGUUGUACAUAGGUUGGUAAUUGAGGAUUUUAUUAUGGAUUUUGUCCUAUUCUGGUCGUGCCAACAUGUUCUGUCUUGUUCUUUGUCUUACUGAUUUGGGUGGUUGCGCGUCAUGUUUCUACAAGCUGUAUUUUUAAGCUUCAGGAGCAAAGGUAUUUUGGUUCUACCAUUUAGAUGAUGGUACUAAAGCAUUUGUAUUAUGGAUUGCACAACCCCUUAUAUGGGAUAUCUUUGCACCAAUUGUUUGGUAAUCAAGAGAACUCUCAUAUUAAACAAAGUCAUCUUCUAUUAGUAAUAAUAAUAAUAAUAAUAAUAAUUGUGUGAUUUGGAUGCUUGUGAGUGACGAACAAUAGGGUUGUUUAGGUGUUGUUGGGUAUUGAAAAGUAUAGUAAUAAUAAUAGUAAUUUUUUUUUUAAAAAGUUUUAAUUUAGUUUAAGUAUACAAAAGAAAUAAAUUGUUAGAAUAGGAUUUGGAAGAAAUAUGAGUUUAUAAAAAAUUUGGAAAUUCAUUAAAUUAUAUUAUUAUUGUUUAAGAAGUUGAAAGUAAUAUGGGGUGGUAAUAAUAUUAUCAUACGAAAUUAAUUAGGAUCCCUAAUACUAAAUAAAAUAUCUUUAGGAUUGUCAAAUUUUUACCUUUAGAUAAUUGUGUAUGAUAUUAUAUUAGGUGGGGAGUAAAUUCAUCAAGCUAAAUACUUCAAGUUUUUGAGUGCUUCUUCAAGGUAAGGGAAAUUAAUGCAGAUUUUUAUAAAAGAAAAUAAUUUUCUUUUUAUAUUGUAUUUUGAAUUGUGUAAAAAUAUUAUUUUUAUCUUUACACAUGGAUCAAAUAUAUGUUUUGUAUGGAAAGUAUGUUUGAGCAUUUUCUUUAUUUAUGAAAAAUGAAAAAUUGAGGAGAUAUGAUGUUUUGUUUUGUAAGUUUGAAUUAAUGAAAUAAAGUGUUUGACUUUGGAUUAUAUGACCCUAGUAAACGAGUUAUAAUUGUUAACUUUUUUUGUCCUAGUCAACGAGUUAUAAUAGUUGAUAUUAUAUGGCCCUAGUCAACGGGUAAUAAUAGUUGACCUUAUGGUCAUAGUCAAUGGGUUAUAAUAGUUGACCUUAUGGUCCUAGUCAACGGGUUAUAAUAGUUGACCUUAUGACCCUAGUCAAUAGGUUAUAAUUGUUAACAUUUGGUUUUGUUCAUCUUAAAUGGAACAAAUUUGAAACUAGUUACUCAAUUGUGAAGUCCCACCUAAUUGGGCACCAUUUAUCAUACGAUAAUCAGAGUAAAGAUAUUUUGAAUGUAUUCGAUUUGGUUUUGAAGAGAAAUUGUUUUGAAAUGGAUAUGAGAAAGUUUUGUUAAAAAGUAUGAAUGUAUUAGCAUUUUGAACUCAAAAGUUUUUAUGAAAAUAAGUAUAUAUUAUAUCUCCUAUUUGCAAGCAUAAUUGAAAACGUUUGAUCCAUGAAACUGUAUUAAUGUUCCUUACUAUGCUUUGAGCUCAUCCCCUUUUGUUGAUAAUCUUUCAAGCAACCUCAGUUCGGGUGAGAAGUGACCGUUAUGAGGGAAAUUCGGCUUUAUUAGGACAUUUUUUUAAACUCUUUUUAUUUUGGAUAUUGUUUAGAUGUUAAAACUUAAUUCUUGUUUGAAUUAUUUUGAGUUUUGAGUUAUUUGGACAAUAACACUUUGGUUGAUGUAUUAGUUUUUUUUUUAAAGGUGAUACUUGGAGAUUUUAGAAUUUUGUCUUACUACUUUGAACAGAGAUUUGAUAAUUGGUAAAUUUCUAGUUAUAAUACGAAUGUUUGUGUCGCUUCCACUUUGAGCUUUUGGACUCGAGGUGUGAAAUGACCGUCAUGUCCUUGAAGUGGGUUUUGGGGCAUGACAUAGAGAGAUACCUAUAAGACUUUUUGGACUAUUGGGUUUGGAAUACUUGAAUUUAUUAUAUAAUUAUCUCGAUAGUCAGUUUCUUAAUUUGGAAAAAACGCAUAGAUUGAUGGUACUGAAUUUAUCACUUAAUUCUUUGUCAGGUCAGAUCCUAGAAAAUAUUUCCAAUCUUUGAAACCUAACGCCAUUGAACAUUUCAUAACAUUGCCUCUUUGGAAUGGUUCUAAAAGAGUGGGGCUAUUAGGAGGUUUCCAAGAGCAUUCGCAGGGAUCCAGAGCUAUUCGUGCAAUCCUUGGAUAAACAAUGUUAGAUAGCACAAGGACAUGCAAGCUUGAAAUAAAUAGAGGUAUUGUAGACCCUCAAUUUUGUCCCUUGACACUUGCAUUUUAUCCUAUGGGUGUCACAUGCACCCAUGCUUUCAUAUGAUUUCUCCAUGGCCUCCUUUUGGCCUUGAUAGGUUUCUGAGCCUUGUGUAGGUUCAUUUGCGGUCCAAUGUAGUGCGGGUGUGUAGUUCAUUUUGGAGUUCCAUCAUGGCCAAGUUCCUAGUUGUCACAUCAUGCUAUAGGGAAGGAAGUGAGGCCCCCCAAAAAUUUUAGUUCAGUUGGAAUUCAUAAGAGCGGGUUUGAAUUCAGAGCACUUGGGCUUGUUUUGAUCAUAUCUCCCUCAUCCGAACUUGGAAUUGCGCACCGUUUUUUUUUUUAUGGACUCCUUAUUCGUCAAGGAAAAUUUCAAAAUUUUUUUUCUCAACCAGCUUGACCGGUUCCCAAAGUUUGAGAUUUUUUCUCAAUCGGAUGAACCGGUUGGGAACCGGUUCAACAGGUGGCUUGGUGGCAGCCCCGUUUUAUAAAUGCUUUGCAUUGUUUCGGCCGGUUCUCCCUCAUCUGGGCUCAGAAUUGAGCACCGUUUGUUUUUUGGAUUCCUUGUUCUUUGAGGAAUCUUCUGGUAAAGUUUCAGAUUUUUUCUCAAUCUGAUGGACCAGUUGGGAACCGGUUCAACAGGUGGCUUGGUGGUAGCCCCGUUUUGUAAACGCUUUGCAUUGUUUCAGCCUGUUCUCCCUCAUCUGGGCUCAGAAUUGAGCACCGUUUGUUUUGUUGGAUUCCUUAUUCUCUGAGGAAUAUUUUUAUAAAGUUUAAGAUUUUUUAUCAAUCGGAUGAACCAGUUGGGAACCGGUUCAGCAGGUGGCUUGGUGGCAGCCCCAUUUUAUAAACGCUCUGCAUUGUUUCGGUCGGUUCUCCCUCAUCCGGGCUCGGAAUUGAGCGCCGUUUGUUUUGUUGGAUUCCUUAAUAUCUGAGGAAUCUUCUGGUAAAGUUUUAGAAUUUUUUUCUCAAUUAUUCGAGCCAGUUGGGAACCGGUUCAACCGGUUAUGCUAGGUAGCUCCAGUUUCAGCGUGUUUUAACCCCCAUUUUUGUUGUGGCUUGGGCCCUUAGACUCCAAGGCACUUGUAGGCCACCUUUAGGGUCUGAAUCCAAAUUUGGUUUGAAUUAAUGUGGGCCUACCUAUGAGUCGAGGGUAUUAUUGGCUAGGAAGGUUAGGGGGUUAUUGUGAAUGUUUGGCUUGGGUACAUUUUGAUGUUUGAUUAAAAAUGCUUGUAUCUAUUGAUUUGCCCUUGUUUGCAGCGCUUGGCUGGGGACCCGAGGUACGUACUUGACUUGUUGGGAAUUGGAUUCAUUUGCAUGCGUGGGGCUUGGAUAUGUUUGCUUGUUGUGUGUUUAUAUUGCUUGACUAACCUCUUAUGUAGCGCUUAGCUAGGGACCUCAGGUACACACCUUUUAGCUUUGAUUUGUGGAGACUAAGUGCACGCUAGAUACUGAGCAGGUUCGUGUGAUCUAUGUCAUUUGUUUAGCCUGAUUGAUCAAUUGAUUUUUGACCCAUAUGCUCCCAUGUGCCCAAUUCAUUAGUAGAGAGUAGAGACCGAGUUCCAGGCCUAAAGAGGUGCUCCCUCACAUGAGGUACCUUCCCAAUAGGUAACCUGAUCCCCGGACCCAGAAUCUAGUUUUCCCAGAUUGCUUUUUCCAUAUUGGAGUCAUUAAGGGUUUUUGUUCUUACUUGAUUUUCCCCUUUAUAAAAUAAAAAUAAAAAGUAAGUGGCGACUCCAAACAAUCCUCACCGGGAACGGAUUUUCCAAAACCCAAAAACACACUUACUUUCUUAUUCUUUUAAAAAGCGUGUCGCGUCGGCCCGUGGAUCGGGUGAGAGUCCACAAAUUGGUGACUCCACUGGGGAUCGAACCUAGGAUCUCUGGUUUCAUAAGAGAAUCAAGCUUGAACUUGAAUUGGGUAUAUUGGAGCACAUGGUUCUCUGAUCAGUAGACUCUUAGGCUACAUAGAUGACUAAUGAUCACGUACUUGAUUGGUAUCUGGCUUGCACCUUUGAUGUGUUGAUGCUUGUGUGUCCACUUGAUUGGUUUUAACAUGCUUGCUCAUUGUUGAUUGGUACUUAGUUAUGAGAUUUGGGAUUGUCAUAAAUGGUCAGAUUGUGUGUAGAUUUUAUGGUAGGCCUUGCCCUUUGCGCAUAACUGUUUGCUGCAUGGCUACACUUUUUCUUGCAUGACUGUUUGCCGCUUGUGUUUUGGGGCGCGCUUGUAUCCCCUUAUUUUCGAAUUACUAGUCUUGGUUGACUAUUCCUCAUUGAUUGCUUGAGUUGUUUGGGAGUCAUUCCCAACUGUUUGCCUUCGACCAAGAUAGGGGUUUGGGAGUAGGGUCUAGCAUAAGGGUUAUAUUGAUGUUUGGGAGCACUAUGAAGAUGAUGGAUAUCCGAGCAAUGAAGAUCUGUAUAGCCCUGAGCUGGAUUUCAUGGAUACAUGCGUGGCCAGUGUGUCGCUUUGAUUGUUGAUUGAUUGUAGGUUAGGAUCAGAAGUUGCGUAUCCCUGUGGGUACAUUCAUCUAGCUUGUAGGACUUGCCUUUUCCCAUUAUUAGCUUUUGAGCCACCUUACUUCUGAGGUAUCACCAUGUCAGAGUCCUGUUCCUACCUGUGGAGCCAUAUAUUGGAUUAGCUGUUGACAUCACAUGUCAGCUCAUUCCUUUAGAGGAUUUAGUUGUAAGAUUGCAUUACUAGAUUGAUUUAAGGAUUAAUAGUCACGGGAACUGACGUACCCCUUUCCUUUUGUAGGAUUGUUGAUCGAGACCGACUUGGGUUCUCGAGCUUGGAUCUAGAUCGGAGGUUGAUUGGUUAGAGGAUCAGAUCUACACAGUCAGUUAGAGCAGAUAUCAGAUCAUAGAGAUAUGGACCCCCAAUACGCCACUAUUGACCAGUUGACUGAGAUUACAGAUACCAUGGCAUCACUCCGGGAUGCUAUAUUGGGAUUGGGUCAGAGAAUAGAUGGGCACCAGGCCCAGCCAUUGCCGGUUCCGGGGAGCACCCCGCUUGACUCUACUGCACCUCCACCUCCACCAUUGCCAUCUAGGCCUACUAUACAGUAGGAUUAUAUAGUUCCAUCUCCGCCACCACCCCCAAUUUAGUCAGCCCCGUGGGCUAGGGCCUUUAUCUUACAUGGUCAGACUGAGACUACGCCACAUUCUGUUGUGUCACCUACACAGAUUGUUGAUGACACUCAGGCCCAUAUCGAUAGGAUUGAGCAGAGGAUCAGGUCUCUACAUGUUUUUGAUGGAUGGGUUGGGACGGAUAUGAUGACUUGCCAGUGGCAGCUUUGCUAGUUGAGUUCUGCAUGUCGGACAUUGAGAGGUACACGAGGAUAGGGUGCCCCUGUAUUCAUUUACAAUUGUAUAGCACUAUUAUGCGCUGGCAUAGAUUGGACAAGGCACAGAUGAUCAUGCUAUUCCUUCUGUCUCUAAGUGGUGCCGCUCAGCGUUGGUUUGCCUCAUUGGACCCUUCAAGGCACCGGACAUGGGCUGAUUUGGCACAGGAGUUUCUUAGACAAUAUUCUUUUAAUACUAUAGUGGAUGUAUCCCGAAGGGAGCUAGAGGCCCUCAAGCAAAGGCCAGAUGAGUCAGUUACUUCAUUCAUCUCCUGCUGGAGGGAGAAGAUAGCACAAAUUAUAGAUAGAUCCUCCGAGCGUGAUCAGAUCAGCAUGAUUAUGUGCAGUCUUCACCCUCGCUUUGCCAAGCAUCUCAUGGGCUUUCCACAGACAGACUUUGGAUCAUUGGUUCAGGUCCUCUAUGGCAUUGAAGAGGGCAUAGCUAGAGGAUUAUGGGUAGACUCUUCCCGUUCAAACUCAAAGGGGAAGAAGCCAGGGUCAGGAUCCAGGCCUUCAGAUGUUGGUACCAUUGGCACGAUAGGGCACAGGUCCCAUCGUCACCCUCCUUCUCAGAGACAGUUCUUAGACACUCUUUACCAGAUGAUACAACACGAUCAGUACAAACCAGUUGCUCCCUAUAGGCCGACAGGGCCUACUUAUCUAUAUCUGGCACCGUAGCCGAUAUAUGCUACAUAGGCUCCUUAGAGGCCACCUGUACAGUUCCAUCAGCAGUAUAGAGCACCGCCUCCACCGAGGUCGGCUAGGCAGUUUACAUAGUUAGAGAUUGGUUGAGGGGGGUUUGAUUGCUCCACUACCACCCAGACCAUCACCACAUCCUACCCCACUAGGAUUCAGGAUAGAUCUUCACUAUGCCUACCAUCAGAGAGCUGGCCAUGAUACAGACAAUUGUGCGAUGCUGAGGCACGCCAUUCAGGACUUGAUUAAUCAGGGUUUGGUUGAUUUAGGACGCCCUGCAGUGACUACAGACCCACUACCUACUCAUGACAUUAGAGCUGUAUCUUCACCCCCGGGGAACGUACAUUUGAUUGAUUUUUCAGGAGAUGAGAUAUUCAUGAUGGGGUGGGACGGAGAGGCUCCUCAACCUAUUAGUCUGUACGAGGACUCAGAUUUUAGUGGAUAUAUCCAUGGACAGUAAGCUCCCAGGCCAUUCAGAUUGAUCCCGAAUGAGAUUCCCCAACAGACAGCAGUAUCGUCGGUAUACUUACAACAUGUUCUGCCCAUGACACCCUUCAUUCUAUUCCUGGAAGAGUAUAGGCCCGUUCACAGAGAUGUUCAGAUUGUUACACGGAGUGGGAGAGUAGCUCAGCCUCUACCCUUUGAUAAGUCUUUUGUUGGCACAGAUGUUAGAGAUGAUGUUUAGAGAGAGGAUGAUGAGAUAUUGCACCAGCUGUGCACCACACAGGCUCGCAUAUCCAUUUGGAGCCUCUUGGCAUUGUCCAGCACACAUAGAGAUGCCUUGGUCAGAGCUCUUAGUUAGAUCAGAGUUGACACUGCUACUACUCCUGAUGGACUGAUUCACUUUCUGACGGUUGAUAAAGCUACAUGCAUUGUAUUUUCAGAUGAUGAUUUACCACCUAAGAGAUCAGAUCAUGUUUGACCCUUAUUCAUUGAUGUUGCUUGUUCAGGUUGUUGGGUGCCGUUUGUCCUGCUAGACAACGGCUCCGCCUUGAACAUAUGUACAUUGGUUACUGCCAUUGCUUUGGAAUUUUCACCAUCCGAUUUUGGGCCAUCUACGCAGACCUUCAAAGCAUACGAUGGGACUCAGAGGACAGUUAUGGGUACUCUCACUACACAUGUCAUGAUAGGGUCGGUCAGAUAUUCUAUACUCUUUCAGGUUUUGAGGAUCCAGACAUCCUUUAACUUACUUCUCGGCUUCCCCUAGAUUCAUGAGGCGGGUGUUAUACCAUCUUCCCUUCAUCAGAAGGUGAAGUUCAUACACGAAGGGUGCAUUAUCACGAUACAGUCAGACAGAGACGUUGUUACCUCUUCCAAGCCAGUGUUACAGAUCAGUCACAAUGAGAAUGACUUGCACUUGACCGGAUUUACUUUUGAUGAGGUUCAGGUUGUUAGUUUAGAGGAUGACAACAGAGACAUGGUACCUAUGUCUUUUGAUCAGUAUAGCGGCACUUUGGUACUCAGUAUGAUGAGAGGCAUGUCCUAUAUGCCUGGCUUGGGAUUGGGUCACCGCCAACAGGGGUCGUGCGAGUUUGCUUUCACAGUUGAUCAUGAUAUACCACAUGGAUUGGGUUACACUCCUUCUGAGGAGGAUGCAUGACACAUGGCGCGAUUGAUCCGAGAUAAGGUGAGAGCUCGCUUGUCCGAGGUUCCAUUCGAUUACCCCCUUCGCCCAUACACUUUUCAGUUGGCUGACUAUUUUGCCAAAGGAUUAGAGCAUGCACCCCACACAAAGGGAGUUGAUCGUGUUCAUGAGGUAGUUGAGAUUCAGGGUAUUCAAUAGGCCUUAGGACAAAUGUGUUUUGAGUUCUGAGACCACCGAGCCACCCAAGGCCAUGGUAGUUGCAUCCCCAUCGACAUUGGUCGUAUCCUUGACACAGCCCCAGGUGGGCCCCAUUAUGCUUUUGAUAUGUUUGGAGUUUCUAUGAUUAAUUCUGAUGGUGUGACACUUUAUGACGCUUGCACUGACACGAUGGACAUGAUCGGCACUGGCCGCAUUUUGGAUACUUCCCCACCUAGGCCCCGAUCCGCUUUUGAUGUGUUUGGGAUUUCUAUGCUUGAGUUUGAUGGUGAUGGACUUGUUGCUACUAAUAUUACUCAUGAUACUAUUUUUGUUGAGGGAGUGUUCGACUCUGUGGACCUACCUCUUUCUUUUGACACUAUGUCCGGGUUUGUCACCCGCUUUGAUGACAUUUCUGAUGGUAAUAAUGACAUGAGUAUUUUCGAGUAUUUGCCUGUGUCACAACAUUUUCCUUUGAUUGCACCACGAGCAUCCACAGCACAUGUAUGUGAUGUUGAUGAUGUGGAAGACACAGAUGACCCACUAAGUGGUCAGUCAGAGUGUGACUCUGAUUCAGAUACGGAGGAUAGGAAAGCUACACCCAUUUCUGGUAUCACUGAGUUGAUAGAUUUUGGGGCACCUAACUAGCCUAGGGAGCUUAGGAUUGGCUCUUCCCUAUCUCCCGAUGAGAGAAGUAGAUUGAUAGACCUAUUCAGGUCAUCCUUAGAUGUAUUUGCAUGGUCGUAUGAGGACAUACCGGGCCUUGACCCCACUAUAGUUCAGCAUCACCUGCCCAUUUUGCCAUAUGCUAGGCCAGUUAAGCAGAAAUUGAGAAGAGUACACCCUCGAUGGAGUUUGUAGGUGAAAGAGGAGAUUCAGAAGUAACUCAGUGUUGGAUUCUUGUCAGUGGUUGAGUAUCUUGAGUGGCUGGCUAAUGUCGUCCCUAUUCCCAAAAAGGACGACAAGGUUAGAGUUUGUGUUAACUUCCAAGAUCCGAACAAGGCCAGUCCUAAGGAUGAUUUUUUCUUCCAGCACAUCUGAUUCGUGCCCAGUCGGUGUAUCAGUUGAUUCAUGUCCAGCUAGUGCUCCUUGCUUGAGGAAGUAAUCAACAAAAUUUAUAACCUAUUACACCAUGAACUAGGGUAGCAAAGACAAAGCUACUAUAGCAUAGUGGCUCUAGGAUUGUUCACUGGGAAGGGUUUUUAAUUCAUAAAUGAUACCAAUUCAAAGCUGAAUUGGUGCCUUUUGAUUUCAAGGUUAGCUUUAAAAGAAAACAUAAUUUUUGGAUGAAAAAGGUUUGGUUUAAACUAACGGUAAAGAAAGUAAUGGAAAUUACUUAUGAAGAAAAACAUUCCUUGAAGGUUUAGGUUCACAGGGGAGGUUCCUCGUGCAAAAACAGAGCUCUGGUCAUUUGGUUCAUUUCCUCGCAUUAGAGAAUUAACAUAUAGUCAAUUCUCUAAUCGGCUCUGUACAGAUGCUUCCCUUUAAUGGGUUCAAACACUAAAUCACUCUCACUGAUGCACCUUGCAAUGGCUCAUACCUCUCACCUAGCACUUGCCAUUCAAGGUGAUCUUUAACCUUGGACUUCCCGUCAAAAGCUCGUAAGAGAUAACUAAUGGAUGUCUCCUUGGAGUCCAAAAGCUUACCAAGUGUUAGCUAUUCUAGAAAAUCCUACCUUCAAACCACCUCCCAAAGGCUCGCAAUAGAUAAACUAGUGCAUCUCAAUGGAGAUCACUUGCCUUAUCAAGUGUUGGCCUAGGUGAUUUAAAGGUGUUUUAAGUUAACUAAAAACAUAGAAAUCAUUAAUGGGUCAUACUUUCUCUUCAUUAAUGGCUGAAACCGCAAAGCUACUAAUUCUUGCACUUGGAACCUUUCCCAGCAACCUUAACUCCAAGGAACUAAAAGUCUAGCCACUCAUUCUCUGAGGAAACAUCCUUAGAGCUUGUUUGGCUAGUAAGAAAAUACAAUUAAAAUGAGAAGGUAAAGCAGAGCAAAACUUUGUAUUUUUCUUCCUUUUAAAAACUAUACAAAAGUUUUUUCGUCGUCCUUUUUUGGGAACAGGCUCCCGAGAGAUAUAUAUAUGGAAAAUUACAAAAUAUCUAUCUGAGGUUAUUCACCCUUUUUCCAAACUUAAUAACUAAGGAAUCCUAUAAUUGGUGGGUUACAAGGAGAUUUUGGGGAUUUAGACAACAAAUAUCUAAAGCAAAAUAUCUCAAAAUAUCCCAAAAUAUCGGUGGCAAAUAUUAGGACGCUUCAGGAGAACACCGCAGCACUGUGCAAAAUGGCUGCUCUUCCAUCCGGGUAGACGCUAUCAGAUGAUCCGGAUACGUCCGUCCGGAGAAGUUGAAACACUCUCCUUUUCUAUCCGACAUCAGAAUUCUGGACGUGAACAUCUGGGUGGAAGUGGUGGCAGUCGGGUACAAAUUGGCGGCAGCCGGGUGCAAAAUGGCGGCAGCCGGGUGCAAAUGGCGGCGCACAUCCAGAUACAAAUUAGCGGCAGUCGGGUGCAGAAUGGCGGCAGCCGGGUGCAAAUGGCUGCGCACAUCCGGAUACAAAUUGGCGGUAGCCGGGUGCAAAUCCUAUCUGGAUAUGUGGUCCGGAUGCUCUCCGAUGGUGUAUCCGGACGCCCUGUCCGGGUAUACUCCUUACAUAGAUUCCAAAUAACUCUCCUCAAUUUCAGAUUUGCUUUGGUGAUAAAAAAGCUAUCAAAACACCAAAACUUAACACAUUUUUUAUUAGAAUUGAUUGCAAGGUCCUUAACAUGCCAAUUGAGUUAAAAGGUGAUAACUACUACUCAAAAGUGUUUAAAAGAGUUAAUUACAAGCUAUGAAAUAGCACAUUUUGAGUAGUAAUCACUCCCCCUAACCGACAUAUUGCUAGUCCCUUAGCAAUGAAAGAGAGAAAAAAUAAAAAUAAAAAGUACUGUAAUUUACAACAUCAUGCUGAUAAAAAAAAAACAAUUUCCAAGCGGCAUGAUGAUCUAACUCUCACAUGGAAUAUUAAAGAAAUAAAACUCAAACUUCAACAAGAGUUAUCAAAAAAUUUGUCUAAUCACAAUUCUUAAAGAGAAGGCUUUAUGCAAAUUUAAGCUUUAAAAGAGUUUCCACUCCCAAAGGGUCAAACCUUACUCUUCCACAAAAAUCUAAGUGUUACUUGAUAGCUUCCGAAUAUAGUAUGUUGAACUAAUCUCUCCCCCCAACCUAACUCUUUUCCAACACUUAGUAAACUGACCAAAUUCAAUAGGCUAAGAACGCACCCUUUUAUUUCACAUUUAAGGUAUUCUUUUCUAAAUUGUCCAUGUAACGGGGGUCCAUCGAUGACUCCCAACCAAUUAAGGUUUAGGGCAUCAAGCUUUAAGGAUCUUUCAACCACUAACUCCUCGAAUUUUACCCCGGACUUUUGAGAAUGAAUUUUUAUACCCAAGCACCUACAGUAUGUUAAACUCCACCUAUUCACCCUUGUAACGAGCAUUGAGGUCGGUGACUCCCAACCAACGAAGGCUUAGGGCACCAGGUUUUAAAGAUUUUCACCAUAUACCCCUCAGACCUUGCUCGGGUUUCAAGGCAAGCAAACAUUUUUUUAUUUUUUUAUUUUUUAUUUUUUUAUUUUUUUUUCCCAAAGGCUCAUUGGCCUUUUACAAGGUGUCCUAACACUAUUAAAUGAGGGCAAAGGUACCAAGUCUAAAAUUUUCUUAAGUCAAGAGGGAAAUAGUUUUUCAUCUUAUACUCGGAACUUAUUGUGCACAGUGUGUGAAUAGCUUAAAGUGGAAGACAUAAGCUUGAAUUCAAUAGAAAUUUCAACAAUUCAUCAACUUUAAUAAGCAUAAUACAAACUCUAAGUUAAGUAAAAAGACAAAAAUUCAAUUUCUCCCAUUUCAUUUUGAAAAUUUUUCCUUAAUAACCAUGGAGAGUAGAAUAAAAACUUAAAAAUUAAGCAAAAAACAACUAAAUUACCAAAAUAGCUUAGCAUUAAUAACAAAAACUUCCUUCCUCAACUCCCCCCCCAACCAAGCUGAACAUUGUCCUCAAUGUGACAAAGCGAUUAAAAAAUAGGGAGAAAGUGGUACCUCCUGAGUGGCGUGAAGUCUGAGAUGUAUAGGAGAAACCACAUGUUUCAAAAAAACAAUAAAAGAUAUGAGUAGAGGAAUUAAAAUAAUAUAAUGCUAAGUGUGGUCACAUACAACCAAUCCCACUAUAUAACACUAAAAAGAUGGGGAUUUCAAAAAGGAAAUACAUAAAGUAAAGUAUGUAAAUGAUCAGAAAUGGGGAGGAUGAUGCUGGUAAGCUGAUGACUCAGGCAUGGGGCUCUGCAGUGGUAGGGGUGAGAUGCUCAAUAGCUGAUGGAAGACCCAGAUGGUGCUGAAGCUGACUCAGGAUGGCAGUGUGCUGAGUCUGGGUGGUCAAAAUCUGCUCCUGCUGAGAACGAAUAGCUGACAUCUCUUGAGCAAGGCUGCUCUGAGUCGCGGUCAGUGUCUGCAAUGUGUGGCAUAGGUCUCUAUACUCUGAAAUGGGUAUGGUCAUUCUAAGCUCGGUUGAAGUAGAAGGCUCUGAUGCAGCUGGAAUAACUGGCGGGGUGCUAUGGGUGGCAGGAAAAGCAGAGGGUAUAUCCUCAUGUAUGGGCUCUGUAGAUGCUCUCCUGGCAGCUGGUAUCUCAGCUGGCUGUGGGUCCUCUGACUGCUGUGGCUGUGGAAGCUCUGGAUGCUUUGUUCUAUAUGCUGUCAUAUUGGUUCACUUGUCGAGAGUGAAUACCUCUCGGCAUAUGCGUUUGCGCUCCAACUGAGGGUCUGAUGGAUACCCCAGAUGCUCCAAAAUUUGGCAUAGCAAUCUCGGGAAAAGAAGUGGAAUAGCAUCUGCUCGCAGCAGCUUCUUCCUAUGCACCUUCUCUUCAUAGUAGAGAAGGACAGCCAUAAUUAGAUGGUGAGGGCCAAAGAAAUAUCCCUCUGAUAUCCUAAACAGGGCUUCUAGCAGAACUCCUCUCCUCUGCACCCAAUGCUGAAGUGGAUAAAUGUUGUGGCGCAAGAGUGCAUCAAUGAAGAACAUGCUCGGAGGAAGUUCCUUCCUCAACAGAUAUGGAUUUGUGGAUGUUCCUCUGGACAAGAGAUGAACCAUUUCAAGCUGGGGAGGAUUAGUCCAUACUCGAUAAUCCUCUAGACGGGCUGGCUCAUAUGGAAUAUGCAGGGCCUCUGCUAUGUGGCGAGCUCCUAAAAUACAAUGACGUCCGUCAAUGGUGAAGUGAAUAAGAGUAGCAUCUCUGACCUGAUUAGUAGUCAUGGACUGAUAGAGUUCCGUUGCUACUCGGGGAUAGAAAAAAUCCCUGGGGGUCAACAAAUGCUCCAUGCGAUAUCUGUGCAGUAGAUGGAAUGAGUCUGCUAGCUCCGGCUGAAGCCUGAAGGUGGCUGUGUCAAAACACAGCUCAGAGUGAAAUGGUCGAGCUCGGCAGUCCAAAUUCCCUUCAAUGGGCAGCUGAGGCUCCACCGGAGGUUCUAAAGACGACGCCAGAGUUGGGUCUGGCGAGGGCUCUAGAGAGGGCUCCGUUAAGUCGAUUGGCUUUGCAUUUACUACCCUGGGUUUCUUUUGAGGGGGACGGCCACCUGACCUGGUCUGAUAACGCCUCGCCGGAUGACUCAACGGCAUGGGCUUGGCCGAAGGUGGGGCGGCUACUUGUCGCGGAGGCUCUAAUGUGGAGCCUUGAAUAGGCGCCUUUCGCAAGACUCUCAUGCGGCUUGACGGAAAUGAUGACUUUGCUCCUCUGGUUCGCGCCAUGGCGGACUGAAGAAAAUGGCCGGAGGUGAUGGCCGAUGGCUCGCGCGGCUUCGGGCUCAGGUGAAAGAGAAAACAGACGGUUGCUCUGAUGUUCUUCCUUUCUGAACCCUUUUGGCAGCUUAAAUGACCGAUUUUUAUAAAAAUAAAGGAAUAUCAAGGGUCGUUUUCACAGCUCAUUUCGCAACUGCGAAAUGAGGGGAACUGUGCUGCGAAAUGGCACUCGUGUGCCAAGAGGGUGCUUCACAGCUGCGAAAAUUUUCGCAGAGAGGGGCCUGAGGUUGCGAAAUGAUUUCACAAAGGCUUCUUUUAGGUUGCGAAAUCUCGCAGACCUCUGUUUUUCCCCUGUUUUACACUCUUUCUUGCUCCAAACGACUUUCCUUUAAUUUCUUUGCAAUUCCUCCUACAUGAGAUCAUUUAGAAAUACUAAGUUACAUAUAAAUACACAACUUAAGACCAAAAAUCACAAGAAUUGAUAAAGCUUGAAAUUAACAAAAUUAACAAAAACAAACAAAACAACAAAAAAAAAAAUUAUGGACUUUGGUGAAACCAAGUCCAUCUAACCCUUAUUUGAUUAGGCUUUCUGUGGCUCAAGGAGGUUGAUUUCCUCCUUUUCUGGUUUGAAUGGCUCAAUGAAUGGCUUGAGACGAUGACCAUUGACCUUGAAAAUGUCAGUGCUUUUGGAAUUUAGUAAUUCCACCACUCCAUUGGGAUACACUUGGUGAAUAAUGAAAGGGCCUAUCCACCUUGACUUGAGCUUUCCUGGAAAGACAUGGAGUCUUGAAUCAUAAAGCAAGACUCUUUGUCCUUUAUGGAAUUCUUUGUUGGAGAUUAAUUGAUCAUGCCACCUCUUCAUCCUCUGUUUUGCAACUUUGGAAUUGAUGUAAGCAUCAUUUCUUAAUUCCUCCAUCUCAUUAAGGUCUAAGCACCUCUUUGCCCCAACUCUGAUCAAGUCCAUGUUUAACUUCUUGAUUGCCCACCAAGCUUUAUAUUCAACUUCCACAGGGAGAUGGCAUGCUUUGCCAUAGACUAGGCGAUAAGGAGACAUACCAAGAAUAGUCUUGUAAGUUGUUCUGUAUGCCCAUAGUGAAUCAUGAAGCUUAAUAGACCAAUAUUUUCUGCUCGUGAUCACCACCUUCAUCAGUAUAUUCUUGAUUUCCCUGUUUGCUAGCUCCACUUGCCCGGAAGUUUGAGGAUGAUAAGGUGUAGCUACCUUAUGCUUCACUCCAUACUUGGCUAAUAGGGUUUCAAAAGAUUUGUUGCAAAAAUGAGUACCUCCAUCACUGAUUAUGGCCUUGGGCACCCCAAAUCUUGAGAAGAUGUUCUCCUUAAGAAAUUUGAGAACCACCCUGUGAUCAUUAUGUUUACAGGGGAUUGCCUCAACCCAUUUAGAAACAUAGUCUACCCCCACCAAGAUAUAAGAGUUACCAAAAGACAUUGGGAAAGGUCCUAUGAAGUCAAUACCCCAAACAUAAAAAAGAUCAACUAUUAGAAUGGGGUUCAUAGACAAUUGAUUUCUUUUUGUUAGCUUCCCAAGCCUUUGGCAUCUAUCACAGCUCCUACACAUGAUGUGGGAAUCUUUGAAAAGAAAUGGCCAAGGAAACCCUGAUUGCAACACCUUCAUGACUGUUUUCUGAGAGGCAAAGUGGCCUCCACAUGCAUUUUCAUGGCAAUGGCUGAGGAUCCCUUGUUGCUCUUCUUUAGGGACACACUUUCUUAUGAUCUGAUCUGCACAAUACUUGAAAAGGAAGGGCUCUUCCUAAUAAUAAGCAUGAAUCUUUGCAAAGAAGUGCUUCAUGUCUUGUGCAUUCCACUCACUUGGAACUUCACCAGUAACUAAAUAGUUAGCAAUAUGAGCAUACCAAGGAGCUUUCUCUAGCAACAUAAGUGAUUCCUCAGGAAAGUCAUCAUUAAUAGGUAAGACAUGGGAAUUGUGUGCUAUAGCCAACCUUGACAGGUGGUCAGCUACCACAUUCUCCACCCCUUUCUUGUCUCUGGUCUGGAGAUCGAACUCUUGUAACAAAAGAAUCCAUCUAAUCAGCCUUGCUUUUGCAUCUUGCUUCGUCAAUAAAUACUUCAAGGCUGAAUGGUCAGUGAAAACAAUGAUGAAAGACCCUACCAAAUAAGCACGAAACUUGUCUAAGGCAAACACCACAGCUAACAAUUCUUUCUUUGUAGUUGUGUAGUUCCUUUGAGCCUCGUUCAAUGUUUUGCUUGCAUAGUAGAUCACGUAGGGCUUCCCAUCUUCUCUUUGGCCAAGUACAGCUCCUAUAGCAAAGUCACUGGCAUCACACAUCACUUCAAAGGGUAGUUGCCAGUUAGGAGCCCUCACUAUUGGAGCGGUUGUUAAGAAUUGCUUCAGUUGAUCAAAGCUAUUUUGACAUCUCUCAUCCCAGACAAACUUAGCAUCCUUAGCCAAAAGCUCACAAAGAGGUUUUGAAAGAUUAGAGAAAUCUUUUAUAAAUCUCCUAUAGAACCCUGCAUGGCCAAGAAAUUGCCUUAUUUCUUUCACAGUUGUUGGGGACGACAAUUUGACAAUAAGCUCCACCUUUGCCUUAUCAACUUCAAUGCCUUUCUCGGAGAUGAUAUGGCCAAGGACAAUUCCUUGACGUACCAUAAAAUGACAUUUCUCCCAGUUGAGCACCAAGUCCUUCUCAAUGCAUCUGUUCAGAACUGCUUCCAAAUUGACUAAGCAUUCCUCAAAUGUACCUCCAUAAACGGUGAUGUCAUCCAUGAAAACCUCCAUAAUUCGCUCCACCAUAUCACUGAAGAUACUAAGCAUACAUCUUUGGAAUGUUGCAGGUGCAUUGCAUAAACCAAAAGGCAUUCUUCUGUAGGCGUAUGUUCCAAACGGACAUGUGAAAGUGGUCUUCUCCUGAUCUUCCACAUCAAUUUCAAUUUGGAAAUACCCUGAGUACUCGUCCAAGAAACAAUAAAAAGGAUGGCCUGAGACUUUCUCUAGCACCUGAUCAAUAAAUGGGAGUGGAAAAUGAUAUUUCCUUGUCACAACAUUCAACUUUCGAUAAUCAAUACACACCCUCCAACCUGAAGUGAGGCGUGUAGCAAUUUCUUCUCCUUUUUCAUUCUGAACCACAGUAAUCACUGACUUCUUUGGUACCACUUGAGUAGGACUCACCCAAGGGCUGUCAGAUAUGGGGUAAAUAAUACCUGCUUGAAGUAGCUUCAGCACUUCAGCUCACACCACCUCUUGCAAAUGAGGAUUCAAUCUUCUUUGAGGUUGACGAAUUGGUUUAGCUUCUUCCUCCAUAUAAAUGUGAUGUGUACAAACCAAAGGGCUAAUGCCUUUCAAGUCAGAUAUUUGCCAUCCUAUUACUUUCUUACACCUCUUGAGAACUUCAAGUAAAGAAAUUUCCUGAUGACUAGUAAGAGAUGAAGAUAUAACAACAGGACAUUGAUUAUUUUCUUCAAGGUAUGUAUAUUUCAGCUCCACAAGCAGAGGCUUCAAAUUGAGCUUUGGGGUCUCUUUUUCAGCAGCUUCUCAUUCCUCUUUAUUGAACAAAGGUAGAAUCUCUUCUCUCCUCCUCCAACCUUGUAGAGUAGCAAGCACAUUAGGGGGUUCAGAAAACCCUUCUUCAAGAUCCCCAAGACUUUCAUUCAGCUUGUCUUGCAUAUUCUGAUUACAGUGCUCCUCCACUAGAGUGUCGAUAAUGCAUACCUCUUCUGGAUCUUCUUCUUCUUCCGGAGUGAUUUGCUUUUUAGACAUAUGAAAAAUGUUGAGUUCAAGUGUCAUAUUGCCAAAAGUGAGUUGCAUGAGUCCAUUCCUACAAUUGAUGAUUGCAUUUGAAGUAGCAAGGAAUGGCCUUCCAAGGAUGAUAGGAACUGAAUUAGCUUCCUUUACAGUAGGAUCUGUAUCAAGAAUAACAAAAUCUACUGAAUAGUAGAAAUUAUCAACUUGAACUAAGACAUCCUCAAUUACCCCCCUUGGAAUUUUUACUCAUCUAUCUGCUAGAGAUAGGGUGAUUGAUGUUGGCUUCAACUCACCAAGUCCCAAUUGCUUAUAGACAGAGUAUGGUAGCAAAUUCACACUUGCUCCCAAGUCUAACAAAGCUUUCUCCACUACCUUUCCUCCAAUCAUGACUGAAAUGGUAGGACAUCCCGGAUCUUUGUACUUCAAAGGAGACUUGCAUUGUAUGAUUGCACUUACUUGCUCAGUCAAGAAGGCUUUCUUGUUCACAUUCAACCCUCUUUUGAUAGUACACAGGUCCUUUAGGAAUUUUGCAUAUGUUGGAACUUGCUUAAUCAUAUCCAGCAAUGGAAUGUUGACCUUCACUUGUCUCAAUACUUCAAGGAUUUCUGAUGCAUUUUUUAUCCCCUUUUUCCCAUGCAAAGCUUGAGGAAAAGGUGGAGAUAUACGUUUCUUCAUCAAUUCUUCCUUAAUAAGCUCUUUCUCCAUAUUUGCAUUCACUGUUGAAUCACGGUCCUCCUUCUCUUCACUAACAUCUUUCUGUUUUCCUUUCAUUUCCUCCCCCUUCUUUGUUUCUUCUUCUUCUUCAACAUGUGGCUUGGGUGUUGGUGGCUCAACCUUUUUACCACUCCUUAGAGUGAUCAAGGCUUUAACAUUUUUCACCUGUGACGAUUCUCCCUCAUGGAUUUCCAUUUCAUGGAUACCCUUGGGGUUUUGGUGAGGUUGAGAAGGAAAUCUACCCUUCUCUUGCACUGUGUUCAAGUUAGUGAGCCUUGAUAUUGAGUAUUGGAGAUUAUCUAUCUUUUGAGAUAGAUGAUUUUGCAUCCCAUUCAUCCUUCUCUCUACACUGUCAAUUCUUUGACUGAGUUGAGCAUUGAUGGCUUUUUGGUCUCCAACAAAAUCUUCCACAACCUUGCUUAGAUUCGCUAUUGCUUUUUCAAGACUUGAAGAUUGUUGAGAUAGUUGAGCCGGUUGAGAUGGUGGAGCCGGUUGUUGGUAUUGAGGUGCUCUUGCCUUCCAUGAGAAAUUUGGAUGAUUCCUCCAACUUGAGUUGUAAGUAUUUCCAUAUGGUGCAUUGUUAUUGGGCUUGAAUUGACCAACAACAUUUGCUUGAUCUCCAAACAUUUCCCUUACAGUUGGAAUUGUAGGGCACUCCUCCACCAAGUGUUCAUAAGACUGACAAAUAGGACACAACUUUACUUGCACUGGUGCUUCAGCAACAGCUUGCACUUCAUGCAUCUUUUUCAGUUCUAGCUCCUCCAAUCUUCUUGUCAUAGCUGCAAAUUUUGCUUUCAUAUCAUCAUCUUCAUUCAAGGUGUACAUCCCAGCCUUAGCAUUGAAAGCACUCGAUUGAGACUUCAUCUUUCCCACUUCUCCUUUGUUGGGUUCAUCCCAUCCCCUUGAAACUUCAGCCACAUAACUCAAGAAAUCCAUAGCUUCCUCAGGAUUCUUACUCAUGAAAUCCCCUUCACACAUUGUUUCAAGGAGUUGCUUCAUUGAGGAAGACAUCCCAUCAUAAAAAUAGCUCACCAACAGCCAUGUAUCAAAGCCAUGGUGAGGACAAGCAGUUAUGGCUUCUAUAUAUCUUUCCCAACACUCAUAGAAUUUCUCAUUCUCUUUAGCUGAGAAGUUUGAAAUUUGCCUUUUCAAGCCAUUUGUUCUGUGAGUAGGAAAAAAUUUCUUGAGGAAUUCAGCUUGUAAGUCAGUCCAAGUACGGAUACUCCUUAGCCUUAAAGAAUUAAGCCAGAUCUUGGCCUUAUCCUUUAAAGUAAAAGGAAAUAGCUUAAGCCUCAUCAAGUCGAUAGAAGCUCCUUCCUCUCGGAAUGUAUUACAAACAUCUUCAAAUUCUUUGAUAUGGGCAUAGGGAUUCUCACUUUCCAUUCCAUGGAAAGUUGGUAGAAGUGGCACAAUAUGAGGUCUGAUCACUAGCUGCUCUGUAGGGGGCACUAUACAUGAUGGUGCACUCAUACGAGGUGGAUGCAUUCGGUCCCUCAUUGAGAUGAAAGCAUUGGGAUUAUCCUGGUGACCAUGGUGACUAUGCUGAUCUUCAGGUGUAGCUUCCAUGAUAUUCAAGCUCAAUUCCAAUUCCUUGUUAUGAGGUUAUCAAGUUUAACAAGCCUUCUUCCACUGUCUCGUAUCUAAUUUGGCAUACACAACUAGUAUCGAUUGUAACUAAGAAAGAAAAACAAAAAUAGAGGAAAACAAAAAAAAAACUACCAAAAAGAGUUCGAUUAACUAAAACUAAAUUAAAAACUAUGCUAGUAUAUAAACGAGUAAAAGAAAAAACUAAAAGAGUUAGUAAAAUGAGAGAAAAUUCACUAAACUUGUGAUGAAAACCACAGGUACCUUGAAAUAAUAUCACUAUGAAGUUGGCACCUUCCCCGGCAACGGCGCCAUUUGAUUCGUGCCCAGUCGGUGUAUCAACUGAUUCAUGUCCAGCUGGUGCUCCUUGCUUGAGGAAGUAAUCAACAAAAUUUAUAACCUAUUACACCAUGAACUAGGGUAGCAAAGACAAAGCUACUAUAGCAUAGUGGCUCUAGGAUCGUUCACUGGGAAGGGGUUUCAAUUCAUAAAUGAUACCAAUUCAAAGCUGAAUUGGUGCCUUUUCAUUUCAAGGUUAGCUUUAAAAGAAAACAUAAUUUUUGGAUGAAAAAGGUUUGGUUUAAACUAAUGGUAAAGAAAGUAAUAGAAAUUACUUAUGAAGAAAAACAUUCCUUAAAGGUUUAGGUUCACAGGGGAGGUUCCUCGUGCAACAACAGAGCUCCGGUCAUUUGGUUCAUUUCCUCGCAUUAGAGAAUUAACAUAUAGUCAAUUCUCUAAUCGGCUCUGUACAGAUGCUUUCCUUUAAUGGGUUCAAACACUAAAUCUCUAUCACUGAUGCACCUUGCAAUGGCUCAUACCUCUCACCUAGCACUUGCCAUUCAAGGUGAUCUUUAACCUUGGACUUCCCGUCAAAAGCUCGCAAGAGAUAACUAAUGGAUGUCUCCUUGGAGUCCAAAAGCUUACCAAGUGUUGGCUAUUCUAGAAAAUCCUACCUUCAAACCACUUCCCAAAUGCUCGCAAGAGAUAAACUAGUGCAUCUCAAUGGAGAUCACUUGCCUUAUCAAACUAGUGCAGUCGGGUACAAAUUGGCGGCAGCCGGGUGCAAAAUGAUGGCAGCCGGGUGCAAAUGGCGGCAGCCGGGUGCAAAUGGCGGCGCACAUCCGAUACAAAUUGGCGGCAGCCGGGUGCAAAUCCUAUCCGGAUAUGUGGUCCGGACGCCCUCCGAUGGUGUAUCCAGACGCCCUGUCCGGGUAUACUCCUUGCAUGGAUUCCAAAUAACUUUCCUCAAUUUCAGAUUUGCUUUGGUGAUAAAAAAGCUAUCAAACACCAAAACUUAACACAUUUUUUAUUAGAAUUGAUUGCAAGGGUCCUUAACAUGCCAAUUGAGUUAAAAGGUAAUAACUACUACUCAAUAGUGUUUAAAAGAGUUAAUUACAAGCUAUGAAAUAGCACGUUUUGAGUAGUAAUCAACAUCGAUAUGCUAGUUGACAGCACUGCAGGGCAUUCGAUGUUGUCCUUCAUGGAUGGAUUUUAUGGGUAUAACCAGAUUGUAAUAGCUCUAGAGGAUAUGGAGAAGACUUCUUUCAUCACUAAGUGGGGUACUUAUUGCUACCUGCUUAUGCCAUUUAGGUUGAAGAAUGCGGAAGCCACUUAUCAGAGAGCUGCUACUACUUUAUUCCACGACAUAAUGCACAGAGACGUCGAGGUAUAUGUGGAUGACAUGAUAGUGAAAUCCCGAGACAGGGCAGAUCACUUAGCAGCACUACAGAGAUUCUUUGAGAUGAUCUGACAGUUCAGGCUAAGAUUGAAUCCCAAGAAGUGUACAUUUGGGGUGACUUUUGGGAAAUUGCUAGGACAGAUCGUCAAUGAGCGUGGUAUAGAGGUUGAUCCCGAAAAGAUCAGAGCCAUACUUGACAUGCUUGCUCCGAGGACUGAGAGAGAGAUUAAAGGCUUUCUUGGCAGACUACAGUAUAUAAGUUGUUUCAUUGCUAGAUUGACAGACAUAUGCGAGCCUAUCUUCCUUCUUCUGAGGAAGAACCAGCCUACAGUUUGGAAUGAUGAUUACUAGCGCGCUUUCCAGAAGAUUAAGGAGUGUCUCCUCUCUUCUCCAGUUUUAGUGCCUCCCACACGGGGGUGGCCUCUGCUUCUGUACUUGUCCGUUUCAGACAUGGCUUUGGGAUGCAUGUUAGCUCAGCUCGAUGAUUCAGGGAAGGAGCGAGCCAUUUAUUAUCUGAGUAAGAGGAUGCUGGAGUAUGAGUGCAAAUACAUUAUGAUUGAGGGCCUCUAUUGAGCAUUUAUUUGGGCCACCAAGAGGCUGAGGAACUACGUGACAGAGUAUUCCAUAUUAUUAGACUCACGAUUGGAUCCAUUGAGAUAUUUGUUUGAGAGGCAUGUCCUGACUGGUAGGCUCAUGAGAUGGUUGGUGCUGUUGACAGAGUUUGAUAUUUAGUAUGUUACACAGAAGUCGGUAAAAGGGAGCAUUGUUGCAGAUCAUUUGGCUUUUUUUCCCGUAUCUAACGACAAACCGAUUGACGAUGAUUUCCCUGAUGAGCAGUUUGUCUUAGUGACCAGUAUUGCAGGAUGGUGGUUAUACUUUCAUGGUGCUGCCAAUCAGUCGGGGUUUGGUAUCGGUAUCCUAUUGAUAUCACCACAAGGUGAUCACAUUCCCAUAUCAGUCCGAUCGGCAUUCUUUGAUCAUCAUCGACUGACGAAUAAUAUUGUUGAGUAUGAGCCGUGCAUUACAGGUUUGUAGACUGCGCUAGACCUUGGAGUCAGAUAGUUGGAGAUCCAUGGGGAUUCCAACUUGGUUAUUCAGCAAACUUAGGGUAUUUGAAGGACUUAGGAUGAGAAGUUAAAGCCCUAUCAUGCUUAUUUGGAUUUGUUGGUUGAUAGGUUUGAGCAGUUGAGAUAUAUACAUCUGCCUAGGGCAGAAAAGUAGUUUUCUGAUGCAUUAGCCACCUUAGCUUCUGUGAUUGAGAUUCCUGCGGGAGUGAUAGUGUGACCAUUGGUGAUUGAGACUAGGUCCGCACCAGCUUACUGUUGUUUGAUUGGGGAUAUUGAGGACCAGGAUGAGUUGCCCUGGUAUCAUGACAUUUAUCAGUUCUUGUUAUGUGGCGCUUACCUUGAGUCAGCCUCAACCAAGGAUAGGAGAGCUUUGAGGCAGCUAGCCACUAGAUUCGUGAUUUGUGGAGAGUCCUUCUAUAGACGAUCACCCGAGGGCUUAUUAUUGCUGUGUUUAGACCAUACCUCUGCAGAUAGAGUAAUGAGAGAGGUUCAUGCAGGAGUUUGUGGCCCACACAUGGGGAGACAUAUGUUGGCCCGAAAGAUUAUGAGGACAGGUUAUUUCUGGUUGACUAUGGAGGUAGAUUGUUGCCAGUUCGUUCAGAGGUGCCCAGAGUGUCAGAUGCAUGGUGAUCUCAUUCACGUGCCACCUUCGGAGUUGCAUGCACUCACAUCCCCUUGGCCAUUUUCAGUGUGGGUUAUUGAUGUUAUUGGAAAGAUCUCACCCAAGUCUUCUAGCGGGCAUGAGUAUAUCUUAGUUGCCGUUGAUUAUUUCACCAAGUGGGUGGAAGCUGCUUCUUAUGCUAGAUUGACAGCGGCCAAGGUGGCCAAAUUCAUCAGGUCACAUAUUAUCUACCGAUAUGGGGUCCCCCCGAGCUGAUUUCUGAUAGAGGGUGUAUUUCAGGGGCGAGGUGGAUAUAUUGAUUAAGGAGUAUAGCAUUUAGCAUCACAGAUCGUAUGCGUAUAGGCCGCAGACUAAUGGGGCAGUUGAGGCUGCAAAUAAAAAUAUCAAGAGGAUUUUGAGAAAUAUGGUCGAGACUUCUCGGGAUUGGUCAGAGAAGCUCUCUUUUGCAUUAUGGGUUUACCGUAUAUCUUUUCGUACUUCUACCGGGGCUAGCCUGUAUUCUUUGGUAUAUGGUAUGGAGGCGGUGCUGCCUGUUAAGAUUGAGAUGGGAUCCUUGAGAGUAGCAUUAGAGCAGCAAAUAUUUGAGACUGAAUGGGCUCAGUCCCAUUAUGACCAACUUAGUCUUCUAAAUGAGAGGAGAUUGAGGAUAGUAGAUCAUGUUCAAGCUUAUUAGAGGAAGACGACUCGUGCAUUUAGAAAGAGGGUUAAGCCUAGGAAAUUUCAGAAGGGUGACUUAGUCUUGAAAGUCCUCAGGGGAUUGAUCAGUGACCCUAGAAGCAAGUUUAGACCGACUUGGAGCGGGCCUUAUGUUAUUCGAGAUUUGACCCGAGAGGGAGCCGCCUGGCUGACGGACUUAGACGAAAAUCAGUUUAAGGAGCCAGUCAAUGUGGAUCAGUUGAAGAAGUUUUAUGCGUGAGAUCAUGGUUAGAGGAUGGGUGGCCAUCAUUUUUUAGUAGCCAUUUUUCUUGUUGCACACCCACACAUUGAUAUAUCCUAUUGCUAGCCUGUUGUGCCUCAUGUGGUUUGUUAUGGCCUAUUCAUUCACUUAGCCUUGCAUACAUUUUCUCACCUGGGUUGGGGGCCUGUCCUUUGCGCUUUACAUUUAUUGAUUGGAUCUGUGAGUAUCGUGAGCUUUCUGUCAUUGUUCAUGUGUUCUUUCUUUGGUCAUUCAUGGUUUCUUCUUUCGUCCAUUGUGCAUUUUCAUUUCAUCUGGCUUUGAGUUCUGUUUCUAUCAUCUCGACUCUAUUCGCUUCUGUUUUCUCUUAUGUGAUGAUAACACGCUCUUGUCUUGGAGCUACAGGUCAGGCCUUUCACACCCUUCAUUCCACUUGUAGUCUUUGAUCUAGGAUUCUUAGGUUGAGGUGGGACCAUUUGGGAUGAGAGUUUUGAGGUUCUUUUGGUUGGACUAUGCUAGUGUGGCAUUCAGCUAGCUUUGGUUAUUUGGCGCAAAAAAAAAAAAAAAAAGAAGUGCUUAUUUGGUAUUUGUUGUUAUACUUGGGAUUAUCAGAGAUCAUUUGGGUUUGAGAGAUUUAUUAUUCCUCUGAGAGUUGGAUGAGAGCAUUGUACAAUCCUUCUCCAUGGAUUUGGGUGACACAUUGGGAGUAAGGUUUGGGUUUCUUUGGCACUCGGUCCCCUGGAUCAUUGUUUACAUCACCUUUCCCAUCUUACAGUGACUUGCUUCAGUCUGGCGUUCUUGGGAUGAGUUGUUCAUCGUUGUCACAUAUUGCUACAUUUUUAUCCUAGCUUGUUCCUCCAUUUUCUACUACAUCCAAUCAUCAUUUGUCUUAUCCCUUUUCGCCUUCUUCUAUCCUCAUCGAAUGUCGUUUAGCUUUAUGAACGACGAGUUCUUUGGUGCACAUCACCUAUUGUUUGACAUUAUUCAUUUGGAUGUAGGUUGAGUCACCUUGCUCACUGAUUUCGUGCCCAGCUGGUGUACCUUGAUUUUGGUCCUUAGAUAGGAGUAAUCAACAAAAUUUAUAACCUAUAUCACCAUGUACUAGGAUAGCCUCAGCUAACAUAGCAUAGUGGCUCUAGGAUCGUUCACUAGGAAGGGUUUUCAACUUGCAACUGAUAAUAAUUCAUAGUUGAAUUGAUGUUUUUUUUCAUUUCAAGGUUACCUUUAAAAGAAAACAUAAACUUUGGUUUAAAAAUGAUUGGUUUUAAGCUAACUAAAAAUAGAGUAACAAAAAUGACUUAAGUGGAGCUAAUAUCCUUGCUUUCUUCUUAGGAGGACGGCUAGUUGACUUCUUUGCACGAGAAGAGCUUGCCCCGAGUGUGGUGGGUGAUCUUCUUGUCUCAUAUCGCCUCGAAUGAGAACUCAAAGGCGCGCCCUCUACUGAAGGUGGGACGACAAGUGGCUGUGAAGGCUCAAUCAUGGAGCCUUGCAUAGGGGCCACUCUUGGUGCUCUGGGAUGGCCUGAGGGAGAUGAGGUCUUGGUUCCUCGGGUUUUUGCCAUGGCUGACUCAGAGAGGUUUGAGAGAGGGUGGUCGGAGGUGCGUGCGCGGCUUGGGCUCAGAUGGAGGUCCUCUGGAAAUGGUGCUUUGGCUUGGCUCCUAUUUUGCACCAAAGGGAGGUUUUCGCAAGGCAAAUGACCGGUGUAAAGUGAAAAAAAAUGGAAUUUAAAAAGUUAAAUUAGAAGCCAAGUGACGGUUGAGAUUUUUCGUAGAGGAGCGGGCAUUUCGCAGCGGAGGCCCAUUUUCACAGCCAAGGACCAUUUUCGCAGCCCAUUUUGCAGCUGCGAAAUGAGAAAGUGGGGCUGCGAAAUGGCACUCGUGUGCCAAAGUGGGGUUUUGCAGCUGCGAAAUGGAGCUUUGGCUGCGAAAUUGAGCUUUUGAGGGCCUUGGAUGGUUUCACAGAAGGUUUCGCAGUUGCGAAAUGAAGGCUUGGGCUGCGAAAUGACACUCGUGUGCGAAAAGAAGGUUUCGCAGCUGCGAAAAUUUUGGCAGAAGAGGGCUAUGGGGCUGCGAAAUUGUUUCGCAGAGGAGGACCCAUUUCGCAGCAAACCCUUGAUUUCACAGCGAGUCCCUUUUGGCUGCGAAAUUAUUUCACAAAGGAUGGUCGUUUUCGCAGGGGGCUAUUUUGGGCUGCGAAAUUUUGCAGGCCACUGAAAUUUCUUGUUUCUGAGCUCCUUUUGGCUCCCUGAGACCUUCCUUCACCUCUUUUGCAAUUCCUCCUAAAUUAGAUCAUUCAAAAAGUCUAAGUUACAUAAAAAUAACAUAAAUUAAGACUAAGAUUAAAAUCAAAACAAUUAAUAAAGUUCUUAAAUUAACAAAAUUAAACAAAAAAUAUGGACUUUGGUGAGACCAAGUCCAUUUAACCUCUUUCUGAUUAGGAUUUCUGUGGCUCAAGGAGGUUGAUUUCCUCCUUACCUUGCUUGAAUGACUCAAUAAAUGGUUUGAGACAAUGGCCAUUGACUUUAAAGGUGUUAGUGUUGUUGGAAUUCAGUAAUUCCACCACUCCAUUGAGAUGCACUUGGUGAAUAAUGAAAGGGCCUAUCCACCUUGACUUCAGCUUCCUAGGAAAGAUAUGGAGCCUUGAUUCAUAGAGUAAGACUCUUUUUCCUUUUCGGAAUUCUUUGUUGGAGAUUAACUGAUCAUGCCACCUCUUCAUCCUCUGUUUUGAAACUUUGGAAUUGAUGUAGGCAUCAUUUCUUAAUUCCUCCAUCUCAUUAAGGUCUAAGCACUUCUUUGCCUUGGCUCUGAUCAAGUCCAUGUUAACCUUCUUGAUUGCCUACCAAGCUUUAUAUUCAACUUCUACAAGGAGAUGGCAUGUUUUGCCAUAGACUAGGCGAUAGGGAGACAUGCUAAGAAUAGUCUUGUAAGCUGUUCUAUAUGCCCAUAGUGAAUCAUGGAGCUUAAUAGACCAAUCUCUUCUGCUCGUGUUCACCAGCUUCAUCAAUAUAUUCUUGAUUUCCCUGUUUGCUAGCUCAACUUGCCCGGAAGUCUGAGGGUGAUAAGGUGUAGCUACCUUAUGCUUCACCCCAUACUUGGCUAAUAGGGUUUCAAAAGGCUUGUUGCAAAAAUGAGUACCUCCAUCACUGAUUAUGGCCUUGGGCACCCCAAAUCUUGAGAAGAUGUUCUCUUUGAGAAACUUGAGAACCACCCUAUGAUCAUUGUGUUUACAGGGGAUUGCCUCAACCCAUUUAGAAACAUAGUCCACCCCCACCAAGAUAUAAGAGUUACCAAAAGACAUUGAGAAAGGUCCCAUGAAGUCAAUGUCCCAAACAUCAAAGAGAUCAACUAUUAGAAUGGGGUUCAUAGGCAUUUGAUUUCUUCUUGUUAGCUUCCCAAGCCUUUGGCAUUUAUCACAACUCCUACACAUGGUGUGGGCAUCUUUGAAGAGUGAUGGCUAACUAAACCCUGAUUGCAACAUCUUCAUGGCUGUUUUCUGGGAGGCAAAGUGGCCUCCACAUGCACGCUCAUGGCAAUGGCCGAGGAUUCCUUGUUGCUCUUCUUCAGGGACACACUUCCUUAUUAUUUGAUCUACACAAUACUUGAAAAGGAAAGGUUCUUCCCAAUAAUAAGCAUGAAUCUUUGCAAAUAAGUGCUUUCUAUCUUGUGCUUUCCACUCUCUUGGAACUUCACCAGUAACUAGAUAGUUAGCAAUAUGAGCAUACCAAGGAGUUUUUUCUAGCAACAUAAGUGAUUCCUCAGGAAAGUCAUCAUUAAUAGGUAAGACAUGGGAAUUGUGUGCUAUAGCCAACCUUGAAAGGUGGUCAACUACCACAUUCUCCACUCCUUUCUUAUCUCUGAUUUGGAGAUCGAAUUCUUGUAGUAAGAGAAUCCAUCUAAUCAACCUUGAUUUUGCAUCUUGCUUUGUCAAUAAAUACUUCAAGGUUGAAUGGUCAGUGAAAACAAUGAUGAAGGACCCUACUAGAUAAGCAUGAAACUUGUUUAAGGCAAACACUACAGCUAACAAUUCUUUCUCUGUGGUUGUUUAGUUCCUUUGAGCUUCGUUCAAUGUCUUACUUGCAUAGUAGAUCACAUAGGGCUUUCCAUCUUCUCUUUAGCCAAGCACAACUCCUAUAGCAAAGUCACUGGCGUCACACAUCACUUCAAAGGGUAGUUGCCAGUUAGGAGCCCUCACAAUUAGAGUAGUUGUCAAGAAUUGCUUCAGUUGAUCAAAACUCCUUUGACAUCUUUCAUCCCAUAUAGACUUAGCAUCCUUAGCCAAAAGUUCACAAAGAGGCUUUGAAAGCUUAGAGAAAUCUUUUAUAAACCUCCUAUAGAACCCUGCAUGGCCAAGGAAUUGCCUUACUCCUUUUACAGUUGUUGGGAAUGACAAUUUGACACAAUAAGUUCCACCUUUGCUUUAUCAAUUUCAAUGCCUUUCUCGGAGAUGAUAUGGCCAAGGACAAUUCCUUGCUGUACCAUAAAAUGGCAUUUCUCCAAGUUGAGCACCAAGUCCUUUUCAAUGCAUCUAUUCAGAACCGCUUCCAAGUUGACUAAGCAUUCUUCAAAUGUACUUCCAUAUGUGGUGAUAUCAUCCAUGAAAACCUCCAUAAUUUGCUCCACCAUAUCACUGAAGAUACUUAGCAUACAUCGUUGGAAUGUUGCAGGUGCAUUGCAUAAACCAAAAGGCAUUCUUCUAUAGGCAUAUGUUCCAAAUGGACAUGUGAAAGUGGUUUUGUCCUGAUCUUCAAUAUCGAUUUCAAUUUGAAAAUACCCGGAGUAGCCGUCCAAUAAACAAUAGAAAGGAUGGCCACAGACUCUCUCCAACACUUGAUCAAUAAAUGGCAAUGGAAAAUGAUCCUUCCUUGUCACAGCAUUCAAUUUUCUAUAAUCAAUACACACCCUCAACCCUGAAGUGAGGCGUGUAGAAACUUUUUCUCCCUUUUCAUUUUGAACCACCGUGAUCCUUGACUUCUUUAGUACCACUUGAGUAGGACUCACCCAAGGGCUGUCGGAUAUGGGAUAGAUAAUACCUGCUUGAAGUAGCUUCAGAACCUCAGCUCGCACCACCUCUUGCAAAUGAGGAUUCAAUCUUCUUUGAGGUUGAUGAAUUGGUUUAACUUCUUCUUCCAUGUAUAUAUGAUGUGUAUAGACCAAAGGACUGAUGCCUUUCAAGUCAGAUAUUUGUCAUCCUAUUGCUUUCUUACACCUCUUGAGAACUUCAAGUAGACACAUCUCCUGAGGAGUAGUAAGAUAUGAAGAUAUAACAACAGGGCACUUUUGAUUUUCUUCUAGGUAUGUAUAUUUCAACUCCGUGGGUAGAGGCUUCAGAUUGAGUUUUGGGGUCUCUUCUUUAGCAGCUUCUUGUGCCUCUUCUUUAUUGAACAAAGGUAGAAUCUCUUCUCUUAUUCUCCAACCUUGUAGAGAAGCAAGCACAUCUGAGGGUUUAGGCAACCCUUCUUCAAGAUCCCCAAGACUUUCAUUCAACUUGUCUUGCAUUUUCUUAUUACAAUGCUCCUCCACUAGAGUGUCAAUAAUGCACACCUCUUCUGGACCUUCUUCUUCUUUCGGAGUGAUUAGCUUUUUGGACAUAUAGAAGAUAUUGAGCUCUAGUGUCAUGUUGCCAAACGUGAGUUGCAUGAGUCCAUUCCUACAAUUUAUGAUUGCAUUUGAUGUAGCAAGAAAUGACCUUCCAAGGAUGAUAGGAACAUAAUCCGUUUCCUUGACAAUUGGGUCUGUGUCAAGAACAAUAAAGUCUACUGGAUAGUAGAAAUUAUCAACUUGAACUAAGACAUCUUCAAUUACCCCCCUUGGAAUUUUCAUUGAUCUAUCUGCUAGAGAUAGAGUGAUUGAUGUUGGCUUUAAUUCACCAAGUUCCAAUUGCUUGUAGACAGAGUAUGGUAGCAAAUUCACACUUGCUCCCAAGUCUAACAAAGCUUUCUCCACUACUUUUCCUCCAAUCAUGAUUGAAAUGGUGGGACAACUCGGAUCUUUGUACUUCAAAGGAGACUUGCAUUGUAUGAUAGCACUCACUUGCUCAGUCAAGAAGGCUUUCUUAUUCACAUUCAACCCUCUUUUGAUAGUACACAAGUCCUUUAGGAAUUUUGCAUAUGUUGGAACUUGUUUAAUCAUAUCCAGCAAUGGGAUAUUGACUUUCACUUGUCUCAAUACUUCAAGAAUUUCUGAUGCAUUUCUGAUCCCUUUUUUCCCAUGCAAAGCUUGAGGAAAAGGUGGAGAUGUGUGUUUCUUCAUCACAUCUCCCUUGAUGAGUACUUUAUCCGGAUUUGCAUUCACUGUUGAAUCAUGGUCCUCCUUCACUUCACUGGUAUCUUUCUUCUUUCCUUUGAUUUCCUCCCUCUUCUCUGUUUCUUCUUCUUCUUUUUCUUCCUCUUUAACAUAUGGCUUGGGUGUUGGUAGCUCAACCUUUUUACCACUCCUUAGAGUGAUCAAGGCUUUGACAUCUCUCACCUGAGAAGAUUCUCCCUCAUGAGUUUCCACUUCAUGGAUACCUUUGGGGUUUUGGUGAGGUUGAGAAGGAAAUCUACCCUUCUCUUGCACUAUGUUCAGGUUAGUGAGCCUUGAGAUUGAAUAUUGGAGAUUAUCUAUCUUCUGAGAUAAGCCAUUUUGCAUGUCAUCCAUCCUUUUAUUCAAUGUAUUCUCUACACUGUCAAUUCUUUGACUAAGUUGAGCAUUGAUGGAUUUUUUAUCUCCAAUAAAAUUUCCCACAACCUUGCUUAGAUUCACUAUUGCUUGUUCAAGAUUUGAAGCUUGUUGAGAUGGUUGAGCUGGCUGUUGGUACUAAGGUGCUCUUGGCUUCCAGGAGAAAUUUAGAUGGUUCCUCCAAUUUGAGUUGUAAGUAUUUCCAUACAAAGCAUUGUUGUUGGGCUUGAAUUGUCCAAUGACAUUUGCUUGAUCUCUAAACAUUUCCCUAGCAGCUAGAAUUGUAGAGCACUUCUCCACCAAGUGCUCAUAAGAUUGAAAAAUAGGACAUGGCUUGACUUGCACUGGUGUUUCAGCAACAGCUUGCACUUCAUGUAUCUUCUUCAGUUCUAGCUCCUCCAAUCUUCUUGUCACAGCUGCAAACUUUGCCUUUAUAUCAACAUUUUCAUUUAAGGUGUACAUCCCAGCCUUAGCAUUAAAGGCAUUCGGUUGAGACUUCAUCUUCUCCACUUCUCCUUUGUUCGGUUCAUCCCAUCCCCUUGAUACUUCAACCACAUAACUUAAGAAAUCCAUGGCUUCCUCCAGAUUCUUACUCAUGGAAUCUCCUCUACACAUUGUCUCGAGGAGUUGCUUCAUUGAGGAAGACAUCCCAUCAUAAAAGUAACUCACCAAUAGCCAUGUAUCAAAACCAUGGUGAGGAUAAGCAUUGAUGGCUUCCAUGUAUCUUUCCCAACACUCAUAGAAUUUCUCACUCUCUUUAGCUGAGAAGUUUGAAAUUUCCCUUUUCAAGCCAUUUGUUCUGUGAGUAGGAAAAAAUUUCUCGAGGAAUUCAACUUGCAAAUUAGUCCAAGUCCGGAUACUCCUUGGCCUUAAAGAAUUAAGCAAAAUCUUGGCCUUAUCCUUUAAAUUAAAAGGAAAUAGUUUAAGCCUCAUCAAGUCGAUUGAAGCUCCUCCUUCUUGAAACGUAUUACAAACAUCUUCAAAUUCCUUGAUAUGGGCAUAGGGAUUCUCAUUUUCAAUCCCAUGGAAAGUUGGUAGAAGUGGAACAAUAUGCGGUCUAAUUACUAGCUGCUUUGUAGGGGGCACUAUACAGGAUGGUGCACUCAUACGAGGUGGAUACAUGAGGUCCCUCAUUGAUCUGAAUGCAUUGGGAUUGUCCUGGUGACCAUGGUGACUAUACUGAUCUUCAGGUGUAGCUUCCAUGAUAUUCAAACUCAAUUCCAAUUCCUUGUUAUGAGGUAUUUCAAGUUUCACAAGCCUUCCUCUACUAUCUCGUAUCCAAUUUGGCAUACACAACUAGUAUCAACUGUAAUAAAAACAAAAACAAAAGAAAACAAAAGAAAACAAAAGAAAACAAAACUACAAAAAGACUAAGAUUAAUUAAAACUAAAUUAAAAAAAAUGCUAAAAUAUGAACAAAUAAAAGAAACAAUUAAAAGAGUUACUAGAAUGAAAGAAAAAUCACCAAACUUGUGAUGAAAAUCACAAGUACUCUGAAAAGAUAAUAUCACUGUAAAGUUGGCACCUUCCCCGACAAUGGCGCCAUUUGAUUUCGUGCCCAGCUGGUAUACCUUGAUUUUGGUCCUCAGAUAAGAGUAAUCAACAAAAUUUAUAACCUAUAUCACCAUGUACUAGGAUAGCCUCAGCUAGCAUAGCAUAGUGGCUCUAGGAUCGUUCACUAGGAAGGGUUUUCAACUUACAAUUGAUAAUAAUUCAAAGUUGAAUUGAUGUUUUUUUUCAUUUCAAGGUUAGCUUCAAAAGAAAACAUAAACUUUGGUUUAAAAAGGAUUGGUUUUAAGCUAACUAAAAAUAGAGUAACGAAAAUUACUUAUAAAGAAAAGUGUUUCUUGGAGUUUUAGGAUCACUGGGAUCAGGCUCCUAAUACAAAAACAGAGUUCCGGUCACUUGAAUCUUUUCCUCGCAUUAGAGAAUUAACAUAUAGUUAUUUCUCUAACCGGUGUGGUACAGAUGCUUCCCUUUUAUGGAUUCAAACACUAAAUCCCUCUCACUGAUUCAUCUUGCAAUGGCUCGUGCCUCUCACCUAGCAUUUGUCAUUCAAGGUGAUACUUAAUCUUGGAUUUCCUUUCACAAGCUCGCAAGAGAUAACUAAUGGAUGUCUCCUUAGAGUCUAAAAGCUUACCAAGUGUUGGCUAUUCUAGAAAAUCCUACUUUCAAACCACCUCCCAAAGGCUCGCAAGAGAUAAACUAGUGCAUCUCAAUGAACGGAGAUCACUUGCCUUACCAAGUGUUGGCCCAGGUGAUUCAAAGACGUUUUAAGUUAACUAAAAACAUAGAAACCAUUAACGGGUACACUUUCUCUUCAUUAAAAGUUGAAACAACAAAACUUCCAAUUCUUGCAUUCGGCACCUUACCCAACUACCUUAACUCCAAGAGACAAAAAGUCUAGCCACUCAUUCUCUGAGGAAACAUCCUCAUUUGUCUAGUAAGCAAAAUACAAUCAAAGUGAGUAGGUAAGGCAGAGCAAAACUCUGUAUAUUACUUCCUUCAAAACUAUACAAAAGGUUGUCUUUAAGAACAAACUCCCGAGAUGUCUGUGUAAAGAAAAUUACAAACCAUAUAUAUGAGGUUAUUCACCCUUUUGUUCUUACUUAUUAACUAAGGAAUCCUAUGAUUGGUGGAUUACAAGGAGAGAAUGGGGAUUUAAACAACAAAUAUUUGAAGAAAAAAAUCUAAAAGAGUCGGUCGCAAAUAUCUGGAAGCACUCAGGUGGAUUUCGCAGGCAUGCAAGAUGGGCUGCGAAAUUUCGCAAGUUGAAAGUCUCCAUUUCGCAGCCAAAGGUUGAUUUCAACUUUUAGCUUGGUGUGAUUGGCUUCCAAUGACUAUAACUCCUUCAUUUCAGCUCCAAUUCAUGCACCGUUUGAAGCGUUAGAUUCCUGACUUCCCAAGCUUCGAAACAACAUAUAGUAUGCAUGAAAUGGACUCUAGAAAGUGCUCUAAAUGUGUCCAAAGUUGUUGUCCUCUUGAAUUCUUCAUGUUAGAUUUCUCUCUUUGCUUUCCCUCAUUGCAUUCAUGAUUUGCUUUUGGAAAAGGACUAUAGAGCUUCAAAACUUGGGUUCUUAAUGUAAAUGAGCUUUCAAUUGCUUUGCCAUGGAUUCUAUAGAACUCUCCUCAAUCUUGAAUUGCUUUGGUGAUAAAAAAGCUAUCAAAAACACCAAAACUUAACACAAAGUGAUUAGAAAUGAUUGCAGAGGUACUUAAUAUGCCAAUUGAGUUAAAAGGUAAUAACUACUAUUCAAAAGUGUUUAAAAGAGUUAAUUAUAAACUAUAAAAUAGCACUUUUUGAGUAGUAAUCACUCACAUGAUUCUAUGAUAUUUGGCAUUGCAUACAGGGGUUUGGCAUUUAGUUAUUGGGUAUUUGGGCCUUUGUGUCCCAUCAUUUCAUUCACCUGUCACCCCUGGCCUACAUUACGGUCCGAGUCGUAAGACCACCCUGAGGCCAUGAGAUCUCGUAUCUGCUUCGAUGCGGUUCAUUCGGAUAGGCUCCAUCUACUGAUUGAGUACGGGAUGUCAACAGGUCUCCAUUGCUUCAGGGAAUAUCGAGGGUCACAUAUUGCCUUUCCAUUCAGUUUGCUUGCCUCAAGUCCAUGAUCAGAGGCAAAUGAUACAGAGAGUUGGGACCGUUGAAAACGUCUUUGCUUGAUGCUUUGACAUGUUCAUACUAGGGCAUACCCUCAUCCUUGCAUACUGGCUUCGACUCUUACACAUGUACGCAGGCAGUUCGUUUCGCCUAGAGAUGUUUUGGAUAUCAGAGUUUAAGUAAGCCCCACAUUCAACUUGGUUUCUUCAUACAGCAGAGUGCUUUUGGGAGCUGACCUGAGAUCAAAUUCACGGUAUUCAUUGACCCAGCAGGAGUGUGCACACCCGGGCAUACCCCAUUCAUUGUCUUGUUCGCUAGCUCAGACAAUUGGGUCUUCAAUGAUGUAUUUCAGAGUUUUCAUUGAGAUAUUUGAGUUUCAGAGGUAAACAUUGGGGCAUACCCCUUAUCAGUUUUUUUGUGGAUAUUGGAUGUUAUGGAUUAGGGUGGAGGGUUUUUCCUCAUGGAUGGAUGUUUGUGAUAUUUCCAGCUUUUUGACUUUGAAUCUAUGUGCAGUUGUGGGUUUCUAACAUGGUUUUGAUGCCUUAGACUGGAGCAUGGCCCUUUCUUUGCACUUUUGGUCACUUUUAAGAGUUGUCAUACAGGGGCAUACCCCCCAUCUUUCUAUCUUGUUGGUGGGGUUAUUCAUUUCUUGUUUAUCGGCGUUUUCUGAUGUCACACUAAGGCACACCCCCUUUCUUUCGUCAUGAUUGACGGGUUUGACUUUUCUCUUAUUUGAUUCAUUUAUUGACAUUUUUCGGACGCCACACUAGGACAUACCCCCCUUUUUCAUGGUGCCAUUACUUUUCAUUUCCUUUCAUUUCAAUGGCUCUCUAGCAUCGUGCCCGGAUCCCCUAGUCAUUUCGGCGGCUCUCUAGCAUCGUGCUCAGAUCCCCUAGUCAUUUCGAUGGCUCUCCAAUAUUGUGCUCAGAUCCCCUAGUCUUUUGGGGGCUUACCCGCAUCAUGCCCGGAUGCCCUGGUCAUUUCGGCUGCUCUCCAGCAUCAUGCUCGGAUCCCCUAGUCAUUCGGCGGCUCUCCGGCAUCAUGCCCGGAUUUCCUAGUCAUUUCGGUGGCUCUCCGGCAUCGUGCCCAGAUCCACUAGUCAUUCCGGCGGCUCUUCGACAUCGUGGCCGAAUCCUUUAUUUUUCGGCAUCGUGCCCGAAACCCCUAUUUUUCGUCAUCGUGUUGGAUUUUCUUUUAUCUUUCUCGGCAUCGCAUACUGAUUUCCUUUGUUUUCUCCGGCAUCAUGCCCGGAUCCACUAGUCAUUCCGGUAGGUCUUCGACAUCGUGCCCAAAUCCUCUAUUUUCCGGCAUCGUGUCCGGUUUCCUUUUAUCUUUCCCGGCAUCGCGCCCGGAUUUCCUUUGUUUUCUCCAGCAUUGUGCCCGGAUCCCCUAGUCAUUCCGGUGGCUCUUUGGCAUCGUGCCCGAAUCCCCUAUUUUCCGGCAUCGUGUCUGGUUUCCUUUUAUCUUUCUCGGCAUUGUGCCCGAAUUUCCUUUGUUUUCUUCGGCAUUGCGCCUGGAUCUUAUAUCUCUCCCGAAAACGCGUCCGAUUUUCUCCUAUCUUUUCUGGCACCGUGUCCAAAUUCCUUUAGCUUUCUCCUGCAGUGUGCCUGGGUCCUUUAGUCCUUCGGUCAUCAUGGCUCAUUCCCUUAGCCUCUUUAUGGUUGUGUGGGGACAAAAUUGUUGGUCAUUGGAAUUCUUCACUAGAGUUCAUUUCACUCAUUCAUUCUUGCACUUUGCAUUCGUGACUCACUCGUUCAUUCACUCUACUAAAGAGGGGCAUAUUUGUAAACCCUCAAUUUUGUCCCUUGACACUUGCAUUUUAUCUUAUGGGUGCCACAUGCACCCAUGUUUUCAUAUGACCCCGCCAUGGCCCCUUUUUGGCCUUGAUCGAUUUCUGAGCCUUGUGUAGGUUCAUUUGCGGUCCAAUGUAGUGCGGGUGUGUAGUUCAUUUUGGAGUUCCGUCAUGGCCAAUUUCCCUAGUUGUUCACAUCAUGCUAUAGGGAAGGAAGUGCAGCCCCCCAAAAAUUUCAGUUCAGUUGGAAUUCAUAAGAGCAGGUUCGAAUUCGGAGCACUUAGGCUUGUUUUGAUCAUAUCUCCCUCAUCCGAACUCGGAAUCACGCACCGUUUUUUUUUAUGGACUCCUUAUUCAUCAAGGAACAUUCUGUAAAAAUUUCAAUUUUUUUUCUCAACUGGCUCGACUGGUUCCCAAAGUUUCAGAUUUUUUCUCAAUCGGAUGAAUUGGUUGGGCACCGGUUCAACAGGUGGCUUGGUGGCAGCCCAGUUUUAUAAAUGCUUUGCAUUGUUUCGAUCAAGUCUCUCUCAUCCAAGAUCAAAAUUGAGCUCUGUUUGUUUUUUUGGAUUCCUUAUUCUCUGAGGAAUCUUCUGGUAAAUUUUCAGAUUUUUUUCUCAAUCGGAUGAACUAGUUAGGAACCGGUUCAACAGGUGGCUUGGUGGCAGCCCCAUUUUAUAAACGCUUUGCAUUGUUUUGGCCGGUUCUCCCUCAUCCAGAAUCAGAAUUGAGCACCAUUUGUUUUUUUAGAUUCUUUAUUCUUUGAGAAAUCUUCUGGUAAAUUUUCAAAUUUUUUCUCAAUCGGAUGAAUCAGUUGGGAACCGGUUCAACAGGUGGCUUGGUGGUAGCCCCAUUUUAUAAAUGCUCUGUAUUGUUUCGGUCGGUUCUUCCUCGUCCGGGCUCAGAAUUGAGCGCCGUUUGUUUUGUUGGAUUCAUUAUUCUCCAAGGAAUCUUUUGGUAAAGUUUUAGAUUUCUUUUCUCAAAUGGUUGAGCUGGUUGGGAACCGGUUCAAUCGGUUUUGCUAGGUAGCUCUAGUUUCAGCGUGUUUUGACCCCCAUUUUUGUUAUGGCUUGGGCCCUUAGGCUCCAAGGCACUUGUAGGCCACCUUUAGGGUCUGAAUCCAGAUUUGGUUUGAAUUAAUGUGGGCCCACCUAUGAGUUGAGGGUAUUAUUGGCUAGGAAGGUCGGGGGGUUAUUGUGAAUGUUUGGCUUGGGCACAUUUUGAUGUUUGAUUAAAAAUGCUUGUGUCUAUUGAUUUGCCCCUGUUUGUAACGCUUGGCUGGGGACCCGAGGUACAUACUUGACUUGUUGGGAAUUGGAUUCAUUUGCAUGCAUGGGACUUGGAUAUGUUUGCUUGUUGUGUGUUGAAUUGAAGCCCCAUUUUAGAUGAAGUGGCACACUAAAACCCAGUGAACAUGAGCUCUAAAAUGCAUACAUUCAAUUUCUUUCCAAACAACCAGCGAUAAGCAGAGCCCCAUGCAAUUCGUAGAGUUCUCCUCAUGCAAUUUAUAUCAGCAAUGUAGUCUCAAGUACAUUCUCGGACCUCACUCUAGCAUUGGCUACCUUGGUGCACCUUACCCUCAUAAUUUUUUUUCUUUUCUUUGUGAUCUUACACAUCUUAAAUCUGGAUUUCAAAACCUUUUUCCAUCAAAAUAACUCUACUUUUCUUUAAAAUUCAUUCCUUAGGAGUUUCUAGGCAUAAAAUCCAAAUUUUAACAUACUAUUUGCUGCAAUUUUCCUUCUAGCACGCGUUCUCACUAUUUUCUACUAAUUUUCUUGAUUUUCUUGUUUUUCCUAAACAAGCAUGAAUAAACUUCAUGAUUCCAAAUAAUGGAACUCAUUAAACCAAUUCAUGCAAAAGUAAUUUGGACCUUGGUGGGUGGCGCGACAUCCAUGAAUUUUUUUUUAGAUAUUGAUUCAAAUGAGGUGUUUGCUUGAUAUUUAAUUGAAAUUGAUCCUCUUCAUGAUACAUGAGUUUGUUUUAUAGUUAUUUUUGAACUAACCAUGCUCCCCAUUAAAGCGCUUAGCUUGCUACUCUUGUACGCUAUCUAUCACCUAAUUUUCAGAAUUCUAUGAAUAUGCAUAUUAUUAUGAGCUAUAUCUAUGUUCAAUUCUAUCAUUGGAUGCCUAAAUGUUUGUUUUAUUUGCUCUAACAAAAUGCAUGUUGUGUGUCAUAUUUGUAAGCUAACUUUGAUGUCUUAUGAUAGUGCUUGAGGAGCAAUCUAGGUACACACCCUAACUCUCCUUUAUGAUUAUGAUUUGAUUUAUUAUUGGGCAUGCUUGUUUUGAAAUCACCUUAGCCUACCUAGGCAUUCAUAAUCAACUUAUUAAUUGCCACAUUUACCUCAAUUUAGUCAAUAGAGACCUUUUUAUGGCUUAGAGAGGUACUACCUCUUUGAGGUACCUUCCCAAAAGGUAACUUGAUCGCCGAACCUCCUUUUAAAAUAAAAUAAAAUAAGCAAUGACUCUAACUUUGACCAAAAUUAAUUUUUCACCAAUAAAAGCAAGUAUCGCUGAUGAGUGGGGACACACGUGAAAAUUGCAGGUCCACAGCAUGCACCUAGUCAAAUUGUGUAUUGUUUGCAAGAGAUGCUUGUAUUUAUUUCCUAAUGAGUUUAUUCUAAUUCUUUGAUUAGGAUUUCUUCAAUCACAUUGCUUGCUAUUGAAUUUCCAAUGGCUUAAUAUAAAUUAUUAGAAAAAUGUUGUUUAAUUAUUUCAGCAACUUAUCCUUUAUAAUUUUUUUUAACAAAUAUUAUCUCUGAUGUUCAUUUGUAAUAAAUAGCUAGAGAAAGGGCCCAAUGUGAACACCUAUGAGACUUAGUUGUGUUUGAGAGAUUACAUGGAAAUCUUGGCAAAACAUCUCCAAGCCUUGUUGUCAAAAAGGAAACCCUACAUCUCAUGCCUUUAUACUGCAUCUUAGCUUCUCAUCUUGCAAUGGACAAUGGUACUCUUAUUGAAUCAGUUUUACCAUACCAGUCAUCAACAUUUGCACUCAUUAAGCACUAAUUUAAGCACUGAUGCUUUUGUUAAAGUUAUUUCCUUUUUUGUUUGUUCGUUUUUGUUUUCUUUUGUUUUGGAGGUAAUUGUGUUGGAUGAUUUAUGUUUGUGUUAGACAACAAAGCUUGUCUUAAUGCUAUUGUAAAACAAGACUAUGCUAAUAAGAUUUUGAUGUUUACAAUGUUUAUGCCAAAUUGAAUUUUUAGUUUUCCUAAUUGAAAAUUUGCUUGUUUUCCCCAUUAUAUCGAUGUUAUUGUUGGAUUUUUGUUUCUGUUGAUCAAGCAUGUGCUAAAAGUUUGUUUUUUUUUUUUUUUUCCGUUGCUACUUCAUGUGUGUGGAAUUCUAGCUUAAAGUUAGUGAGGAAUUCUAGGGUUUGUUAAGGCCAUUUUUGGUAUUUUGUUAUUAGUUCCUAAUUUAAUGUUUUUCCUUAUUUAGUGGAGAUUUUGUUCUCUAAUCAAUUAAGAUUGAAUCCUGGUCCUUAUGGUGACUGAUUGCACUAUUCUCUUGUAUAUAUAUACCAUGUUGUAUUCUAUAGAAAGUAAGAGAAUUAAUAAAUAAAUAAAAAUUAACUUCUCAUAAAUCUUCAUGGUAUCAAAGCCUUCCCUCUAAAACCCUAAUUUUCCACAUCACCAAAUUCGUCAUGGCUAUUGAGAGACAAAUCUCAACCUUUGAAGUGACCUUCAAUCCAGAAACGAUGCCAACGAUGAACAACCAUGGAAGAGCCGAGAACCCAUCUAUGCUCAUCACAGGUCACAAACUCAAUGGCCAUAAUUUUCUCUAGUGGUCUUAGUUAGUGAUGAUGUAUGUCUGUGGAAAGGGCAAGGAUGAAUAUCUCACCAGUGAAGUAGUUAUCCCUGAGAAGACCAAUCCCAAAUUCAGGGUGUGGAAGACCGAGAAUCACAUGGUGAUGUCUUGGUUGAUUAAUUCGAUGAAUACCGACAUAAGAAAGAAUUUUCUCCUCUAUGGAACUGCCAAAGAAUUAUGGGAUGUAGCAAGGGAGACAUACUCAAAUUCUGAAAACACUUCAAAAAUAUUUGAGAUAGAAGCCACUUUACACAACCCUACGGCAGGGAGAUCUCUCUGUUACCCAAUACUUCAACAUUCUUUCUCGUCAUUGGCAGCACCUAGACAUGUUUGAAGUUCACACCUGGAAGUGCCCUGAAGACACUGCAUUGUACCGAAAAAUUGUGGAGCAAAAGCGAACAUUCAAGUUUCUCCUUGGCCUCAACAAGAAUUUGGACGAGGUUAGGGGGAGAGUGAUGGGGACCAAACCUCUUCCAAGUAUUAGAGAGACAUUCUCAGAAGUUCGCCGUGAGGAAAACAUGAAAAAGGUUAUGAUGGGAUCUCAGAAUUCUGCCCUAUCAAUUGAAGGAUCUACCUUUGUAGCACGAGGACUUCCAUCAAACACCAACAGUGAAAAUCGCCAGAAAAUGGGAAACCUUAGUGUGACCACUACCGAAAACUAUGACAUUCCAGAGAAAAUUGCUGGAAGAUUCAUGGCAAACCAGCUAAUUGGAAGCCAUCCAAACCAUUCAAUGAUAGAGAAAGUAGUGUCCAUAAUGUUGCUACCUCAGAAGACAAGCCAACCUCAACCAAGACCAGUCCUUUCAGCAAAGAGCAGCUUGAGAUGCUUCAACAACUCAUAAGUCAAAACUCCCUAUCUCAAUCCAGUAACUCAGCAUCUGGUAUAGGCAUGUUGGCACAAAAAGGUGAUUUUUCAAAUGCCUUUGCAGUAAAUAAACAACACUUGAAUCCUGGAUUAUUGACUCUGGAGCAUCAGAUCACAUGACAAGAGAAGGAACCAUAUUUCAUGAGUACAACCCUUCUAAAGAGAAAUAUACAGUUUGGAUUGUUGAUGGAUCUCUAUCCAAAGUUGCUGGAACAGGCUCAAUCAGGGUUACAAACGACCUUAAUCUAAACCCUAUUCUCCAUGUCCCUAAUUUGGAAUGUAAUUUACUCUCAAUCAGCAAAUUAACUCGUGAUCUUCAUCGUGAAGCUAAAUUUUUCUCAAACUUGUGUAAAUUUCAGGAACUGGAUUCGAGGAGGAUGAUUGGCAAUGUUGAGAUGUGCUCUAGACUCUAUCUUCUCAAGGGUGAUACUCCUCUAAGAAGACGAACUCAAAAUGCAAGUUGUGUGUCGCUUAAGAGUCGGUCAAUUUUAGAUUUUUGUGUCAAUAAAGAUAAUGAGGUCAUGUUAUGGCAUUAUCGUCUGGGUCAUCCAAAUUUUAUAUAUCUUGAAAAAUUGUUUUCAUCUUUAUUCAUCAAUAAAAGUCCAAAAUUUUUCAGUUGUGAAAUCUACCAGCUUCCAAAACAUACUCACAGUAGUUACCCUAGUCUUUCAUAUACACCAUCUCACCCAUUUGCCAUGAUUCAUAGUGAUGUGUAGGGUCCUUCGAGGAAAAACAAUAUAACAGGAGCACGGUGGUUUGUCUCGUCUGUUGAUGAUCACACUAGAUUGACCUGGGUAUUCCUGAUGAAAGAAAAAUCUGAAGUUGGAAAAUUUUUUCAAAUUUUCAAUUCCAUGAUCUAAACUCAAUUCCAGACCAAAAUCCAAGUUCUAAAAACUGAUAAUGCCAAAGAGUACUUCAAGUUUGUUCUAGGUAGUUACCUCAUGAGUCAAGGAAUAGUCCACCUAAGUUCUUGUGUUGUCACCCCUUAAUAAAAUGGGAUUGCAGAAAGAAAAAACCAACAUUUGUUAGAGGUAGCUAGGUUCCUCAUGUUUUCCACUCACGUUCCUAAACAUUUUUGGGGGGAGGUAGUACUUAUAGCCACGUAUCUCAUCAAUAGAAUGCCAUCCAGAAUUCUUAAAUUUAAAACGCCUUGUCAAUCCCUUCUCUAGAUCUUUCCACAUACAAAAAUCAUCUCUUCAUUAGAUCCAAAAAUAUUCGGGUGUUCAACUUUUGUCCAUAUACAUCAGCAACAUCGUAGCAAAUUAGACCCUAAAUCCAUCAAAUAUAUCUUUAUAGGGUACUCUUCACAUCAAAAGGGUUAUAAGUGUUAUUCUCCCAUCACUAAAAGGGUAUACAACUCUAUGGAUGUGACAUUUUUUGAACAUCAAGCUUACUACCACAAAACCGACAUGCACGGGAAGAACAUGAGAGCAUUCCAGUUUUGGAAGACACUUGAUCUUGGGGACACCCUACCAUUACCUCAUCUUACUUCUCAGCCAAUUUUCAGUCAACAACCAAAAGUCAUUAAUCAAAUUCCAGUUCAAAUUUCAAUGUCUUCACAACCUAAACCUGAGAGUCAUCCUCCUACUACCUCACCUCAAACUCUAGUCCAUAAUUACUCUAAAUCACCACUAACUGCAAAUAAUGAGUUUAGCGUCUACAUUAGGAGAAAAAGGCCUAAGAGAACAAUAGAGCAACCAACUCCUCUAAAAAAUGACCAAAAAUCUUAACCUAGUCCAAGUCCUACUCAAAUUCACUUGGGUAAGGGAACUACUAAUCUUGAAAAGCUAGUACCAUUUGUAGAUGAUUCAAAUAUUCCGAUUGCUUUGAGAAAGAGUGUUAGAACUUGCACAAACCAUCCUAUCUAUAGAUUUAUUUCAUAUGAUGGAUUGUCUCCCUCCUAUCAAGAUUUUGUUUUAGUUCUUGAUAGUGUGCAGGUUCCUAAUUCUAUUUAGGAGGCUCUCAAGAAUCCAAAGUGGAGAAAGGCAAUUAGCGAAGAAAUCAAAGCUUUGGAGAAGAAUGGAACAUGGGUAAUCUCUGAUCUUCCUCAUGGAAAGAAACCAAUCGGGUGUAAGUGGAUUUACCAUUAAACAUAAGGCUAAUGGAAGUAUUAAGAGAUUGAAAGCUCGCCUUGUUGCCAAAGGCUUUACUCAGUCUUAUGGAAUAGACUAUCAAGAAACAUUUGCUCCAGUGGCCAAACUCAACACUAUUCAAGUUCUUUUUUAUCUUGCAGCAAACCAAGAUUGGCCAUUACAUCAACUAGAUGUCAAAAAUGCUUUUCUGAAUGGUAACUUGGAGGAAGAAGUGUAUAUGGAGAUACCAUCAGAGUUGGAAACUUCUUUCAACAACAACAGGGUGUGCAAGCUUAAGAAAUCUCUGUAUGGACUCAAAAAAUCACCUCGAGCAUGGUUUGACAGGUUUGCAAAGUCAGUUACAAAGCAAGGAUAUACUCAAUGUCAAGCGGAUCAUACACAAUUUGUGAAGUUCUCUUCAGAAAAGAAAAUAGCAGUCCUCAUAGUGUAUGUUGAUGAUAUCAUCUUAACAGGUGAUUAUGAAGAGGAACUAUUGGGAAUGAAGAAACACUUAGCCAAAGAAUUUGAAAUCAAAGACCUUGGCUAUCUUAGAUACUUUCUCGGUAUGGAGGUGGUAAGAUCUAAGAAAGGCAUAUUUUUCUCCCAACGUAAGUAUGUUCUAGACUUACUAAAAGAGACAGGUAUGCUUGGAUGUAAACCUGCAGACACUCCAAUGGACUCAACCAAGAAAAUAGGAACUGAGAAGAACAGUGCACCAGUUGACAAGGGGAGAUACCAGAGACUUAUAGGACUUCUUAUCUACCUUUCACAUACUCGACCUGACAUUAGAUUCUCUGUUAGUGUUGUGAGUCAAUUUAUGAACAACCCAAUAGAAGAACACAUGGAAGCUGUGAAUACAAUUUUGAGGUAUCUGAAUAUGACCCUAAGAAUAGGACUGUUGUACAAAAAGAAUGAUACUAGAGAUGUUGAAGUUUUCUCAGAUGCAGACUGGGCAGGUGAUGUGUUAGAUAGGCGAUCAACAUCUGGAUAUCGUUCCUAUGUAUGGGGAAAUCUCGUGACUUGGAAAAGCAAGAAACAGUUUGUAGUCUCAAGAAGUAGUGCAGAAGCUGAAUUGAGAUCUUUGGCUCUUGGUAUUUGUGAAGGAACCUGGAUAUAGAGACUGCUGAAUGAGUUGGGAAUAUCUACUGAGAAGCCUAUUAAAAUGUUCUGUGACAACGAAGCUGCCAUAAGCAUUGCAAAGAAUCCUAUACAUCAUGAUAGGACGAAACACAUCGAGAUAAAUCGACAUUUCAUUUCAGAAAAGAUUGAGAAGGCAAUUGUACAGUUGGUCUAUACUCCUACAAAAUCCCAAAUGGCACACAUACUCACUAAAGCUUUUUCAAGAACUAACUUUGAAGAACUGAGUCACAAGCUGUGCAUGUACAAUAUCUAUGCCCCAGCUUGAGGGGAAGUGUGGAAUUCUAGCUUAAAGUUAGUGAGGAAUGCUAGGGUUUGUUAACGUUAUUUUUGGUAUUUUGUUAUUAGUUCCAAAUUUAAUAUAUUUCCUUGUUUAGUGGAGAUUUUGGUCUCUAAUCAGUUAAGAUUGAGUCCCGGUCCUUAUGGUGACUGAUUGCACCAUUCUCUUGUAUAUAUAUAUCAUGUUGUAUUAUAUAGAAAGUAAGAGAAUUAAUAAAUAAAUAAAAAUUCACUUAUCAUAAAUCUUCAAUGUGCAAAGCAUCAUUAUUCAAAUUUUUUGUUUGUUUGUUUUUGUUUUGUUUUGUUUUGUCUUGUCUUGUUUUGUUUUGGAGGUAAUUGUGUUGGAUGACUUAUGUCUGUGUUAGACAACAAAGCCUAUCUUAAUGCUACUGUAAAGCAAGACUAUGCUAAUAACCUUUUAAUGUUUACAGUGUUUAUGCCAAACUGAAUUUUUAGUUUCCCUAAUUGAAAAUUUGUUUGUUUUCCCUAUUAUAUCGAUGCUAUUGUUAGAUUUGUGUUUCUAUUGAUCAAGCAUGUGCUAAAACUUUGUUUUUUUUUUUUCCUUUGCUACUUCAUGUGCAAAGCAUUAUUAUUUGAAUUUUAAUGAUUCCAUUCAAUUCAUUAUUCAAUAUUUUCAUUUGAUAUUACAUCUAUCACAUUUGUUUUCUUUUCUUAGUUUGUUUUGUUUUGUUUUUGUUUUUUUUUUUUAAUUUGUGAAAUUUGAAUUUGAUGGAGCCACCAUUAAUUUAUUUUUCCUUAUUAUUGUGGGGUGUGCUUUAUUUUGUUCAUGUAAAUAUCAUCGUUGUGGCACUAUUAUUAUUAUGUAACCUUUUUUUUGUUUAAUCUAUUGUUCCUAUGAGCAUUAAAUUCUCCUAAAAUGUAUGGAACAGGCUAAACCCUUUCUAUAGUUAUUUUAAAAAAUUUAUUUUUCAUCUAUUUUCUUGUGCUCAAAAAAUUAUAUUUUUUAGUAAAAUUGAAAUUUUAGGGAGCGCUUAUGCCUUAAUGACUCAACCCCUUGAGGGUUUAUACCUAUCUUAGCAAGAUGUAAACCCUCAUGCCUCUUAUGCUUUUACCUUAUGAAACUAUACCCAAAAACAAACACCACAACUCCUUGCCCCGAUCAAAGGAUACUUGAAAGUUUGCUUCAAAUCAAUUUCAAGGCUAAUAAUCAUAGGCUUGUCAAAUUCAUGUUGCUAAAAUUGGUAUUGUAACCAAAGUAAUAUUAGGAAAUCUUCAAGUUUCAGCUCCUCUUUUUAUGUUGGCUCUUGUAUUGUUAGGUGGCUUCAACCUUUUGCUUUACUUAUGCUUUAUGAGCUACUCCAAUUAAAAUAAUGCUUCAAGUAGAUGUUCUUUGGAUCUUCACUCUAGCAAGAUACUUGCAUUGCAAAAAUUUUUUGUAGUCCUAGAUAGGUUAACUAGGAAGACAAUAGCUUGCUUAAGAGGAUUGCCUCCUCUUCUAUUGGGUUUGUAAAAGUUUUGCUUCUCCCUUGACUUUAGGAGUCCCGUGGUUUCAAAUUUGGGUGUGCUCUAGGUUGUAGCAUGCCUUAUGCUUUCUAAAUGGUAAUCUUCUUCUUGUUUUGGCUAGGAUUCUUUCAUUUAUUUUGCUUGUUUGCUUUCUUUGUUUCUUUAUUGUGGUUGAAGGAUCACCAAUCAACUUUUUAUUCUCUGCAAAAAUUAUUUAUGUUUCAUACCUAAAAAAGAAAAAACAAAGGCUAGUUAGCCUAGAACAUGUUUUAUCUUGUUCUUCUUUUACUAUUAGUAUGGAUUCAAACUUGGGAAGAGGCCUUGAAACAAGUUGCAUUUGUGUUUUCUUAACAUACAUCUUUAUUCGAUCAUUUUUGUUAAGUAUUUGGUGUCUUGUUUGUUCUUUUAGUUGUUUUUGUCUCUGUCAAAGUGUAUAAUUGUAAUAUCCCAUAUCAUAUAGGGAAAAAAGUUUUUCGUGCUAUAUAUAUGUAUAAACUCCACUUAAUCUUGUAAAUGUGUUUUAAAGUCACGAGGGUUUCUUAGGUUCAGAGCAGAUAAUAUCUACACAGUUGGAAGUAGGUCAUUACUAAUGGUAUCGGAACCAAUCUCCAACCUCAAUGUGAGAGAUUGUUUAGCACCGAAAGGAGUGUCUAUCUAUUUGACCCUACAAUCAUGUGGAAUAUAAUAAGGAAAUUGGGUUUGCAUGAGGAGUGUGAUUAUGAUAUCCUACAUCGAAUAUGGGAAAAAGUUUCUAAUGUUAUAUAUGUAUGGACUCCUCUUAACCUUGUAAACGUGUUUUGAAAUUGUAAAUGUCACUUAAGUUUAGAGUGGACAAUAUCUAUACAAUUGGGAGUAGGUUGUUAUAAUAAUUUUGAUUUUCCUUCCAUAUAUGUUUAAUUGCAUAACAUUAUCAUAGAAAAAUAUUCAUCUAUCAUAAUGUAGCGUCUUGUAAAGCUUAUGUUGGGUGUUAUGAUUUUAUCUCUCAUCAUUUUUAUUAUUCUGAUUCAACAUCAUCUUAGCUUAUAAUCAAAAGGCUAUAAAUUGUAGGAUUCUUUUCUCCAAUUUUUUACUUGAUAUCUUAUAAUGCCAUGAAAUGUCUAUAUUUUGAUGCAGAAAGUCGUUCAUCCUUCAUCUCUCUCACUAGUUUUGCAGAACCAUAGUCAUUAGGCACAUGCAAGCGUUAGACAUGCAGCCACUUCCAGUGUUGGAAGAGACUUUGAACUACCUCUUAAACCUAUUAGAUCCACGGAGCAUCCUUUUGAAGUGGUUCAUGAUUUCAUCUUUGAUAGGACAAGAUCAAUAAGACACGAUCUUAGCAUGGAGAAUAUUGUUAAUGAUCAAACAAUUCAUACGUAUGAAGAAAUGGUAUAAAUUUCUUGAAACAUAAUCUUAAUUACCUUUCUUUUCUUAGCAUUAAUCUCCUCAAUAUACAAUAAGUUAGCCAAUCCACUACUAAACACACUCCUAGUUGCAGAAAAUAAUCAAAAUAUACAAGAGAUGUUGUAUAAUUGAGUCAUUAUCCUCUCUUUUUGCUUUAUUGAAUAAGAAAAUUCUAUUCAGUGGAGUCCAAAUGAGGUGAAACUGUGAUCACACAACUUUUAAAGCCUACUUUAUAAUGGAUAAAUGAAUGGUCUGGUUCUGAAUCUUUCUCGGCACAUUAGUUAUUAUCCAAUCCAUUCUAAUUAAGUUAUCCACUAUUGAGUGUCUAUUUCCAAUGAAAGUUAUGAAAGGCCCAUAGAACCCAAGCAACUCACACCGCUUGCGAUGGGAAUUGGUGUUCUUUCCCGUAAUGUCAAGUUUUCUAGUACACUUGGUGACUUUGUAGAAUAUGCCUACGGAAAGGGCUGCCACCUUCUAAUUCCCAAUCAUACAAGUUUCUUAACCAUAUUUCAAAAGUUGUAUUUCUUGUUCCGUCUCUUAAAGUUUUUUAAACCUAUAUCUCUUUAUCCUUGGCAAUUCAGAAAGAUGAGGAAACUAUUUAACAAGAACUCCAUCAAUUUGUUCCUCAAAAUUUUAUAUAGUUUCUCUCUCUCACUUUCAAUUUAAACUCUUGAUUUAAAAGAACAAAUUCAUGGCCAGCAACAUUUUUAGCCAAGCAAUAGAAUGUACAACAAGCAUGCAUAUGAAUGAACUGUAUUGUUUAAUGAUAAUAGAUCAAAUAUUUUAAUCUAAUCCUAAAACCUUAGAGUUAGCUAAAAGCCUCAUCUUAUGUUCUAACUUGUGGUUUGUUUCACAAUACAGGUGAAAUUUCAUAUUAUAUCCCACCAAAAGCUUUGCAAUUGUAGCAGCAAGCCAAAUUUUUAUUUAGUUAUUACCUUAAUAUGGAGCAACUGAAAAAGUGUCUAACAUCUCUAUAUGCUCUAUACAAAGAAAAUUGCAAUUCAAAUUUUAUUUACAAGAAUGAACCUGAGUUUUGCUCAUUUCACGUUCUUCUUCACCUUGGCUCUAACAGCCAACCACUGGUGGAUAUCUGCUUUCAUUGUUUGUUUGAGUUCAUCUUUUUCAGUAUUUGUACUAGUUUCUGAAGGUGUUACUAUUUUUGUUCUGAGGGGAGAGUCACUCUCUUUGUGGUUGGGUCUUGUACCUUCUGUCAUUUUGAAGUCAAAGGAAAAAUGUUUUGCCCAAGACUUUUAUAGUACGUUUGGUAGUGAUUUUAGGAAGUGUUUCUAGUCUUUUUUAUGCUUGAAAGAUAAAAAAAAAAAAUUAAGUGGUAAAAAGACUAGAAACACUUUAUAAAAUAACUGCCAAACGCACUCUUAAGAUGACCAUAAAGCUGUUGUAGAUUCCACUUGCAUUUAAAUUGUUUUUAUUCCCUUUACAUUUAACUCAAUGUAGAGUGGUUAUGUUUUUCCGUUGAUUUUUUUCUCUUUUUUAGUACCCAAUGUUAAAGUUUUGUUUCACGAACUGAAAGGUCCGUCUUUUCUAGUGACAGUGGAUGGGCAAUUAUAAGUGUUUCCUUUGUACUACAACAAUUGAGGCAUCAUAUUUGCAAUAUUACAUUAUUAUUAUUUUUUAUAAAUGAGCACAAAAUAUAUAAUAAAGGGCGGAAAGCCACAAAGCAUACAGGGAGUAUACAAAGCAGCUAAAAAGCAAAAAACUCAUAAACAGAACAAACUCACCAGCCCUUAAAGAGCCGCUAACCACUCUAAGAAGCCUAAAAUCAAAGAUGACUCCUCUCCCAUAUACAUCCUAGUCCAACUCCAUAAAUUACAUGCAAAAGAAUUCUUGAGUUUCUGAAUAGCUAAAGAACCCCAUCUAAAAGCUAACCUAUUUCUUUCCUUCCAAACCGUCCAAAAUAUACACAACGGGAUGGAAUUCCAAAUCUUUUUCCUCUUUUCCCCAUAAAAGGGCCCCUCCAACAAAAUAACACCUCUUUGACUGUCUCUAGGAACACCCAUUGAGCCCUAAACAAGGAAAGAACGAUCUCUCAGAGGACCCUGACCACUGUACAGUGUAAAAGAAUGUGAUUUACAUUUUCCUCUUCACAGCCACACAAAUAACAACGAUUAGGGAGCUGCCACCCUCGUUUUUGAAGCCUAUCCAAUGUGAGGAUUUUUUCCCAAGUGGCUUCCCACGCAAAGAAAGCAACUUUGGUUGGAACCUUAUCCACCCAAAUGAUUUUUUUCGGAAAGACGAGGGGAUUGGGGGUGAUUCGUGUUUUCCCAGCUGGUGUACCUUGAUUUUGGUCCCCUGAUGGGAGUAAUCAACAAAAUUUAUAACCUAUAUCACCAUGCACUAGGAUAGCCUAAGCUAGUAUAGCAUAGUGGCUCUAGGAUCGUUCACUGGGAAGGGUUUUCAACUUACAAUUGAUACCAAUUCAAAGUUGAAUUGGUGCCUUUUCAUUUCAAGGUUAGCUUCAAAAGAAAACAUAAACUUUGGUUGAAAAAGGUUUGGUUUCAAGCUAACUAAAAAGAAAGUAAUGGGAAUUACUUAUAAAGAAAAAGCGUCUCUUGGAGUUUUAGGAUCACUGGGGUCAGGCUCCUCAUGCAAAAACAGAGUUCCGGUCACUUUGGUUCUUUUCCUCGCAUUGGAGAAUUAACAUAUAGUUCAUUCUCCAACCGGUGUUGUACAGAUGCUUCCCUUUUAUAAAUUUCAGCACUAGUUCCCUCUCACUGAUUCAUCUUGCAAUGGCUCGUGCCUCUCACCUAGCAUUUGCCAUUCAAGGUGAUCAUUAACCUUGGACUUCCCUUCUCAAGCUCGCAAGAGAUAACUAAUGGAUGCCUCCUUAGAGUCCAAAAGCUUACCAAGUGUUGGCAAUUCUAGAAAAUCCUACCUUCAGGUCACCUCCCAAAAGCUCACAAGAGGUAAACUAGUGCAUCUCUGUGGACAGAGAUCACUUGCCUUACCAAGUGUUGGCUCAGGUGAAUUGAAGGCGUUUUAAGUUAACUAAAAACAUAGAAAUCAUAAACGGGUUACACUUUCUCUUCAUUAAAAGCUGAAACAUCAAAACUACCAAUUCUUGCAUUCGACACCUUCCCCGGCUACCUUAGCUCCAAGAAACAAAAAGCCUAGCCACCCAUUCUCUGAAGAAACAUCAUCAGAGCUUGUUUGGCUAGUAAAUGAAAAAUACAAUCAAAGUGAGAAGGUAAUGCAGAGCAAAGACUCUGUAUUUUACUUCCUUUCAAACUUUUACAAAAGGUUCGUCUCCUUGAUAACAGGCUCCUGAGAGCUAUUUAUAUGAAAAUUACAAUAAUAAUUAUUACCUGGAUAUUUACCCUUUUUCCUAACUUAAUAGCUAAGGAAUCCUAUAAGUGGUGGAUUACAAUGAGAGAAUUGGGAUUUAGACAUCAAAUAUCUGAAGCAAAAUAUCAAAAAUUUGUCGGUCGUAAAUAUCUGGAAGCACUCAGGAGAAUUUCGCAGGCGCACAAAAUGGCUGCGAAAUUUCGCAGACGUACAAGAUGGCUGCAAAAUCAUUUCGCAGCCAAAGGCUGAUUUCGCAGCCUUGCGAAAUUGGCCUUCAGCUUGAUGUGAUCAUCUUCCAAUGGCUCUAACUUCUUCACUUCAACUCCGAUUCGCGAACCGUUUAAAGCGUUAGAUUUUUUACUUCCCAAGCUUCGAAACAACAUAUAGUAUGCAACAAAUGGACUUCAGGAAGUACUCCAAAAGUGUCAAACAGUUGAUGUCCUCUUGGAUUCUUCAUGUUAGAUUUUUCUCUUUGUUUCAUCCUUGCAUUCAUGAUUUGUUUAUGGCAAAGGACUUUAAGGCUUCAGUUCUUCAUGUUUCUGAGCUUUCCAUUGCUUUGCCAUGGAUUCCAAAGAACUCUCCUCAAUCUCGGAUUGCUUUGGUGAUCAAAUUACUAUCAAAAACACCAAAACUUACACAAUUUGAUUAGAAACGAUUACAAAGGUCCUUAAUAUGUUAAUUGGGUUAAAAGGUAAUAACUACUACUCAAAAGUGUUUAAAAGAGUUAAUUACAAGCUAUCAAAUAGCCCUUUUUGAGUAGUAAUCAAGGGGUAGUGAUUCAUGCCCAAUUGGUGUCUUAGCUGAUUCGUGUCCAGCUGGUGUUCCUUGAUUGAGGGAGUAAUCAACAAAAUUUAUAACCUAUUACACCAUAUACUAGGGUAGCAAAGAAAAAGCUACUAUAGCAUAGUGGCUCUAGGAUCGUUCACUGGGAAGGGUUGGCAAAUUAUCAAUGAUACCAAUUCAAAGUGAAUUGGUAUUGUUUCAUUUCAAGGUUAGCUUAAGAAAUAAAACACAAACUUUGGUUGGAAAAGAUUUAGAUUUAAACUAACUGCAAAGCAAGUAAUGGAAAUUACUUAGGAAGAAAAACAUUCCUUGGAGAGUCAGGUUUACAGGGGAGGUUCCUCAUGCAAAAACAUAGCUCCGGACAGUUGGUUCAUUUCCUCGCGUUAGAGAAUUAACAUAUAGUCAAUUCUCUAACCGGUGUUGUACAGCUACAUCCUUUAAUUAGAUUUCAGCUUUGAUUCUCUCUCACUGAUGCAACUUGCAAUGGUUCGAGCCUCUCACUAAGCCUUAACCAUUCAAAGUGAUCUUUAACCUUGAACUUCCCUUCUCAAGCUCGCAAGAGAUAACUAAUGGAUGUCUCCUUGGAGUCCAAAAGCUUACCAAGUGUUGGCAAUUCCAAAAAAUCCUACCUUCAAGUCACCUCCCAGAGGCUCGCAAGAGGUAAACUAGUGCAUCUCCAUGGUCGGAAAUCACUUGCCUUACCAAGUGUUGGCCCAGGUGACUCUAAGGUGUUUUAAGUUAACUAAAAACAUAGAAAUCACUAAAAGAUUACACUUCCUCUUCAUUCAUGGCUGAAACCACAAAGCUAUUCAUUCUUGCACUUGGAACCUUUCCCGGCAACCUUAGCUCCAAGGAACUAAAGGUUUAGUUACUCAUUCUCUGGGGAAACUUCCUCAGAGAGUGCAUAACUUAGUAAAUGAAAAAUACAAUCAAAGUGAGAAGGUAAGGCAAAACAAAGGUCCUGAAUUUUACUUGCUUUCCAACUUUUUACAAAAAGGUUUCUCUCUUGGAACAGGCUCCUGAGAGCUAUUUAUAUGAAACUACCAUCAUAGCUAUUACAUGGAUAUUUUUCCUUUUUCCUAACUUAAAAGCUAAGGAAUCUUAUUAUUGGUGGCUUACAAGGAGAAUUUUGGGAUUUAGACAACAAAAAUCUGAUGAAAAAUAUCUCAUUGUGUCGGUCGUAAAUAUCGGGAAGCACUAAGGACCAUUUCGCAAGUGAAAACGAGGUCUGCGAGAUUUCUCAGAUGCACAAAAAGAGCUACGAAAUCACUUCGCAGCAAACGGUUGAUUUCGCACCGCUGCGAAGUGAUCUUUCAGCUUGCGGCAUUCGGCUUCCAACGUGUCGGGAAACUUCAGGGGGAAUUCCUCAGCACUGUGCAAAAAGGCUGCGAAAUCAUUUCGCAACAAAAGGGUGAUUUCGCAACGCUGUGCAAAAUUCUUCCUUCAGCUUGGAGUGAUCGGCUUGCAAUGGCUGUAACUCCUUCAUUUCAACUCCAAAUUGCAAACCUCUUGAAGCAUUGGAUUGUUGACUUCCUGAGCUUCGAGACGACAUAUAGCAUGCAUCAAUUGGACUUCAGAAAGUGCUCCAAAAGUGGCUGACAUGACUGUCAUCAAGAAUAUGCUUCAUGGCAGAUUUCUCUUUGCUUCCUCUCCUUGCAUUCCGGAUUUGCUUAUGGAAAAGGUCUUCAAAGCUUUGGUUCUUCAUGUUUCUGAGCUUUCCAUUGCUUUGCCAAGGAUUCCAAAUAACUCUCCUCAAUCUCGGAUUGCUUUGGUGAUUAAAAAGCUAUCAAAACACCAAAACUUAACACAAUUUGAUUAGAAGUGAUUGCAAGGGUCCUUAACAUGUUAAUUGGGUUAAAAGGCAAUAACUACUACUCAAAAGUGUUUAAAAGAGUUAAUUACAAGCUAUGAAAUAGCACUUUUUGAGUAGUAAUCAGGUAGCCAUCAAAUUAUAAGCAUCCCGAAUCCGAAAAAUAUCAAGACCCCCUCCUUUCCAUAACACUGAGUCCUCUUCCAUAUCAAGCCUUUUUACAACUAACUUGGGCAUUCGAAAAAGGGAUAAUUGGUAGAUGGGUAUACUGGCCAAUGUACUUUUAAUGAGGGUAAUUCUCACACCCUUAGACAUGUAUUGCAUUUUCCAAAUAGCUAAUCUUCUUCUUAUUCUUUCCUCCACCCCAUCCCAUAUAGACAAGGCCUUGUGAUGGGCUCCAAGGGGCAGCCCCAAAUACUUAGUAGGAAAAGCCCCCACUCUGCACCCUAACUUCUCAGCCAUAUCCUCAAUAUCUUCAACCUCCUCAACAGAAAUUAAUUCACUCUUAGCUAGAUUAAUCCUAAGACCAGAAGCUGCCUCAAACCACCCCAAAAUCCAGCCAAGAUGAGUUAGAUGCUCCUUCCUUGCUUCAUAGAAGAUGAUUGUGUCAUCAACAAAGAGCAAGUGGGACACAUUCAUCUCCAUCCCCCAUUUUCCUCGAAGUUUGCAACCAGAAAUGAAGCCUCCAUCAAUAGCCUUUCUUAUAAGUGCACUCAGCACUUCCAUACCCAAAACAAAAAGGUAAGGAGAAAUGGGAUCUACUUGACAUAGCCCCUUGGAACUGGAAAAGAAGCCUACUGGCACCCUGUUGACAAUAAUAGAAAAUUUUGCAGUUGAGAUGCACCACCAAAUCCACUCCAUCCAACGAGACCCAAAGCCCAUCUUGUGCAAAACCUUCAUGAGAAAGUUCCAAUUAAUACUAUCAUAAGCUUUUUCAAUAUCCAAUUUGCAAACCAGUCCUUUCUCUUUAUGUUUCUGCCAAUAAUCAACCACCUCAUCAGUUAUGAGAGAGACGUCUAGAAUCUGUCUUCCCCUCAUAAACACAUUUUGAUCCACCGAGACCAUCUUACCUAACACUUUCUUCAACCUAUGGGCUAGCACUUUGGCCAGAAGCUUGUAUAGCCCCCCUAAAAGGCUGAUAGACCGAAAAUCCCCGAGGUCCACAGCCCCACCUUUUUUUAGGAUGAGGACCAAGAAGAUAGUAUUUAGACUUUUGGCAAAAUAUUUUUGGUCAUAAAAUUCCUUAAACAGCUCUACAACCUCCUCCUUCACAAAAUCCCAACAAGAUUGCCAAAAGGCCACAGUAAACCCAUUCGGCCAUUCAUUUCCAACAGAGUUAAGUGAAUUUCUUCCUCAGUAAAGGGCAUCUCCAGAGCUUCAACUUCACCGUGGUUUAGACGUUGAAGGUGCAACCCCUCAAUGUCAGCUCUCCAUCCUGGCUCUUCUGAGAGCUAUUGUUGAAAAGCAUUCACAAUCCCCUCCCUCACCUCCUGCUCCUCAUCCAACUCCACCCCAUUGAUCUUGAUUUUAUCCAAGGAGUUGUUUCUUCAGUGGGCAUUGGCCAUUCGGUGGAAAAAUCCUAUGUUCUUAUCCCCUUCCUUUAGCCACAGCUCCCUUGACAAUUGUCUCCAAUGGGUUUCUUCUAAAAGCACCCACUUUUUAAAGGUUUCCUUAGCUUCAUUUUUCAACUCCGUUUCUCCUUCUGGCGGGCCCCUUUCACAUUCCACCCCAUCCCAAAAUUCAACUUGCUGGAGAGCUGAGCUUUUAUUAAUUUCCAACCUACCAAACACAUCCUUGUUCCAAACUUUGAUUUUUUUCCUUCAACACCUUUAGCUUAGCAGCCAGUCUAAAGUUGGUCCUCUCUCGCCUCCCCGCUCCCUACCACCAAUCCCGAAUGAGAUCCUUAAAACCAUCAACUUUAAGCCACAUGUUUUCAAACCUGAACGGGGAGGGUCCUCGUCUUAACCCGCCACCCUUCAAUAGAAUGGGAAAAUGAUCUGAAGUGGGCCUGGGAAGCCUACUUUGGACAACCUCCCUAAACAAGUCAAGCUAGUUUUGGGUCACCAGGAAACAAUCCAGUCUAGCCCAGGACUGAUUGUUCCUAUCUCCACUCCAGGAAAACACAACCCCUUGCAAAGGAAGAUCUAGGAGCUCUAGUUCAUCAACCACCUGAGCAAACCUUCUCAUUGCACCAUUUAAACUAUCCUGACUGCUCCUUUCCCUUUGGAAAAGGGUGACAUUAAAGUCGCUCCCUAAACACCAGGGAUCAUCCCAGAUGCCCCUUAUUGGCCUUAGCUCAUCCCACAAAGUCUCCAUUUCAUUCCUAGUGAACGGUCCGUACACUCUUGUGAAGAUCCAAACAAGCCCAUCUUCAACAUUCCUGAGCCUACAGGAAAUAGAAAAUUGUCCCACCUCCAUCUUUAGCAUUUCCAGGGACCUUUUAUCCCAGCAAAUCAAAAUCCCACCCGCAAAGCCUUGAGCACCCAUGGCUCCCCAAUCUAGAAACCUCCCAGAGCCCAAAGUCCUCACCACACCCACUAACAUUGACUGAAUUUUCAUCUCCUAAAUACAGAACAAAUUCACCCUCUGACUUCCAAUCAUAGCCUUGAUCACCUUUCUUUUAGAGCUAUCGUUAGCUCUACACAUGUUCUAGUUCAACAACCUUAACUUCAUUAGACAACCAAAAUCUGGCACCCUCUUCCUUGCAUGGUACCUUUUUAUUUCCUCCCCCCUUCAUAAUUAAUGGAUCAUUCAAGUCUCUUCAAUUCCCUUUCAAAUUUCGAUUUUUCUAGAAGAGUUUCACUAUGAACUCUUUCCCUUCUUUUUUUUAUUUUGACCAGAAACUCCAAAAUGUCCUUCAAUCUCUCUGUCAAAAACCCCAAAAACCUGCUGAACCUCACUAGAUCGCUUUCCUCCCAACUAGUUUCCUCUCAUCCUCUAACUUCGAGUGGCAUAGCACUAGCUAAGCAAAGUUCCUCUCCACUUUCUUCAAUACUACCAUUAUUAACUUUCAUUAGCUCCCAACGAGUAACAGUCUCCAUCAUUGAAGACUCCGUACCAUUAACCAUGCAGCCCGGUCAUUCCCUCUGGAAUUUUUCCAAUCUGGCCCUAGAACAGUCGUAAUACUCCCCCAAUUGAGUCCGACCAGAAAAAGAAGAGGGGGGAGAUGAGAAAUCACAAAGCAACGUUCCACAAGGGUUAGAGGUGUUCUCAUACCUCGAAGCUUCCUCCAUUAGAGCACAGUUAGUCUUCAAACUCUUCUCUAAAAGUUGUUCCUUAGUCGAAGGUCUUCGCAGACCUUCGUGCACCCAAAAGGAAAAGAUGGAAUGGUCUGGAGCCCCCAAAAGUCUUAGGCCAAAAAGAUUGUAAAGACGGGAUGCUCCCAGCUGGGCUCUUCCCUCAGCUAAGGGCAAGGUCAGGCCUCGGCAAACCAGCCCAAGCACCACAAUAGGCUCCUUUUCCUUGGCCCACCUAGAACCCUUAAUAAACGACAACCCAAAAUGAGAUGGCCCAGUCUCGCAGAGAAAGGCCACAAGAGGAGCAGGCCCAGUAAUCACAAUGGGCUCUGCUCAACACGGUGACGAAGACCAACCCGAACCUUGGGACCCAACUGACAGCCCAACAAAGCACCAACCAUGACCCAUGGCCUGUCCCGACCCACUAGUCUGCCCCCUCGUCCCAUCAGCAGGUAGUAGCAAGUCCUCAAGCCUCGAGGCAUCGUCCUCCACCCGCACGCGCUCGAUUGUGCAUGCGAUGGCCUCACCCCCAACCUCGCCUUCUGUACCGAUAAUGUUUCCACUCUUUCUUGCCAUCGUCAUUCUCAGGAUUGGCCUGACCUCCCACCGGAGGGUUACCUCGUAGUAGAAUUCCUCAGCCCAAACCUCCACCACGUUGGGAAGCUUCUCGUCGUUGAGCUUCAUCAGGAUCCUUGCCCACUGCAAAUCCUCCAGCUUCUCCAUUUGGGAAUCGACUGCGAUGAAGCCCCCGCACUCCUCCCCUAUCCUUCUCAUAAUGGCUCGAUCCCAUAAGGAAAUGGGUAAUCCCAUAAUACGCACCCAAGCCUUGCUCUUUUUCACCCCAUCCAUCAGGCAUCCCAUCUCGGGCCUCCAUUUCUCCAAACGAAUGAGAGACCCCCCAACCGAAAUACCCCCGAUUUUUAAGGUUUUCUCUGCUUCUACCAAAAACUCAAAUUCAAGUAAAACUUUGCCCCUUUCCAAUUUCGCUAGCCCUAGAUUACCCUUCAGUCUCCAAAUAUUCUCCAAAUGGGUCCUUCUACUUCUUAGGUCAUCCCCUCUCACAGAGCUAGGAUUCCAAAUCCCAACUAAACAGUGAGCCAGCUUGUUUAAGUUUCGGCUCAGCUCCUUCUUUCUUAUCUCCACCCUAAUCAUUGUUUUUUCUUUUCCUCUUGGCUAUUUAGCCACUUCCGCGUAGGUUUUCCCCAUGCUAGAUUUCGACAACAACGCUUCUUUUUUUUGGCAUCCCUCUUCUCCGUUAGUAAAACCCAAUCGCCAUAGCGUCUCCACCAUUGAAACCCAGCCACCCUUAGCUCUUCUUCCUUUUGGAAUAAAGAUGCAAAACCUUUUGUUUUCCAGGUCCGCAACCUCUAAUCGAAGAAAAUACCCCCCUUAUUUUGAUCCCGCACCAGAGAAUAGGCUCUCCCACUUUCCUUCCACUUUCUUUCCCUUUUACCAGUUCCCGCGUCCUUAAUACAAAGAACUAGACCAUCGAAAAAAAACCCAAUGAUCUUCGGUCCCAACCUAAUCCACGAGAAGAUCCCUCAUUUCAGUUCCACAAUUGUAGCUUGCACUUUACCUUUCUGCUCCUCCACCUCGACCUCGAACGACUUCAACUCCACUCCAAAACUACCCUUUCUAAAGCUUUUCCUAGUCCCCACGAAGACAACACCCUCUGCACCCUCGCUCGCUCCACCAUCUACACUUUCUCUCGCUCGCCGCACGCCUCACUCUCCAUCGGAGCUCUCGCUCGUUCUCUCUCUAGCCCUCUCUCCUCCAUUUCUCAUCUGUCUACUAUAUUAUUGAACCUUACAUCAAUGAGGUUGCUUAAAUAUGUUGAUUUUGCUAGGUUUCUCAAUUUGAAAAAUAUAUUAUUCUCUGUUCAUUUAUUGUUUUCCAGAUUCAUCUCUGAGAAUAUAUCUAAAAUCUAGAGUUGAGUAUUUGUGCUUUUAGGUUUUAUUUUCCUUUCAUUUUUGUUGGUAAUUGUAUUUCAUUAUUCUUAAAUUUCUCACCAGCUAUUUCUUUAUAUGGUUUAUUGUCCCUCACUUUCUUCAUCCAUCUAAAGUGUUCAGAUUCAAUUAGCUUGUUUCGUAAUCUAGGUCUUAUUUAGGAGUUUCUUCUCAACUGCCUUUUUUAGUGCUUCUAAAAGACAUGCCUGAUUUAUAUACAUUUUUAUUGGUUUUUUUUUUUUACCAUAAAAGGUUCAAGCAUUGGCAUUGUCAUGUGUUAAUUAGUGGCUAUAAACUUCAUCCGUAUCCAAUUGCACACUUGUCCAAACUCUUGAUGAUGAAGGUAUGGUUGCAUUUACUAGUAUGAAAUUGCUAAAAUUUGUCAUCCAAAGUUUCAAUUUCUUUUGAAUCUUGAAGACUUAAUUUGCAUUCUUGUAGGAAUUAGAUGUGGAAUAAUUUUGCAAUGUUUGUUGUCUUAAGACCAGCACUGAUGAACGGGGAAAUAAGUUCUUAUCAACCAAGCAAACAAACUUCCAUUAUCCCAAGGAAGUCUUUCCAAGCUACUGCCUUUUAGGUUUGGAACACUUUUAGAGGUAACAAUCAAUAGGAAUUAGUUAUUCUUUCAAACUUCUUAUUGUACAAAUAUAACCUGCAUGUGCAACCAUUUAUGAUCCCAUAAUUUCAAGAAUUUAUGACACCUUCUAGUGGUUAGUUUUUCUAGGAAUAGAGUGAGACAAUCUAUUCACCCCCAAAAACCAUCGUCAGAGGAACAGUAGAUAACCCGCAAGACCAAAUUUAUGUGUGUGAAUGGAGAUGCAUGUUUUUUACAUCCCAGUCAUGUAGUGUUGUGUCAAAGGGAAUAAUAGCAGGUGAUGAUAAGUGGUAUUUCUAAAAUGUUCGAAGAAUAUUCCAUCUGUCAUGUAAUAUUGCUUUCUCAAAACUGUUUUUGAAGUCUUAUUUUUAAAUAUUAGAGUUGACCUCUUGUACACUAUCAACUGAUGUUGUAACUUAACUAGAAAGAGAAAUUAUAUAAACUUAGCCUUGGUUUGGAUCUUGAAAGAUAGCAAGCAAAGAAAAAUUAGGUUAAUAGUGAGUUGAUUUAUUCUCUUCCCAUGGAUGUAAGCACAUUCUUGAAUCACUUAAAUUAUUUUUUUCUUGUCUAUUAUUCAAUUGUCUCUGAAAAAAAAAGUGGUAUCAGCGUUUUUUCCAACACAACAAAUGAUUCAUGUGACAACUGCCAAUAAAGGAAGCACUUAAGAAGGAGUUUGUAAGGUGUUACAUGGCAGGUUGAACAAAACCAAUAGCUAGAGAGAUAUAUGAAAUAUUUGGGGGCCAUUGAUCCAACAAUAGUAGAGAAUAACAUAAGAAGAGACCCUCUAAUCACCAUUUUUGCUUUCGAUUCUUCUCUACAAAACAUCAUCUCUUUAUACAAAAAGACACCCCAUGGCUGAGCUCGUAUUAUUCUCUGCAUAUCCCAAAACUGCUCUCCAAAUUUUAGGGCAUGGUACUCUUUUGAGUGGUAUUUUUGGUACUAAAUUUAAGUAUUCUCUCAAAUACCUAAAAUGCCCUCUAGAUUUUAGGGCAUGACCCACUCUUUGAGGUGGUAUUUUGGGUACUAAGUUUUGUUAUGAGAGGUUUUGGUGUGGAAAUCGGAGGGCCUCUUGGGAAUAUGAAAUUAGAAAUGUUACACACGUUGCAUGUAUUUUCUUUUGCGUGCAUUACACUUAGAUUGGAGUUUAUGCAGUUACUCACUUUUUGUGUGUCCAACAGUACUGUAUGUCACAUCACCAUAUGAUGGGCCCUUUAGCCUUUUUUUAACCCCCUCCCCCCAAGAAAAAAAAAACCUAAUACUAAAAAUAAAAAAAUAAAAAAAAACCUAAUACUAAAAGGACCUUAGCUUGCAAACUAUGUGGAGGUAGGCCUCCACAUCCAACUUCUUAGAGGGACCAUGAUCACUUAGGCCAAGGAAGUUUGAGGCAAUAAUACGUCUACGAUGCCCUUAGAUGUUUUGGGCACAUGCACGCUACACUAAUGUAUUCAACGAGUCUGUAACCUUGACUAACAAGCUUAGGUAAUCUUUGAAAUUUCAUUAUGAUGGGGAAGGUUCCACAUGAACGACACUUGCACAUGGGUUAGUUAAUCCUAAGAGAUGGGGGAAGCUCGUCAGACAACGCGUGACACUCGAGCUUUGAAAGGUAAUUGAGUUAACAUUCCUAAACCGGGACAUGACGGUCUACAACAAUGUUAGGUAGUCUGAAGAGUCAUGUUAAUUGUUAUCGGUAUUUUUAUUUAUUCAAUAGAAAUUGAGGAUUUAAAAAAUACCACAAAAAUUAGAAAAAAAAAUUAAUUAUAUGAAUAACAUUUCAAAUAUUUAACAAAAUGUAUGAAAGUUGAAUAUCAUACACGAUUAAAUGGCUAGAUCAUCUUCUUUAGUUUUUCCAUGAUCUCAUCCUAUUAAAUGACUCAUCCAAUAUUAAUUUAUUUUAAAGGUAAAAUUAAUUAUAUUAUAAUACUUAAAUACUUUACCAUGCUAUAAUCCUCUAGCUAAUAAAUGAAAUCAAAACUUAAAAAUCAUUUUUAUAUAUAGAUAUAUAUUAUUAAGUUUAGGUAGUGAAGCAAUUAAUGUGGGUAUAAAAUUAAUGCCAAAACUUUUGAUUGUUCCUUCACAUUCUCCACAGCAAAGGAAAUAAGAAAAAUAAAGAAAGAAAUUUAGGGUAGUUUUAUUUUUUGUUCUCAUCUCAUGGUGAAAUUAAUAGAGGAAUGCUUGGGUUGGUGCUCAACAAUCAAGUGACAUCCGAUAUAAUGAUUCUUCCAAUCCUGUAAAUAUUGUCCGCUUUAAUUUUAAUGGAUCAUCAUCACUUUAAAUUGCAUUCACAUUGUUAAGAGCAAUUCAUACGUACAUAAUAUUAAGAACUUUUUCUUAUUCGAUAUGGAAUAUAAAAUUGGGUAUCUUUCUGAUUACUACCAAAAAGUGCUAUUUUGUAGACCUAAUUAUAAUGGUUUUAAGCACCUUUGAGUAGUAAUCAUAUUCAUUUAACCCAAUUAAUUCAUUAAGGUCCUUAGUAAUUGGUUUUAACCAUUUUGUGGCAAGUUUACAUGUUUAUAUCAGCUUAUGAAUCAAUUCAAGCAUGCCAAAUGAUGGAGGAGCUACUUGGACAAGUUAAAUCAAGCUUUUAGCUACACCAAAGCAAGCCAACAAAAGGAGAAAAGCAAAGAAAAGCAAAGAAAAGCAAGGAGGAAAACAGAGGACAGCAGCUGCAGUCUUCGUUGGCACUUUUGGAGCACUUCCCGAAGUCCAUUCUCUACAUGCUAUAUACCAUUUCAAAGCUCAGGAAGUCAAGAAUCCAACGCUUCAAACCGUGCAUGAUUUGGAGCUGAAACGAGGAAGAUAUGGCCUUCGGAAGACAACUGCUCCAGGUGUGCGAGAAUUUCGCACACCCCCCUUUAGCUGUGCGAAUGGUGUGCGAAGUUCGCACACCUUCUUCAGGUGUGCGAAAAUUUCGCACACCCCAUGCGUGGUGCGAAUUUUCCCCUGUUUCUGCCGACUCCACUUUAGAUCUUUUCUUUUAGAUAUUUUUGUAUAAAUUUCCAUUCUUCUCCUUGUAAUCCACCAAUCAUAAGAUUUAUUAGCUAGGAAAGUUGGAAAAACUUCUCUAUUUAUAUCCCCUUGCAUCCGUUGUAACAAAUAAUUGAUAUAUAGAUAUAUAAUACAUAUUACGUUUUACACUCUCUCGUUUUCUCUUUUCUCUUCACUAUUUUAUUUUCUUGGUAGCCAAACAGCCUCUAAGGGCUUUUCCUCAGAGGAUGAUUGGCUAAAACUUUUAGUUUCUCAAAGUAUGGAUGUUAUGUGAUGACUUGGAUGCAAUCCCAUGGAAAUUUCUCACACCCGGAAGGUAAGGUAGUCGUUUUUCAUUAAAGGUUCAUUAAUGCAAAGUUUGGUUUUUAUUUCCUUUGGACAACUUCCAACGGCCAAUACUUGAUAAGCUUUUGGAUUUCUAUCCAUUAGUUAUCUCCUACGAGCUAUUGGAAGGUGAGGUUUUCAAUUCCAAGUUUUGUAUUAAUCCGUUAGAACCAAUUUCAAUGGCCAUUGAAAGGUGAGUUUAUCACCUGGAAUGACUUUGAGUUGCCAAUAUUUGGUAAGCUUUUGGCUUUAGACCAUUAGUUAUCUCUUACGAGCCAUUCAAAGGAAGUCUAAGGUGAAUAACCAUUGAUGAAAUUCACUACCAUCUGUUUUGCCAUUUUAAAGGAUUAAAACGUGAUUUGCUAAAUCCAUACCGGUUCGGGAAGCAAGCAUCACCAUAGUUGCAACCCCAACGCGAGGAGCCUAUCCUGAGAUUUCCAAUUUGCAUAAGAGCCAGAGCAUAGCUAUCCUAUCUUUGAGAAACUUGUUUUUACACCCUUUCAUUUUAGUCUUUAAUGUUAGCUUAGAUUAGUUUAAAUCUUUCUAAAACAUUUACAUCUUCUUUUAAAGCUAACAUCCAUAAGAAAAUCACCUAUUUUCCUAACUUGAAUAUCACUUGUGUUUGCGAAAACCCUUCCCAGUGAACGAUCCUAGAACCACUAUGCUAUAGUAGCUUGGCUACUUUAGUAAUAGUAUUCAAGGUAUAAAUUUUGUUGAUACGCCUUUAAAGCUAAGCUACCAUGAGUCGCAUCACUUUCAAUUUUAGAUGUUGCAUAAGCAUUCCAACUCCUAUAUAGACACAUUGCGUAAAUAUUCUUAUUUAAUAAAAGUUUAUAUGUCAUUAAAUAAAUAUAGAAUUUUAACAUUAAUUGCAGUGCUAAGUGCAAGAGAUCUCAUGUUUAAGUCAUUGAUUAAGAUUUAUUUGAAAACUUAACAUUUGUUACUUAAAUAACUUAAGUUGACUUUAAAUUAUAUUAUAUUUAAAUUAUUUGCUUAAAAUUUAUUGUUUAAUAUUUAUUUUAAGUAUUAAAGUUAUUUGAUAAAGUUAAUUUAAAAAAUAUUUUAAAUCACAAAUUGUCAUAUUUACCUUCAUUAAUUUGAAUUAGUAUUUACAUUCAUUAAUUUUAUUUAAUAUUUAUUUUUAUUAAUCUUAAAUAAUAAAUUUGUUUAUUAAACAUUUAACAGAUUCAUAAAAUAACUACACAAUAUUCACAAUAAUAAAUGAGUCAUGAAUUUGAAGUCAUGAUUUUAAAAUGUACGCUAACAAGAUAUGAACAAAUGAGACAAAAAAAAAUGAGAUUAAAAAUAAGUUAAUUAUUUUGAUUUAACACUUAAAAUUAAAAGUAACUUUAAAUUAUAAUAUUAAGUUAUUUUAGCAAAUAUAUUUAAUCUAUUUAAUGAAUUAAAUUAAGUUAUUAAGUCAAAUGAUUACCAAACACCCUAUUAAGACCCAGAAAAUGGAAUGAGUUUUAAUAGUAUUCAGGAUGGGCAUGACUAGGUGGUGGUUCAAUGCUGAUUAAUCAUAAUUUAAUCUAAGCAAAAUAUGUAACGAAACUCAAACUGCACUAUCCAAAUGGGCGCCAAGAACGUUACAUUUGACAAAUGCCAGUAAACCUCUACAGCUAGAAAUUAAAAGAUCACUCUCUUGUUGUAUCUCUCUUUUUCUCCAAGCCCCGGAAGGAAAAACUCGAACCCCAUUAUUUUGAUCACAGAAAAAGUGGCAAAAAAGUGUGUUGUAGUUCAUCUUGAAGCUCAUUAACUUCAUCUUAAUUUGAUCCAAAUUGCAGAAACAUGGGAAACUCCAUGAAUCUAUGGUGCUAUGGUGGCCUACAUUCAUAUAACUGGGGACACUUUGGUUUAAACUACAAUGACCCCAAACAGGGUUUGUAGAGACUUCAUCGAGAUCACUAGCUUCAAAAGACUGAGGAAGAAAGAUGUUCUCAAUGAAAACUUGGUGUCAAAUUGCAGAUAAAGACCUAAAAAUCCCACUUAAUGUGUUCUAGGAAUUGUUGUUUGAUAGGGAGUAAGAACAGAGUGCACGAGUUUUGGGGUGGGGUGAUACCUAAAGCACUAGAGUAGCACGUGAUCAAGCCUCACUUAGUGAAAAGCUGUUUGGUUUGUACAUGUCUGCUUAGUGAUACUUAGGAUUGGCGAAGUAUACAUCUCCUUUGUGAUCAGGUUUGUAUAUGGGCAGAUGAAUGUUCAUGUGAGGUUCAUAUAUGUUUCUGAUACAUAUCACCCUGGAAGAAUCUAGAUCAAGGGGAUGAGUUUCUAAGCUUGACUAGGUUUGAGAUGUUUGAGAAUUGGUGAGCAUGAUAUAUAUCAUGAUAUUGCAGAAGACAACAGAGCUUCUGAAAUAUGUCAGGUUCAAUAGUAGGAAAUCUUAUCAGCUGUCACUUACUUUAAUCCUAUGAUCUCAAUAUUCAUUUGUUGAAGAAGAAAGAGGUAUCUUGAAAAAAAUUUGCUUUCACACUAUUCAAUUACAAGAGGAUGUUCAAUUAUAGAAGAAAAUAAUAUUCACUAGACUCUUUCAACUUAAUCAACAUGCAGGGAAAACCAGUCGGGUGACCAAUUAUUCACAUAAUAACUUAGGUGGUGUUUGUUUUUUUGGCUUUUUGCUGAAAACCAUUUAGUUUUAGAAUUUAGGUAGUUUGUUUUUUUACUUUUUCAUAACUUAUCAUAAACUUUUUACUAAAUAGAAAAAGCCAAAAUAUGUGGCUUUUUCUAAAUAGAAAAAAUAACACAAUGGUUUUUUUUACUUUUUAAUACUUAAUAGAAAUAAAAUACUACAAAAACAAACAACCUAAUAUUUAAUACUAUUAAGUAUUAAGGUUCUAUUUAGAAUUAAGUAAAAAAACAAACACCACCUUACUGUCUUUCUACCUCUACUUGUUAAUCAUCAGCCAAGCUUAUAGUAAUAUAAGCUUGGGUUCAUCUCUCUAUGCCACUGAUGACAACUCCACAUGGGCUUCCCCUUCUGGUGAUUUUGCAUUUGGAUUCCGACCGUCUCCAAGUGAAAAGGAUCUAUUCCUUCUUGCUCUCUGGACUGCAAAUGGAAGUUAACCGGCGCCAAGAGGAUCAAAAGUCGAGCUUGCUACCAAUGGACAGCUUGUUCUCCAGAGGCUAAGAGAUAUGGAAGACAAAGACUGGUAAUGUGAGCAGCAAAGCAGUGCAUGGUGCCAUGCUUGGAGAUGGAAAUUGUAUACCUGUAUAUGGGAGAGCUUCAAGCACCCAACUAAUACCAUAUUGCCAACUCAGGGAUUGGUGUUGGAGCCUACUGUGCAGUUGCCAUUUUUGAGAACCUGAGGUUUGCAAAUGGAACUGGUGUAUGAGUUUAUGCACAAUGGUUCUUUAUCAAGCUUCCUUUUUGGAGGCGCCCAAGGACUGGUGUACCUACAUAAAGAAUACAGUAAACAGAUCAUCCAUUGCGACAUAAAGCCCUCAGAACGUAACUCUUGGAUGAUUCUUUUACAGCCAAAGUUGCAAACUUGGACUGGGAAAGCUUCUGAUAAGCAACCAGACUAGAACACUCACAGGCAUCAGAGGGACUAUGGGGUAUAUUCAGACAACUCGGGCAGCCUAUGUCUCUUAUAAUAACACGUUAUGAAGCAUCAGCUCAAUGCCGGGGUUCAAUCUGCAAAGCAAGGGAUUCAUCAAUGUUUCCUUCAAACUAAAUGAUAAGGAACAGAAAUGGAUCAUUCUGCAUUUUCAGUGGUGUUUGUUAUAGCAUUUAUACAAGAACUCUAGGGGUUUCUAUGUAUAACUUCAUUCCCAUUUUGUAUAAUCCAAAUCUCUUCAAUCGAUUAAAUGUAUAAAUGAAUCCUAUUCAUUGUUUGGAGUAACAACAAAAUUCUGGAAGACUGGGAAAGUUUCAACACUGGAGAGAAGACAAAAUGACCAGACCAUAAAUUCUGGAAGAGGGCUUUGCUUUCUAACCAUUACCAUAAUUUUAGAGCUCAACCCGGAUGAGUAAAUUAUAUUUCAGAAUGUUCAGGAGAUAAUUCUAAAGUGAUGAACCUUCUACUCACAGUUUUUUGUUCUUCUUGAACAGAGCAAUGAACAUCAAUAGUUCAGCACCCAGGAAUCUCCCCUUCCUCCAAUUCCCCCACUGGGAAAAGUCACCUUUCCAGUUAAGAAAAUCAUCAGGAUUAAUUUGAGCAAAACAUCAGAGUAUACAUCAAGAAAGCCUUGAUCAAAAUCAAAAUACAUCAAGAGCUGCCAUUUUCUUCUAUUUCCUCUUCCCUGAAUGGAAUGCCUUUUGGACUGAGGUGAUCAAUGGUAACAGUCUAACACACUCCUUAAGCUCUGAUUGAGGUCAACGGGGAUUGGCACAUUUAAUGACUUUGAAAUCAUAGCUGUGUGAAGGGAGGCAAACAUGAAUCUCAGGAUAAUCAACAAGUCAACAACUAUCAAUCAGUAAGGAAAAGGAAAUACCUUUGGAUAUUUACAAAUCAAAAAAUUGAGAGUCCAGCUUCUCUGUACAGAAAGGCUUGAGCUUAUUCCAUGGCCAGUCUGAAUUACGGAUGAGAGGGUUGAGUUUUCUUUCAUUCUGCAAUAAGAUUAAAAACAUCAAUGAAACGCUAAAAGUUUAUAUAUAGAAGCCCUUUAAAGAUGAGAAUUGGUCAGAGAGCUCACCCAUGGUCUAGUAAAACAACAUCUGUUAGAUAAGUAACCACCAUUCUAUUGUCCAGCUAAUGCAUUUAGAUCUAAGAUAAGCUAUGGAAAAAUAGUCAAAAAUAGCUAAAGACAGUCCAAAAACUCAUUUGACUAAUAAUUUUCUAAAAACAGUAACAUAAAACCUGGAUGAAGAAUCCACCCCUCUACCUCACACCACUGCAAUGCCAAAUAAAAUGUUACAAUGACCAUAUAUGGUCUUAAGAGACAAUGGGUGUUGUUUGGGCUCAAGACCUAAGACAAGCCAAAAAACAAGAAGAAAACAACAUCAAAAAUAGAUGGCAAAAUAGAAGGAUAAGGUCACAGACAGGACAAUAUUAAAAGAAAUUAUUAUUUUUCCGACCUGAAAAUCAAGGCAUUCAGAAGAGUACAAGUUUGUAAGUAGUCCAUGGAAACCAGGGAACAUAUGCAGAUGUUGUACUCUAUUGCAUAAGGCAAACACUCAAUACUUACAAGCAUAAUCAUGCCCAGAAAGCCGUGAAUCCCUUUUUGUUUUGCUUUUUUACCUAUUCCCAUCUCUUAUGGCCAGAAGUUCCUUCUGUGGCUGGUUUGUUGUGAUGGCCAUUUCGGGUCCUAACAGACUUGCUAUUGUUGUCUGGGCACCUGCCUCAGAGAAAGCCUGCCAAAGAUCGGAGUCUGGGCCAGGGGAAACGGAUUUUCUUUGCUGGAGUUCCCAGUCUGUUGCUUCAAUCUUUUCUCUGUGCUGUUAUGAGAAGAAAACCUAUCAGACACAUGAAUGGGUACAAAAAGGUAAACUUCAGGUUUUGGUUGUAUUGAAAAGCACAGGAAACUUCACAAGAGGCAAAUUAUACCCCAGACUUAUUGAAGAAAAAUAAAGUACAAUUGACUUACCCAAAUGUCUACUUUCUCAUUUAUAGGUUUCCUCCUAAACAAAUCCCCACAUCUAGGACAGGAAAAGGAAGAAACUGGGAGUCGACAUUUUUUCAACCAAAAGCACUAACUUAUCAAAAAACAUAGUUUUCCAUUCAAUGCCCAUUUCUUCAGGCUUCUUAAAGUGCUUAUGAUUGGUGGAGGUUCUUCCAAAAUCACACAACUUCCAUAAUCCAUUAGGGCCCAAUAGAAGAUUCUCAGCAUUUAUAUAAGAACUUCAGGGUUUAUACAUAUGAUCAUGUUACAGUAUAAAUCAUAGUGAACUGGUGGAAUUUGAUCAUUAGCCAACCUCAUCAAAAACUGUUUCACAGUUGAGGGGAUUGUUAACCUUGCCAUGGGCCAAGCAGCAAUUUCUGAAGAAGCUGGGUGACAAAGAGUACCAUCAUUUGGACUAGUUUCAAUGGAAAUUCCUCUGUUUCUAUACAUGAUAUCUUCAGCUUCAGCUUUUCCUUUUGCUUUGACAUGGCUGAAACUGAUCCUGAAAUCAAAAAUCCCAUGCAAGUAGAUAUUUAACAGAAGAGGAUCCGAAUCUCUUCAAUUGAUUAAUGUAUAAAUGAAAUAAUCAAAAUUUUUAGAGAUAAUUAUAGGGAGAUGAACCUUGUACCUCUGAGUUUCUUAGUCUUCUUGAACAGAGCAAUGAGCAUCAAGUGUUGAGCACCCAGGAAUCUCCCUUCCUCACAGGGAAAAUCUGAACAAUCUAUCUUUCUUCAUAUUCCACUUCCUUGCAAAAGUCAUAACAUGAAGAAAAUGUCAUCAAAAUUGAGACAAAAAUAAGUGCAUCAACUGUCUCAAGAAGAGAUUUAUGCCUAUUGCUUACCUUUUGCAGAAGUCCACUUGGUUAGAGCACAUUUUACAUGGACGCCCAAUCACUGCAAGCUGCUGAACCAAAGGAGAGUUCAAACAUCUAAAAAAUUUGACUAACUCAAGUAUCAUAAAAUACUUCACAUGAAUUCCAAAUGAUCUCAUAUCUAAAAAACAUUGACAUAAAAUUAUUGUUGUUUACCUUACAUGUUUCUUCCAUGGUCAUAAUCGAAACUUUGUUUAUCAUAAGAAAUCUUCUAUGCUCAUCCUGAUUACUUACAAUGAACAUUGAAAUGAAAAGACAAAAAACACAAAAAAUGACGAUUAGUUUGGUUUGAUAAUUUUUUAAAAUUAGAAAUUAUAAAACUAUUUUGGUUCUCAGAUUUAUCGGAAAAUUGAGGGAAAAACAAAAAUCUAAGAGAAAUUUAUUUAACACUUAUGAGGAACCAAAAAUGUUUUAGAUGUUGUCCAAUCGAUAAUUUAAACGUGUUUAAUUUCAAUUAAAUGAGUUUAAUCAAACACAUGAAAUUGUGAAUAAAAUUAUUUAAAAGCAUUGAAAUUCAAGUCAAUAAAGUUGUACAUAAAAUUUGAUAUAUUGAAGCAAGAAAAAAACAAAGCAAUUUGAAUGACUUGCUAAUAAAGCAACUAACUAGAAUAUGCCCUACAGUUGUUCUGUGCCCUGUAUAUAAGAAAUUUAAAAAAAACAUUCCUAGAAAAAAAACAAACAAAAUAUCCAUGGUUCUUACGUUAUUUUUUUCUUAAUUUUUCAAUAGUUAUAAAUGGUUCAUUUAAUUCUUGCAAACCACCAAAUCAAAACAGAGCAUGAAAAUGUGUUCAAUAUUUGUUUCAGGCUUGAAGCUUCAAGAAAAAGAAAACCUUAAAUCAAAUAAACAGGACUAGCGAAUGAAUUGGAACUUGAAAGAAAAGUUCAAGCGCAAAAGAAUUACUUGACUCUAUAUUGGCGGAGUGGCACUUUGAUUAAUAUAGCACAUUAUUGAUCAAUAUUCUUGGAAUGUGAGCUAUAUAACGCCAUUCUUCCCCUUUCUCAAAUCCACCGUUUUUCCCCUUUCUCAAAUCGAUGAAAAGGUAGCAUAUAUUUUUCAUUUCCUAAUUAUAUCAACUACUUCAUGGUGCCUUUGUCUGAUAAGCUUAAUAGUUCUUCUACAUUUCCACCAUCUAAUUCUCUAACGUUCAUCAUGAUAGGGUUGUAAAUUUCAUCAUCAAAUCAAAACAUAUCCUCCUAUAAGAGGCCUUUGAAUUAUGAAAUAAUCAAUUCACUUGAUUCUCAUAUUGGCAAAGACAAGCUUACACUAUUGGAAAGACUACCCCUCACCUUUGCCUUCCCAAAUAGCAAAGAUGAGAGAGAACCUUUCACAAAAUCACAAGAAUUAUUCAAGUUUGGAAUUCAUAGGCAUUGUUAUUGAAUUUCAGUUGUAUAAAAUUGGUGUGUUGUGUUUAUUUUGUUGGUAUUAAAAUUGAAUUUUUUUAAUUGCAAAUUGAUGAUUUUUUCUCUCUCUCACAUUUAUACCCAUUAGAGUUUCUUAUUAGGGUUUGUGUUUGAAAUUUGGAGAAAGUAUGGUGCAAUUGUUCACCGGUGUGGUGUACCAUCUUGUUUGUUGUAUUUGAUCUUUGGGUAUUUGAUUUAAUUUUGUUGUUGUGAAAUUGAAAGUUGAAAUCCAAGUUAAUUGUUUAACUAGCUAUUUGUAGUUGACUUGUUUGCACCGAUCUUGAUUAUCCAUUUCAUGGGAAUAAUUGAUUCCAAUUUUCCUUCAUGGUUACUGAAAAUAUAUUGUGGGUGAAGGACUAUUAUGGAGUAUAUUUAAUUUACAAGAUUGAAUAUUGAACAAAGAUAUGCCCUAGGUCUAGCUUAUAUGGAAUAGCAUAUCUUACAUUUAUUUAAUUAAAUAUACUAUACAAAUUUUGGUUAUAUAUAAUAUCUAUGUUACAAAUUUGGAUAAUUCGAAGUCUAAGUGACUUCAUAUAAUUAUUGUUACAUCUUAAAAAUGAUUUCACAAAUUAGAAUUACAAUGACUCCUACACACCUUAGAUUCUAACUCAAAUUCUCACUUGAUUUUAUUUUAUUUUUAUUUUUAUUUUUUUGUUUUCAAUCAAUUAAUAAUAUGUUAUGGGCUAGUUUAGCUUAUAGUUGAGAAGAAUUUUAUCUAAGAGCACCUCAAUUUGAAGCAAAUUGAAGAAAAAAAAUGACUUAUUAUACCUUAUGAAAGAUAAUAUUAUUAAUUUCCAUGUUUUUUUUUCAAAUAACCUUUUCAUGACAUGAACUUAUAUGGAACAUUGUUGUAUUAAUUGAUUAGGAAAUCACUAAGCCUAAGGAAGUGAGAAAAUUUAAAAGGGAAGGAAUGUCACCAUUGCAUUUUAGCACAAAGAAAGAUGAUCUCUAGCUAUGACGAAAAUUCAAGAAAUGAACAACUUCCAUUAAAGAUGAAGGCACAAUUGGGUGACAUUUAAAAAAAAAUAACAAAGGAAGUUAUUGUUUUAGCUAGGGAUAUGUUUUUUUUUUUUUCAGACUUCUUGUGUUACUCAUAUAUACAAUAUGCAAUGUGAUUUCUCUUUUAUAUUAUAAAUUUAUUACUCUUAGCACUUCAUUUAUGGGAUAGAUAAAUAAAAAUUACUUUAAUUUUAUUUAAUUAUUGGAUAGUUGUUGGAUGGAUAAAUGAUUGUUAUUUUCUUUAUAUUUGAGUUAUUUCAAUAUCAAAUGCCAAUUAAAAUAAAAGAGCAAUAGGUGAAGCUAAUUUUAGAUUGUCACAAUCCUUGGCACUUCCACUAAGUGUCAAGGUUUAGAGCAAUCAACAAUGGAAAAGGUGAACAAUGAUACUUCCAAAAGACGUCAAGGUUAUUUCAUCUUGAACAAUAACAGUUUUUGUAAGUGUCAUUAUUUACAAAAUCAACAAUAACAUUGGCAAAUUGGUACACCUCAAUGCUUCUAAAAAACAUCAUUAUUUGUUCCAUAUUUACAAUGACGCUAUUAAAAGUGUCAACAUCGCUAAACACUCUUUACAAUGACACUCGAUUUCAUGGCGCUUUUAAGAAGUGUAAUGUUUGUAGAAACUUAUUAUUGAUCACCGACUUUUUGCAACCAUACAACACUACAUAACCUUAAUACCUAUUGUUCAUUAUGAUGUUGUAAGAACAUAUGCCUCUAUGUGACCUAUUAAAUAAACUGGUCUUAUCAACUGAAAAAUGUUCCUCUAGUUAGUAAAAACUUCAUUCAUGUGGUCAUUUAUGAGCAUCAUAAUAAUCCAUAUUAAAAAUAUUUAAAAACAUUAAUGCACUAAAACAUUGAUUUCAUCAACAAAAUUACACUCAUUCUUUUGACUUAUAGCAUUCAAAGAUGUUUAAAAAUAUAUAUGUACAAUAAAACAUCAUCAAAUUUAUUAACAAUUAAACUUUUAACCCCAAAACAAUCCGCUACUUUAGUAGAUAAGACACUAUUUGGAAUAACAUUAUUUUUAGCUCAAGUUAGAAGUUAAAAUGAUAAGGUUAAAAGAAUAAAACCAACAAAAAAAGAAGAAGUUAUUUUUUGUCAAACUUGACACUAGUUCAAGUUAGAUAAUGUAGCUCAACGCCCUAUUGAAUUGAGUCAUAUAACUAGACUCCCUAAUUAUAUAUUAUGAUACACACACAACCUUUGGUCUAGUAUACAUGAUUAAAUUAAAUGCCCAACCUAGUUUGCAAAGCUAAACUAGAAUCCCAAAUCUAGUUCAUUAUAAAUGCUCUUCAACCAACUUGCUAUAGCAUUCAAAUAAGACAAUGACAAUGAUAAAAAACCAAAAAAAAUACCUAAUAUAUCAUUGAAAACUCCUUCCUAAAGGAGGUAAAAAAAAAAUCAUGAAGUAACUUUCUUCUAUUAAUAAAAAAAUGGGAAUACAGUGAUCUAUAUAGUGUUUUAACUCGAAACUUAUGGUAUUACAAAUAUUAAAGAAGCGAUUUAAAACACACACACACACAACAAGCAUGUUGUCAAGCUUAUAAAAGUUGGAGAAAUCUCUACAUAUAAGUCUUCAAAACAUGAUGGAGAGUAACCUUGACAUUUAAGUCAACAAUAUACAAGGAAAGGCAACCCAAAAAGAUACAACUUUGAGAACAAACCCUUCUUUUUGCUUUUUUACAUAACCCCUUUUUUUUUUUUCUUUUUGAAAACUUCUCUCAUUUCCUCUAAUUGUUACACUACACAACAAUCCUAAAAAAACAGAGUUUAAAGGUCUGUUUGAUAAUUGUUUUUAAAAAUAAUUUUGAAAAAUAGUUUUUGAAAAUUAUUCUUUAAUGUUUAAUUUGUAGAACAAAAGUUUGUUUGGAAACCCUAAAUAUUUUUAACAUGUUUUUAAUGUUGUUAAAUAUGUUUUAAAUUUUUUUUUUUUAAUGUCUAGUAUUUUAUUUUUAAUCAUUCUACAUGUUUAUAUAAUUAUUUUUUAAGACAACCCUUAAAAAAUAAGUAAAAAUAACAUAAAACAGUUAAAAGAUGUUAUCUAAAAACACCUUAUUUUAUUAUAGCAGAAAAUAAAAAAUGGUUUUUGGUUGUCAAACAUGUUUUCUUAGUUUUUUUAUUCUGAAGAAUAAAAAAUUGUUCUUGAAAACAGUUGUCAAACAAGAAUCUUUUCAUGUUAGUCUAAGUAUCACAUUAGUUAUUGCUUAAAAACUAGUCUUUCAACUAAAAAAGAAGGUCCACUACUUAUGGGUCAAACCUUCAACUUUCAAACCUCAACACAGUUAUAGUCAAGACUAAUAUUCACAUAUUAGUAUUAAUAUAGUUCAUUAAAUAUGAAAUUUCUAUAGAAGCCAAAAUCAAGUUUUUAGGGGAAGUAACAUUCACUUUCAUAAUAAGCACUUUUUAACUCAUAAGUUAGUACUUGCAACAAGAUUUCUUAAUAGAGACUUUAAUUGAGUUUUAAGAAGAAUUUUUUGUUUGUCAAAAACCAAUUCAAACAAAAUCUAAAACUAAUAUUAUUAUCUAAAAGACAUAAUGAACAACAUAAACCAUAAACUAAAGUGGUAGUGACAACCAAUACGUAGCGUUAAUGAAUAAUUGAAAAUAGCCUCAUUUUCUAAUGACCUCAAACCUAGAAGCUCUAAAAUCCUUGCCUAAUUCUUUGUGAUGACUUUAGUUCAACCUUAUUGGCGAGGGCAAAAUUCUAAAUAAUUUUUGUCACAACUCAUAAAUUUAGAAGAAAAAAUGAAAAUAAAUGGAAUCCCUAAUGAGAAAUUGUUAUUUUUCCCCUUUAUGACAAAAAUAGUAACCAACUAGUAUUAUUAAAUAACAUGGAAAUUGUUUUUUCAACUUUAAUACCAUGUAUGACAUAACUUUAAUAACCUUAAUUUAUAAGAUUAUUUAAUUUAAAAGGAUAAAACAAUUACAUAUUCAUAAGAAUCACUUCUAUUUUUUAAAAACAAUAAAUUCCAUUUUUUGGACAAAAAUACGCUCCAUUGUUUUUAUCAACAUUUCAUAAUCAAACAAUUAUUGGAAAAAAAAAAAAAAAGGUAUAAGGGUAGCUAUAUUAAAAUGAGGUUAUAAUUAUAAUACUCAAUAAGUGGAGAUUGUUUUUCCUAAUAUUGGGAUCAUCUUGUCCAUUUGACAUAAAAAAAUUUAAUUUAUAUUAUAAUUACUCUUAUAGUAAGAGAGAGAGUAAUUUCACAUGAAAUGGACCCAUAAACAUAGGUUUAUUAUGAGGCAUGAUACUAUAAUAAUAAUAGGAAAUAAGACGAGUGCUACCAUAAUAAUAGAAAAUAAGAUAAGUAAUUCAAUACUUAAUAAAGGUCUAAAACAAUUAUGCUCUCAUUAAAUGAUAUUAAUGAUGGAAAAAAACUAAGGGGUGUUUAACAAAAUUUAAUAUUUAUUACUUCAUGAUUUAAGUUGACUAUAAGUUAAAUUAUAAUUAAGUUGUUAAUUUAAAACUUAUUAAUUUUUAUUUUAAAUAUUAAGACUACUUAAUAAAAUUAAUUUAUAAUUUAUUAAGACUGUUUGAUAAAAUUAAAUUAAAAUUUAUUCUAAAUUAUCAAAUUGAUAUAUUUAUUUUCAUAAAUUAGAACUAAGGCAAAGGAGAUCAAGUAACAAUGAAUGUCGUGGAGUAGUAAAAAAGAUCCUAGAGGUAACGGGAUAAAUUAUGGUAAAAAAUGUCAAAUAAAAAUAUGAAUUUAAGAAUAAAUUAAUUGUUUGUACUUAUUACUUAAAGUUGUUUUUUAUUUUAUAUCAUUAAGUUAUUUUAUUAAACAUGUUUAAUUUAUUUAAUGACUUAAAUUAAGUUAUUAAGUCACUUUAGGCUAUAUAAUCGGUUUACCAAUCAUAUGGAGUACAUUUGGCUAGUAGGCCUGGAGUCAAGAAUAUUGCUAUCAUAUGUUUUAUGUAUUAAGGUGCCAAGAAUAAUUGACCACAAAAUAUAUGAUUGAUAAGUAUAGGAUACAAUCUAAAAAAUGCACUUGAUUUCAUCAUCUAAAUAAAUGCUCUCGGCAAAUGGAUCAUCCUAGCUGAAACCAGAGCACAAGCCGCCAUGGACAGGAGGCAACGGAGAAACCCUUCUGCUUCUUCUUCUGCCUUUUCAUCUCCAGCUUCAUCCUCAUCGCGUUUCCGCUCAGAGAAAUUCUCCUCGAAUCCCCCAAAAACUAGUAACUCCCUGGAGGAUGCUCACCAAUUGAAAAGCAAAUGUGGGAAGCCACAAAGACCAGAGCAAGAGGAGGAAGAAAAGCAAGAUCCGAGCAAUCUUCUCUCCUUAGUUGGAACUUGCCCCUUCAUGUGCCCUGGUAAAAAUGCGUGCUUAUUUUUCCAUUUUUUUAAAUUCUAUUUUCCUGUUAUUCUGUGUUUGGUUUCCGAGAAAUUGGAGGAAAACAGUAGAAAAGAGAAGUGAAUCUGGAGUUUGUGUCAUUUUUGUGGCUUUUACAUAAAUUUUACAAAUAAAAUUGAUAUUUCCCCCCCUUUAUUAGAUACCAAUCUGCAGAAGAUGUAGGAAUCCCAAAAAAAAAUUCGCUUUUGCCUUUACUUCCCCCAAAUCUUUCAUAAUGGAAAAUGGACUUACCACCUCUUUUAUCACUUUUCCUUUACCAUGUCAGGUUUACAUGUAAUCAAACACUGUAUUUGGAGUAGAGCACUUAUCCUAAUGUCAAAUGGUGUUGAAAACUUGAAUUACUGGAUCUUAAGACUCCAGAAGAAAUUUAAUUGUUUAUGAUUAUUGCUCCAUGAGAAGGGAAAGGGAUUUCUUUUGUUUUUGCUUACAUAUAUGGCCAAAUUGAUCUAUCUCCUUCUCAUACGAACAAAAUAAGGACAUUUCUUGUCUUGCUGCCUUUUAUGCCACCGGUUCCACAUGCUGAUGUGACAACCCUUGUGCUAUUCUGUACAAAUGGUAGGAAAAUUCUGGUAAGACUGGUGGCCAGCCUAUCAUGUUCAGAGAAUAAAUUCAUUGUAUAUCUGGAAUUCACUCUAUAUCAGCAUAGGGUGUUGAUAUUGAUUAUAAAUGACUAAAUUCAAUUUAUUAUCCUUACAUUAGGGAGUGCUAAAAGGAUGCAAAUUGUUCGUGUUAUACCCAAAGACAUACAAGUGAUGCUAGAGAUUUUCACAAUGUAGAUAAUCAUAGAGUAGAGAUGAACACUAUGGAGUCCUUUGGCAUGUGUUCAUUCCAUGUAUGGGAACAUGCAUUGGAAGAUUAUGUUUCCUCCUCCCUCCCCUCCCCUCCCCAAAGUUAAUACUAUGUUGUCAUGGCAAGAACUUUGGUGACAUGCUUCUGAGUGGAAUAGCCUCCUAGAAGUCCAUUUAUGUGGCAAUUGGCAAAUUCUUCCAGUCAAUGAGAACUUUGUGACUGUCUGAUUGUUGUACUAAUCAUCAUCAGAUUUUUUUUAAGUUCAAGUUGCAAAUAGCCUUUCACAGUUGAAGGUAGCAAUGAAGAGGCCUGUUGACAUAAUUAUUUCUUCUGCUUGAAUGGAUUAAAAUCAGAUACCACACCUUCAGCCUAGAAAACUAUGGACUUUCCUAUGUACCUGCAAUUGGCUGAAUACUGGUGUGACACUGAGCAAAGGCUCUCUGAUGCUGUUAUUAAUUUCCCGAGCAAAUAAGAGAAAACAGAGAGGUCAUAAUGUGAAUCAGUUACCUGUUGAGUAGGGAUGAAGGCUUUUUAUAUUUUUUUACUUUCUGGUUAGGCCUUGGAAGCACUUCUGUGAACCAUGAUUUUGUACUGUAAAAUUAGAUGGGAUGGAUAGGUCACCUUAACUCUACUUUUGGAAGUGAUUCGGGAGUGCAUGACCGUAUGAAUAUUGAUGUAUUCUCCCCAUACAGAGCCCAACUUCUUUUUGAACUAGGAAGCAUGAAGGGUGGGUGGAUGUGGGCUGAGGAAGGAAGAUUUGAAUUGUGUGCUGCAGGCCUGCAGUACCAAUUUGUUCCAGAACUUGAUAAGGCCCAUAAACUGGUAGGCAAGUUUCAUUAUUUGGUCACCACUGAAUUUCGGCAGUAUGGCCACAAGGAAGGUAGGAAGGAGAGGGAGAAGAGAAAACCCCAAUUGCCAAUUGCAAUCUUCCAGUUGGCACAGUGCUCAUUUGCUGACAUUUCCAUUUGAUUUUGACCUUGCAACAGAUACAGCUUAACGUGAUGGACCAGUUUUUCGCAAUCUUGUGAUUCAUUACCCAACUUCUAGUAACAGUUUCUCAGCAGAUGACUCACCCAUGACAGGCUGAUGAUGUCUGCACACAACUUGAAAGGUAUAUAUGCCAAGGUGUGAAAGGUAAUAUUGUGACACCGUUUUUCCUAUUCCAGAAAAUGUACCAAAUGUAUGGCUGGUUCUUGACCAAAAAAUGCUGGCAUUGGUCACCAAGUGCUAGAGUGAUUCUUGACAAAAAAUGUUUGUAUUGUUCAGAACAAUGAUUUACAACUUCAGAUUGGCCAUCCAGUUAACGAUGAUAAGCACUUGUUUUACAAAGUUCAGUGUCAUAAAAGCAAAAUAAUUUUGUCAACAAAUAUGGGGAUAACUUUAUCAUAAUUACUACUUAUGGAAGUUAAGGAUAAGUUGGGUAAUGUGAGAAAGCUUUGGUCAGAGGAUAUGAGGAUAACUUUGUUGCAAUUGCUAAGCUGCACGUCCUAGGACUACUAGGAGAAAAGUAUGAGCAACAGAAUGAAUUUACAGUCCAUCCCCACUAGCUGCAUGGAGAGGUUGGCCUUAUUGCUGCUAUGGUGGAGGUCACCUUCUUGUAGACUUUGAAAUGUGCAAAUGAAGAGGCAGAUUUCUUAGAAGAAUGGGUAGGAUUCAGCUUGUGGUAGAUAUUGAGCUUAUCGCCUCUAAUUUCAUGUCUUCUCAAUGUGGAUUUGAGGUUUAACGAGAUUUUUGGGAAAUCAUUAAGAUUAAAAGUAAUCGAAGACUUCCACAUUAAUGAGGUAAUGAAUAACCACUGAUACUUCUUCACCCCAAAGUUCCUUCACAAAAAUUUGGUGAGUGAAGAACUAUUACUGAGUUGUGAAGCACCAAUUCCAGCUUCAUUAUCUUGAUCUUCAGAAAGAGGGGUCCAACUUGAUUUGGGAUUUUAUACCUGUCAACCCAGUCACUAGUUUUUAGGAGAAUACUUCCAAUUUACCCUUGGGUUGCUUUAGGAAGUUUCUUAAUAGUGCCAUCUCUCUAGCUUAAGGGGCUUUUGUUAAUGGAAGGCAAAUUCUAGAUGUGGUUAUCAUUAGUAAUGAAAUCCUAGAUAAAAAAUUCUGUUCUAAGGACAAAGGGAUGGUUUUUAAAAUAGGUUUUGGGGAAGUUUAUGAUCACAUAGAUUGGGGUUUCAUGUAUGAUACAUACUUUGAAUAGGGAAGGCCCUUGAACCUGGAUGGCACAAAGGGACUGGAUAUUUUGAGGCUGUUUUUCAAACUGCAGACUCUUUAAUGGUUAUUGAAGCUGAGUGAUUAGCACUCGAGGAAGAUUCGGACAUGGUUGUUUGCCUGGAUGUAAUGAACCUCCUUAUUGAAGGGGAUUCCUUUGUUAUUGUCUUAGAACCCUCUUUGAAGGCAAAGGUCCUUAGUGGAUUGCUCAUCAGAUGGGGUGGCUUCAUAAUCAUGCUAGAGACAUUGCUUGUUCUUCUCUAUUGAGGCCCAGAUCAGCUAGCCAGGUGCAUGGCUAUAUUUUUCUUAUAGGGAUGCUAAUAUCUGAAAAUUUUUAUUGAGAACACUUACUGCUCUUUGAUUGGCUUGAGGCAUGGAGCGGCUUUUCUGUUCUCUUCUUGCCAUACAUGCAUAUCAUCCCUCUUUUUUUUAUCUUGUUUAACUCAAUAAAUUCUCAUUUGUUAUAAGGAAAAAAAGAGAUAUUAUGUUACAUGAUGGAAGGACUUUAUUCUGUUAUGGAGUAUGCAAAACCUAGAUCUAUUAGCUAGAGCUAUACAGUAGGCUGUUGGGUUGUUCAGUAUUGUCUCUUUUUUCGAUAGGUUUGGCCAAUGCCCCUUGAUGUUACUUUUUGGUAAUGUAAUUUUCUUUGAUUUUUCUUGAAACUUCCUCAUUUUUCAAGCUUGCUUGUAUAUCUUUUCUUCUUCCAUUAAUGAUUGUUUGAUUCCUUACUAAAAUAAAUAACAAAUUAUGAUGCAAAGGAUUACGUUUAUGGAAAAUUUUGAGAUUUUCACCAGAUUAGAGUCUCCGAAGCUGGUACUUGUCUUGACACAGAUAAUAGGAAUCAUUUUCCCCCCAAACUACAUAAGACAUGUCUGCUACUUGGUAAUGUUCCAUUGGCAGUUAUAAACUCUCCUGUAAAAUGUGAAUCUGUUGUAGCAUUCCGAAUGGUGUUGUGUCGUACAUAGAUUGGUAAUUGAGGACUUUAUUAUGGAUUUUGUCCUGUUUUGGUUGUGCCAACAAGUUCUAUCCUGUUCUUUGUCUUGCUGAUUUGGGUGGUUGUGCAUCAUGUUCCUACCAGCUGUAUAAUUAUGCUUCAGGAGCAUAGUUAUUCUGGUUUUACCAUCCAGAUGAUGGUACUAAAGUAUUUGUAUUCUAGAUUGCACAACUCCUUAUAUGGGAUAUUUUUGCACCAAAUGCUUAGUGAUCAAGAGAACUCUCAUAUUAAACACAUUCAUCUUCUAUUAAACUAAAUUCCUUAAGUAUGCAGUCUCACAACUACAUCAUACCAUUCUUUUCCUUUUUUCUUCCUUUCUUGCUAUUACAGGUUGGUUGCCACUAAUAUAGUAGAAAGCAAAUUACACGACCCUGCUUCCAUAAGACCUUUCUUAUUCCAUAGGUUGAAAUAGAAAAAACACUCGAUGGGACUAAUGUUUCUCUUUGCAACCAAGCAAAUUAAAAUGUUUUGAAACCCAUGCUGCCAUGAUCUAGCUAAUUUGCAUUUUAUAUGUCUACUCCUUUCUAUUUACUCAAAUUGUGUAUUUCUUAUGCUUGUAUUUAUUUCCUGAUGAGUUUAUUCUGAUUCUUUGAUCAGGAUUUCUGCAAUCACAUUGCUUGCUAUUGAAUUUUCAAUGGCUUAAUAUGAAUUAUUAACAAAGAAGUUGUUUAAUUAUUUCAGCAGCUUAUACCUUGUAAUUUCUUUUAACAACUCUUAUCUUUGAUGUUCAUUUGUAAUAAAUAGCUGGAGAAAGGGCCCAACGUGAACGCCUUCGGGACUUAGCUGUGUUUGAGAGGUUACAUGGAAAUCCUGGGAAAACAUCUCCAAGCCUUGCUGUCAAAAAGGUAAACCCUACAUCUCAUGCCUCUAUACCGCAUCUUAGCUUCUCAUCUUGCAUCGGACAAUGAUACUCUUAUUGAAUCAUCUUUACCAUAUCAGCCAUCAACAUGUGCACUUAUUGAGCACUAAUUCAGGCACUGAUACUUGUGCUUUUGUUUUGUUUUAUCUUGUCUUGUCUUGUUUUGUUUUGGAUGUGAUUGUGUUGGAUGACCUGUAUCUGUGUUAGACACCAAAGCCUAUCUUAAUGCUACUGUAAAGUAAGACUAUGCUAAUAAGCUAUUGAUCUGUUACAGGGUUUAUGCCAAACUGAUUUUUUAGUUUCUCUAGUAGAAAACUUGUUUUUUCCCCUGUUAUAUCGGUGCUAUUGUUGGAUUUGUGUUUGUUGUUGAUCAAGCAUUUGCUGAAAGUUUUUUUUUUCCUUUGCUUCUUGAUGUGCAAAGCAUUAUUGUUUGAAUUUUAAUGAUCCCAUUUGAUUCACUAUUCAAUAUUUUUAUUUGAUAUUACAUCUAUCUCAUUUGUUUUCUUUUCUUAGUUUUUAUUUUUUUAUUUUUUAUUUUUAAUUUAUUUUUUAUUUUUUGAAUUUGAUGGAGCCACCAUUAAUUUAUUUUUCCUUAUUAUUGUGGGGUGUGCUUUAUUUUGUUCAAUUGUUGUUGCACUAUUAUUAUCAUGUAACUUUUUUUUUCCUUUUUUUUUUUUUUUGUUUAAUCUAUUGUUCCUAUGAGCAUUAAAUGCUCCUAAAAUGUAUGGAAUAGGCUAAACCUUUCUAUAGUUUUUUUAAAAAAACUCAUUUAUUAUCUAUUUUCUUGUGCUCAAAAAAUUAUAUUUUUUUAGUAAAAUUGAAAAUUUAGGGAGCGCUUAGGCCUCAACGGCUCAACCCCUUGAGGGUUUAUGCCUAUCGUAGCAAGAUGUAAACCCCCUUGCCUCUUAUGCUUUUACCUUAUGAAACUAUACCAAGAAAAAAACACCACAACUCCCUGCUGCCAUCAAAGGAUACUUCAAAGUUUGCUUCAAAUCAAUCUUAAGGCUAAUUAUCAUACGCUUGUCAUCAUGUCACUAAAAUUGGUAUUGUAACCAAAGUCCUAUUGCGAAAUCUUCAAGUUGCAGCUCCUUUUUUUCUGUUGGUAUUUGUAUUGUUAGGUGGCCGCAACCUGUUGCUUUACUUAUGCUUUAUGAACUACUCCAGUUAAAAUAAUGCUUCAAGUAGAUGCUUUCUGGAUCUUGACUCUAGCAAGAGGCUUAUAUUGCAAAUUUUUUUGUGGAGUCCUAGCUAGGAAGACAAUAGCUUGCUUAAAAGGAUUGCCACCUCUCUUGUUGGGUUUGUAAAAAUUUUGCUUCUCUCUUGACCUUGGGAGUCCUGUGGUUUCAAUUUUGGGUGUGCUCUAGGUUGUAGCCUGUGUUAUGCUUUCUAAAUGGUAAUCUUCUUAUUUUGGCUGGGAUGCUUUUGUUUAUUUUGCUUGUUUGCUUUCUUUGUUUCUUUAUUGUGGCUGUAGGAUCACCAAUCAACUUUUUAUUCUUUGCAAAAACUGUUUAUGUUUCAUAACAAAAAAGGAAAAAACAAAGGCAAGUUAGCCUAGAAUAGGUUUUAUCUUGUUUCUUCUUUUACCAUUAGUGUGGAUUCAAACUCAGGAAGAGGCCUUCAAACAAGUGGCAUUUGUGUUUUUUAAACAUAUAUCUUUGUUCAAUCAUUGUUAAGUGUUUGCUGUCUUGUCUGUUCUUUUGGUUGUUUUUGGCUUUGUCAAAGUGUAUAAUUGUAAUAUCCUACAUCGUAUAGAGGAAAAAGUUCCUAGCGCUAUAUAUGUAUGAAUUUCUUUUAAUCUUGUUGAUUCGUUUUCAAGCCGCGAGGGUCGCUUAGGCUCAAAGCAAAUAAUAUCCACACAACUGGGAGCAGGUUGUUACAAAUGGUAUCAAAGUCAAUCCUCGACCUUGGUGGGAGAGUUUGUUUGGCCUAAAAUGGGUGUCCGUUUAUUUGACCCUACAAUCCUGUUGGACACAACAAGAACGUUGUGUCUGCAUGAGAGAGAGAGUGAUUGUAAUAUCCUACGUUAGAUAGGAGGAAAAGUUCCUAACGUUAUAGUGUGUGUGUCUUGUAAAGCUUAUGUUGGGUGUCAUGAUUUUAUCUCGUCCUUUUUAUUAUUCUGAUUCAACAUCAUCUUAGCUUAUAAUCAUUUAUACACUUGAUGCAUGAGAAAUGAAGAUGCUAUAAAUUGUAGGAUUCUUUUUCUCCAAUUUGUUCCUUGAUAUUUUAUAAUGCCAUGAAAUAUCUAUAUUUUGAUGCAGAAAGCCGUUCACCCUCCAUCUCUCUCACUAGUUUUGCAGAACCAUUGCCACUAAGCACAUGCAGGCGUCAGAUGUGCGGCCACUUCCAGUGUUGGAAGAGACUUUGAACUACCUAUUAAACCUGUUGGAUGCCACGGAACAUCCUUUUGAAGUGGUUCAUGAUUUCGUCUUUGAUAGGACAAGAUCAAUAAGACAAGAUCUUAGCAUGCAGAAUAUCGUUAAUGAUCAAACAAUUCAUAUGUAUGAAGAAAUGGUAUGAAUUUCUUGAAACAUAAUCUCAAUUACCUUUUUUUUUCUGAGCAUUCAUCUCCUCAACAUACAAUAAGUUAGCCAACCCAUUGCUAAACACUCUCCUAGUUGGAGAAAAUAAUCAAAGUAUACAAGAUAUAAAAUGUUGAAAAUUGAGUCAUUAUCCUCUCCUUUUGCUUUAUUGAAUAAGAUAAUUUAUUCAGUUGAGUCCAAACGAGGUGAAACUGUGAUCACACAACUUGAAGCCUACUUUACAAUGGAUAAAUGAAUGGUCUGAUUUUGAAUCUUUCUUGGCACAUUAGUUAUUAUCCAAUCCAUUCUAAUUAAAUUAUCCACUAUUAAGUGUCUAUUUCUAGUCACCCUCCAAGUUAUGAAAGACCCAUAGAACCAAAGCAACUCACACCACAUGUGAUGGGAAUUGGUGCUCUCUUCCAUAAUGUCAAGUUUUCCAGUACACUUGCUGACUUUGUAAAAUAUGCCUACAAAAAGGGCUGCCACCUCCUAAUUCCCAAUCAUAGAAGUUUCUUAACCAUAUUUCAAAAGCUGUAUUUCCUGUUCCCUCUCUUUAAGUUUUUUAAACCUAUAUCUCUUUAUCCUAGUAAUUCGGAAAAAUGAGGAAAUUAUUUAACAAGAACUCCAUCAAUUUGUUCCUUAAAAUUUUAUAUGGUUUCUCUCUCACUUUUUAUUCAAAUUCUUGAAGCAAAGGAACAAAUUCAUGGCUAGUAACAAUUUUAGCCAAGCAAUAGAAUGCACAACAAACAUGCAUAUGAAUGACUUUUGUUUUUUGAUGAUAAUAGAUCAGAUAUUUUAAUCUCAUCCUAAAACCUUGGAGUUAGCUAAAAGCCGCAUCUUAUGUUCUGACUUGUGGUUUGUUUCAUAAUAUAGGUGAAAUUUCAUAUUAUAUCCCACCACAAGCUUCGCAGUUGUAGCAGCAAGCCAAAUUUUUCUUCAGUUCAUUACCUCAAUAUGGAGCAGCUGAAAAAGUGUUUGAUAUCUCUAUAUGCUCUAUACAAAGAAAAUCGAAAUUCAAAUUCUAUUUACAAGAAUGAACCUGAGUUUUGCUCAUUUCACGUUCUUCUUCAUCUUGGCUUUAACAACCAACCAUUGGUGGACACUUGCUUCCAUUGUUUGUUUGAGUUCAUCUUUGUCAGUAUCUCUUGCAGCCUUGUACUGGUUUCUGAAUAUGUUACUAUUUCUGUUCUGAAGGGAGAGUCACUCUCUUUGUGGUUGGGUCGUGUACCUUCUCUCAUUUUGAAGUCAAAGGAAAUGUGUUUUGCCCGGAGACUUUUAAGGUGACCACAAAGCUAUUAUAGAUUCGACUUGCAUAUAAAUUGUUUAUAUUCAUUUUACAUUUAACUCAAUGUAGAGUGGUUCUGUUUUUCAAUCGAUUUUUUUCUCUUCUUUUAGUACCCAAUGUUAAAAUUUUUGUUUUCAUGAACUGAAAGAUCUGUCUUUUCUUGUAACAGAUUAUUUCGGAUGGGCAAUUAUAAGCAUUUCCUUUGUACUACAGCAACUGAGGCAUCUUAUUUGCAGUACUACAUUAUUGAACCUUACAUCAAUGAGGUUGCUUAAAUAUGUUGAUUUUGCUAGAUUUUUCAGUUUGAAAAAUAUAUGCUUCUUUGUUCAUUUAUUGUAUUCCAGUUUCAUUUAUGAGAAUAUAUCUAAAAUCUAGACUCGAGUACUUGUGCUUUUGGGUUUUAUUUUUCUUUCAUUUUUGUUAGUAGUUGCACUUCAUUAUUCUUAAAUUUCUCACCAACUGUUUCUUUAUGUGGUUUAUUGCUCCUCACUUUCUUCAUUCAUCUGAAGUUUUCAAAUUCAAUUAGCUUGUUUCAUAAACUAGGUCUUAUUUAGAAGUUCUUCUCAACUGCCUUUUUUUAGUGCUUCUAAAAGACAUGCCUGAUUUAUGUACAUUUUGUUGGUUUUCUUUUGACCGUAAAAGGUUCGAGCAUUGGCAUUGUCAUGUGUAAAUUAUUGUGGCUACAAACUUCAUCCAUAUCCAAUUGCACACUUGUCCAAACUCUUGAUGAUGAAGGUAUGAUUGCAUUUACUAGCAUUAAAUUGCUAAAAUUUGUCAUCCAAAGUUCCAAUUUCUUUUGAACCUUGAAGACUCCAUUUGCAUUCUUGUAGGAAUUAGAUGUGGAAUCAUUUUGCAAUGCUUGUGGUCUUGAGACCAGCACUGGUGAACGGGGAAAUAAGUUCUUAUCAACCAAGCAAACAAACUUCCAUUAUCCCAAGGAAGUCUUUCCAAGCUACUGCCUUCGGGUUUGGAACACUUUUAGAGGUAACAAUCAAUUGGAACUAGUUACUCUUUCAAACUUCUUAUUGUACAAAUAUAGCCUGCAUGUGCAACCAUUUCUGAUCCCAUAAUUUCAAGAAUUUAUGACACCUUCUAGUGGUUAGUUUUUUUGGGAAUAGAGUAAAGCAAUCUAUUCACUCCCAGAAACUAUCGUCAGAGGAACAGUAGAUAACCCCGCAAGACCAAAUUUAUGUGUGUUGCAUGGAGAUGCAUGUUUUCUGCAUCCCAAUCAUGCAGUGUUGUGUCAAAUGGAAUAAUAGCAGGUGAUGAUAAGUGGUAUUUCUAAAAUCAUCUAAGAGUAUUCCAUCUAUUGUAAUAUUGUUUUCUCAUAACUGUCUUUGAGUCUUAUAUGUAAAUAUUAGAGUUGACCUCUUGUAAGCUAUCAAUUGAUGUUGUAACUUAACUUGAAAGGGAAAUUCUAUAAAUUUAGCCUUGGUUUGGCACUUGGAAAGCAAAGAAAAAUUAGGUUAGUGAGUUGAUUUCUUCCCUUCCCAUGGAUGUAAGCACAUUCUUGAAUCAUGUUAAUUAUUUUUUGGUUUAUUUUGUUGUUUUGUUGUUUAUUGUUCAAUUGUCUCCACAUAACAAGUGGUAUCAGAGUUGUUUCCGACACACUAGAUGAUUCUUGUGCUAACACAAUGUUUGAGGCUAAAUAUAAGAUAGUAAAAGUUUCUAGAAUAUUUCCCUAUGACAAUUACCAAUAAAGAAUGUACUUAACAGGAAGUUUGUAAGGUGUUACAUGGCAAGUUGAACAAAACCAAUAGCCAGAGAUAACUGAAAUAUUUGGGCCAUUGAUCCAAUAAUAGCAGAUAAUAACACAAGAAGAGACCCUCUAAUCACCAUUUUUGCUUUUGAUUCUUCUUUACAAAGCAUCAUCUACUUUAUACAAAAAGACAAUCCAUGGCUGAGCCCACAUUAUUCUCUACAUAUCCCAAAAAAGCCCUCCAAAUUUUAGGGCAUGAUGCUCUUUUUGGGGGUAUUUUUGGUACUAAAUUUGUGGUAGUCUCUCAAAUACCUAAACUAGCCUCCAAAUUUUAAGGCAUGCCCCACUGUUUGAGGUGGUGUUUUGGGUACUAAUUUUUGUUAGGAGAGGUUUUAGUGUGGAAACUGGAGGGCUUUACACAUGUCGCAUGUAUUUUAUUUUGCAUGCGUUACACGUGGAUUGGAGUUUAUGCAGUUACUCACACUUUUUGUGCGUCCAACAAUACUGUAGUGCCACGUCACCAUAUGAUGGGCUCUUUAGUCUUUUCAAACCCAAAAAAACACCCAAAAAAAAAAACUAAUACUAAAAGGAGUGCUAACUAGCUAUGUGAAGGUGAACCUUUAUAGCUAGCUUCUUAAAGGGACCAUGAUCGCUUAGGCCAAGGAAGUUUGAGGUGAUAAUAGGUCUGUGAUGCCUUUAGAUGUUUUAAGCACAUGUGCGUUACACUAAUGUAUUCAACGAGUCUAUAACCUUAACCGACAGGUCCGGGUAAUCUUUGAAAUUUCAUUGUGAUGGGAAGGUUCCAUGUGAACAACACUUGCACAUGGGUUAGUCAAUCUUAAGAGAUGGGGGAAGCCCGUCUAACAACGCACAAUGUGCGAGCUUUGAAAGGCAAUAGGGUUAACAUUUCUGAAUUGGGACAUGACAAUGACAACAACAUUAGGUAGUCUAGAGAUGUUGUCAUAUUAAUUGUUAUCAAUAUUUUUAUUUAUUCAAUAGAAAUUGAGGAUUAAAAAAUACCACAAAAAAUAGAAAAAACAAAAUUAAUUACAUGGCUUACAUUUCAGAUAUUUAAUAAAAUAUUGUAUGAAAGUUGAAUAUCAUACACUAUUAAAUGACUGGAUUCUCUUCUUUAUUUUUUUUAAUUGUCUCAUCCUAUUAAAUUACUCAUCUAAUAUUAAUUUAUUUUAAAGGUAAAAUUAAUUAUAUUGUAAAAAACUUUUAAUUGACCAGAGUUUGUGCACAACAUCUAAUAUAUACUUAAAUACUUUUCCAUGCUAUAAUCCUCCAACUAAGAAAUGAAAUCAAAACUUAAAAAUCAUUUAUAUAUAUAGAUAUAUGUUGUUAAGUUUAGGUAGUGAAACAAUUAAUGUGGAUAUAAAAUUAAUGCCAAAACUUUUGAUUGAUCCUUCACAUUCUCCACAACCAAACAAAGGAUAUAAGAAAUAAUGAAAGAAAUUUAGGGUAGUUUUAUUUUUUGUUCUCAUCUUGUUGUGAAGUUAAUAGAGGAAUGCUUAGGUUGGUGCUCAAUAGUUAAGUGACACCAGGGUAUAAUGAUUCUUCCAAUUGUGUAAACAUUAUCCGCUUUAAUUUCAAUGGAUCAUCAUCACUUUAAAUUGCAUCCACAUGGUUAAGAGUAACUCAUAUGUAUAUAAUAUCAUGAAUUUCUUCUUAUUCGAUAUGGAAUAUCAAAUUAGGUAUCUUUCAAUUUUAGGUAUUGUAUAAGCGUUUCAACUCAAAUGACUUGGCUUAAUGUAUGCUCAAAGCCAUGACAAAGGAACGUACAUGUAAUAAAGUGAAAAUUAAACCUUGUCGCCCUUCUAUCUCUAGUAUGAAACACAACUCCAUUAGCCCUUAAACAUCUGCAAAAAAAGAUAUACACAUCUGUUACAUUAAUUAAAAUAAAUGAUGCAAAAAGAGGCUCUACAUGUCCAUGUACAUAAUUUGAUUAGAUUUGUUAUAUAUAUAGAUAGAGAGAAAAAAAAACUGCUUAGAUUAAGGAUCUCAUUAAUUAAUACCUAGAAAAUAUAAAAUAAUAAGAAAAGAUUAGAAGGUGUGAAUCAUAAGAUAAGACUACAUUUUUGAAUUAGAUUCAUCGAAAGAUGGCAUAUUGUAUGAACAUUUGUACUCUAUAUAUAAAAAUUCAUAUUAUGGUUGAGAUGUAUUAAUUUGUCAUAUUUUUGGAAAAUUAAAGUAAUGAGUAAUUACACUAAAUUAAAUUAUUGACCUUAUUAAUCAAUACCUCAAGAGUAUAAAAUAGUAAGAAAUGAUAAUACAAACUUCAUUGAAAUAUUUUUAUACACAUUGUGUAAAUAUUCUUAUUUAAUAAAAGUUUAUAUGUCAUUAAAUAAAUAGAGAAUUUUAACAUUAAUUGCAGUGCUAAGUAGAGGAGAUCCCAUAUUUAAGUUGUUGAUUAAGGCUUAUUUGAUAAAACUUAAUAUAUAUUACUUAAUAACUUAAGUUGACUUUAAGUUAGAUAAUAUUUAAGUUAUUUACUUAAAAUUUAUUAUUUAAUAUUUACUUUAAGUAUUAAAGUUAUUUGAUAAAGCUAAUUUAAAAAUCAUUUUAAAUUUUCAAAUUGUCAUAUUUACCUUCAUUAAUUUGAUAACUAGAUGCAGAUAAAUGAAAAAAAAAAUGAGAUUAAGAAUAAGUUAAUUACUUUGAUUUAACACUUAAAAUUAAAAGUAACUUUAAAAUAUAAUAUUUAGUUAUUUUAUCAAAUAUAUUUAAUAUAUUUAAUAAUUAAAUUAAGUUAUUAAGUCAAUGAAUGAUUACCAAACACCCUAUAAGACCUAGAAAAUCGAAUGAGUUUUAAUAGUAUUCAGGAUGGGCAUGACUAGGUGGUGGUUCAAUGUUGAUUAAUCAUAAUUCAAUCAAGGCAAAAUAUGUAACAAAUACAUGUCAAACUGCACCAUCCAAAUGGGCACCAAGAACGUUACAUUUGACAAAUGCCAUUAAACCUUUACAGCUAGCAAUUAGAAGAUCACUCUCUUCUUGUAUCUCUCUUUUUCUCCAAACUCCAGGAGGAAAAACGCGAACUCCAUUAUUUUGAUCACAGAAAAAAUGGCAAAAAAGUGUGUUGUACUUCAUCUUGAAGCUCAUUAACUUCAUCUUAAUUUGAUCCAAAUUGCAGAAACAUUCGAAACUCCAUGAAUCUAUGGUGCUAUGGUGGCCUACAUUCAUAUAACUGGGGACACUUUGGUUUGCACUACAAUGACCCCCAAACAUGGUUUGUAGAGACUUUAUCAAGAUCACUAGCUUCAAAAGACUAAGGAAAGAAAGAUGUUCUCAAUGAAAACUUGGAGUCAAAUUGCAGAUAAAGACCUAAAACUCCCACUCAAUGUGUUUGAGGAAUUGUUGUUUCAUGGGGAUAAGCCGUUUGGUUUGUACACGUCUCCUUGGUGAUACUUAGAGAUUGGCGAAGUAUACGUCUCCUUUGUGAUCUGGUUUGUAUCUGGGCAGAUGAAUGUUCAUGCCAGGUUCAUAUAUGUUUCUGAUAUAUAUCACCCUGGAAGGAUCUAGAUCAAGGGGAUGAGUUUGAAAAGCUUGAGUAGGUUUAAAAUGUUCCGAGAAUUGGUGAGCAUGAUAUAUAUCAACAUGAUAUUGCAGAAGACAACAGAGCUUCUGAAAUAUGUCAGAUUCAAUAGUAGGAAAUCUUAUCAGCUGUCACUUACUGUAAUUCUAUGCUCUCAAUAUUCAUUUGUUGAAGAAGAAAAAAAAUUGCUUUCACACUAUUCAAUUACAGGAGAAUGUUCAUUAUUGAAGAAAAUAAUAUUCGCUAGUCUCUUUCAACUUAAUCAACAUGCAGAGAAAAGCAGUCGGGCGACCAAUUAUUCACAUAAAACUUACAUACAUUGUCUCUCUACCUCUACUUGUUACUCAUCAGUCAAGCUUAUAGUAAUAUAAGCUUGGGUUCAUCUCUCUAUGCCAUUGAUGAAAACUCCACAUGGGCUUUGCCUUUCUGGUGAUUUUGCAUUUGGAUUCCGACCCUCUCCAAGUGAAGAGGACCUAUUCCUUCUUGCUAUCUGGACUGCAAAUGGAAGUUAACCGGUGCCAAGAGGAUCAAAAGUUGGGCUUACCACCAAUAGACAGCUUGUUCUCUAGAGGCUGGUAAUGUGAGCAGCGAACCAGUGCAUGGUGCCAUGCUUGGAGAUGGAAAUUGUAUACCAGUGUAUGGGAGAGCUUCAAGCACCCGACUAAUACCAUAUUGCCAACCCAGGGAUUGGUGUUGGAGCCUACUGUUGAGUUGCUAUUUUUGAGGACCUGAGGUUUCCAAAUGGAACUGGAAGCUGUUGGAGGAAAAGACUACCUCUUUCAAAUGGGAGGUUGGAUCAAACUGCUGUUUCCAGAAGUGCUCUAAUCAAGAUAUUGAAGUCCAGUGAACUAACUUCAGGCAGAGGCAACCAAAAUAAAGCAAUUCUAAUACUCUCAGUCCUCUUAGGCCCCUCUGUGUUCUUCUUCUUCAUUUCUCUGGCUGCAAUUUCUCUAGUUUUCUACUGCUUGAUCCUCAAAAAUCUGCAGCUUUAUCACAGAAUCCUGAGUACAAGCGAUGGUAGAAGCCUUUGGCACUGUCUAUAAAGGGAUAUUACCAUCAGGUUCUGGAAAUUCUGUUGCUGAAAAGAAGUUGGAGAAGGUGGUGGGAGAAGAUGAGAAAGAAUUCAAAGCAGAAGUGAAUGUGAUAGGCCAACUCACCAUAAGAAUCACGGACACUAGCUGCGUUACUGUCGUGAGGGUGAACACUGACUACUGGUGUUUUUUUUUUUUAUGCACAAUGGCUCUUUAUCAAGCUUCCUUUCUGGAGGCGCCCAAGGACUUGUGUACCUACAUGAAGAAUGCAGUAAACAGAUCAUCCAUUGUGACAUAAAGCCCUCAGAACAUAACUCUUGGAUGAUUCUUCUACAGCCAAAGUUGCAAACUUGGACUGGGAAAGCUUCUGAUAAGCAACCAGACUAGAACACUCACAGGCAUCAGAGGGACUAUGGGGUAUAUUCAGACAACUCGGGCAGCCUAUGUCUCUUAUAAUAACACGUUAUGAAGCAUCAGCUCAAUGCCGGGGUUCAAUCUGCAAAGCAAGGGAUUCAUCAAUGUUUCCUUCAAACUAAAUGAUAAGGAACAGAAAUGGAUCAUUCUGCAUUUUCAGUGGUGUUUGUUAUAGCAUUUAUACAAGAACUCUAGGGGUUUCUAUGUAUAACUUCAUUCCCAUUUUGUAUAAUCCAAAUCUCUUCAAUCGAUUAAAUGUAUAAAUGAAUCCUAUUCAUUGUUUGGAGUAACAACAAAAUUCUGGAAGACUGGGAAAGUUUCAACACUGGAGAGAAGACAAAAUGACAAGACCAUAAAUUCUGGAAGAGGGCUUUGCUUUCUAACCAUUACCAUAAUUUUAGAGCUCAACCUGGAUGAGUAAAUUAUAUUUCAGAAUGUUCAGGAGAUAAUUCUAAAGUGAUGAACCUUCUACUCACAGUUUCUUGUUCUUCUUGAACAGAGCAAUGAACAUCAAUAGUUCAGCACCCAGGAAUCUCCCCUUCCUCCAAUUCCUCCACUGGGAAAAGUCACCUUUCCAGUUAAGAAAAUCAUCAGGAUUAGUUUGAGCAAAACAUCAGAGUAUACAUCAAGAAAGCCUUGAUCAAAAUCAAAAUACAUCAAGAGCUGCCAUUUUCUUCUAUUUCCUCUUCCCUGAAUGGAAUGCCUUUUGGACUGAGGUGAUCAAUGGUAACAAUCUAACACACUCCUUAAGCUCUGAUUGAGGUCAACGGGGAUUGGCACAUUUAAUGACUUUGAAAUCAUAGCUGUGUGAAGGGAGGCAAACAUGAAUCUCAGGAUAAUCAACAAGUCAACAACUAUCAAUCAGUAAGGAAAAGGAAAAGGAAAUACCUUUGGAUAUUUACAAAUAAAAAUGAAAUAUGAUACAAGAUUUUCAUGGAUUAAACAAAAAUAGAUGGCAAAAUAGAAGGAUAAGGUCACAGACAGGACAAUAUUAAAAGAAAUUAUUAUUUUUCCGACCUGAAAAUCAAGGAAUUCAGAACAGUACAAGUUUGUAAGUAGUCCAUGGAAACCAGGGAACAUAUGCAGAUGUUUUAUUCUAUUGCAUAAGGCAAACACUCAAUACUUACAAGCAUAAUCAUGCCCAGAAAGCCAUGAAUCCCUUUUUGUUUUGCCUUUUUAUCUAUUCCCAUCUCUUAUUGCCAGAAGUGCCCAGGAUGAUAUAAGCCUCACCAAAUAAGUUAGAAACCAGCCCAUUCAGCAGGUUGAGUAGCCAGCUUGCCCUCAAUCUUCUUUGAGUCAACAAACAGCUGGGCAUUAUUGCCUCCAAUGGAGGGUCUGGAAAUAUUAGAGCCGGCAGCAGGGGUGGCUGUAAAACUCUCUGUUCCAAAACCCCAAGUUUCAGGGCCAGAAGUUCCUUCUGUGGCUGGUUUGUUGUGAUGGCCAUUUCGGGUCCUAACAGACUUGCUAUUGUUGUCUGGGCACCUGCCUCAGAGAAAGCCUGCCAAAGAUUAGAGUCUGGGCCAGGGGAAACGGAUUUUCUUUGCUGGAGUUCCCAGUCUGUUGCUUCAAUCUUUUCUCUGUGCUGUUAUGAGAAGAAAACCUAUCAGACACAUGAAUGGGUACAAAAAGGUAAACUUCAGGUUUUGGUUGUAUUGAAAAGCACAGGAAACUUCACAAGAGGCAAAUUAUACCCCAGACUUAUUGAAGAAAAAUAAAGUACAAUUGACUUACCCAAAUGUCUACUUUCUCAUUUAUAAGUUUCCUCCUAAACAAAUCCCCACAUCUAGGACAGGAAAAGGAAGAAACUGGGAGUCAACAUUUUUUCAACCAAAUGUCAGCACUAAAUUAUCAAAAAACAUAGUUUUCCAUUCAACCUCGGGAGCUGUAUGUGCAGGUGUACUGUACUUUCUGAUAUUGUCUUCUUCAAUGCCCAUUUCUUCAGGCUUCUUAAAGUGCUUAUGAUUGGUGGAGGUGCUUCCAAAAUUACACAACUUCCAUAAUCCAUUAGGGCCCAAUAGAAGAUUCUCAGCAUUUAUAUAAGAACUUUAGGGUUUAUACGUAUGAUCAUGUUACAGUAUAAAUCAUAGUGAACUGGUGGAAUUUGAUUAUUUAGCCAACCUCAUCAAAAACUGUUUCACAGUUGAGGGGAUUGUUAACCUUGCCAUGGGCCAAGCAGCAAUUUCUGAAGAAGCUGGGUGACAAAGAGUACCAUCAUUUGGACUAGUUUCAAUGGAAAUUACUCUGUUUUUAUACAUGAUAUCUUCAGCUUCAGCUUUUCCUUUUGCUUUUGACAUGGCUGAAACUGAUCCUGAAAUCAAAAAUCCCACACAAGUAGAUAUUUAACAGAAGAGGAUCCGAAUCUCUUCAAUUGAUUAAUGUAUAAAUGAAAUAAUAAAAAAUUUUAGAGAUAAUUAUAGGGAGAUGAACCUUAUACCUCUGAGUUUCUUAGUCUUCUUGAACAGAGCAAUGAGCAUCCAGUGUUGAGCACCCAGGAAUCUUCCUUCCUCUACAGGGAAAAUCUGAACAAUCUAUCUUUCUUCAUAUUCCACUUCCUUGCAAAAGUCAAAACAUGAAGAAAAUAUCAUCAAAAUUGAGACAAAAAUAAGUGCAUCAACUGUCUCAAGAAGAGAUUUAUGCCUAUUGCUUACCUUUUGCAGAAGUCCACUUGGUUAGAGCACAUUUUACAUGGACGCCCAAUCACUGCAAGCUGCUGAACCAAAGGAGAGUUCAAACAUCUAAAAAAUUUGACUAACUCAAGUAUCAUAAAAUACUUCACAUGAAUUCUAAAUGAUCUCAUAUCUAAAAAACACUGGCAUAAAAUUAUUGUUGUUUACCUUACAUGUUUCUUCCAUGGUCAUAAUCGAAACUUUGUUUAUCAUAAGAAAUCUUUUAUGCUCAUCCUGAUUACUUACAAUGAUCACUGAAAUGAAAAGACAAAAAACACAAAAAAUGACGAUUAGUUUGAUUUGAUAAUUUUUUAAAAUUAGAAAUUAUAAAACUAUUUUGGUUCUCAGAAAAUUUACGGGAAAGUAGGGAAAAAAAUUGUAAACUUUUUCUCUUGUUUGAUUGUUUAUCGGAAAAUUGAGGGAAAAACAAAAAUCUAAGAGAAAUUUAUUUAACACUUAUGAGGAACCAAAAAUGUUUUAGAUGUUGUCAAAUCGAUAAUUUAAACGUGUUUAAUUUCAAUUAAAUGAGUUUAAUCAAACACAUGAAAUUGUGAAUAAAAUUAUUUAAAAGCAUUGAAAUUCAAGUCAUUAAAGUUGUCCAUAAAAUUUGAUAUAUUGAAGCAAGAAAAAAACAAAGCAAUUUGAAUGACUUGCUAAUGAAGCAGCUAACUAAAAUAUGCCCUAGAGUUGUUCUGUGCCCUGUAUAUAACAAAUUUAAAAAAAAAAAAUCCUAGAAAAAAAACAAACAAAAUAUCCAUGGUCUUAUGUUAUUUUUUUUCUUAAUUUUUCAAUAGUUAUAAAUGGUUCAUUUAAUUCUUGCAAACCACCAAAUCAAAACAGAGCAUGAAAAAGAAAAUCUUAAAUCAAAUAAACAGGACUAGCGAAUGAAUUGGAACUUGAAAGAAAAGUUCAAGCUCAAAAGAAUUACCUGACUCUAUAUUGGCGGAGUGGCACUUUGAUUAAUAUAGCACAAAAUUGAUCACUAUUUUUGGAAUGUGAGCUAUAUAACGCCAUUCUUCCCCUUUCUCAAAUUGACACCGUUUUUUCAGUAAAGGACAUUUGUAGAUGAACAGAUAAGAGAGGGAGUCUGGAAGUCUCUCUUUUGUCAAGUAUUUGAGCUUACGACACUUACAGAUCCCUAAUGUUUUAAGAGAGGUGAGGUGUUGAAGACCCACUUUUGUCAAGGAUUGGAGCAUUGGGCAGUUAUCGAUCCACAAACAUUCAAGAGAGGUGAGGUGUUGAAGACCCACUUCUGUCAAGGAUUGGAGCAUUGGGCAGUUUUCGAUCGACAACAUUUCAAGAGAGGUGAGGUGCUGAAGACCCACUUCUGUCAAUGAUUGGAGCCUCGAGCAUCCAUCAAUUUCUAAUCGUUUUAGAGAGAUAAGGUGUUGAAGAACCGAUCCUGUCGAGAACUGGAGCUCUGGGCAGUUUCUGAUCUUUAAUUGUAGAAGAGAGGUGAGUUGUUGAAGACCCCUGCUGUCAAGAGACUUGAGAUUCGAAAGCUCUACAAUUUGAAGAGAAGUCAGAGAAGAGGGCAGCAAACACUCCUUGGGAAAUAAUUCAAUGUCUUCACAUCCACCGGUGAUUGUGAAAUGAGUAAGAGAGGUCAGCCUUUGCAAACCCCACUCCACCUGGGGUGUGAGUUGGUUGCACUUCUUAAUUUCAAGUUCACGUAGGUUGGAAGGCAAACCCUCUCUCUGAAACAACAAUUCUGGACAAUCCCAUAAAUUCAACGACCUGAGCUUGGAGCACCUAUAAAUCUUACAAGACUCCAAGUUGAGAGCGUGCAAUUCGAUAGAUUCAAGAUCAGGGCAACCAUCUAGAGACAGGGAACAUAAAGAUGUGGGAUCACCCUCUGAAACCAAAAUGGAGAGCUUCUCAAGCCCCUUAAGAUCAAGGAUUGUGAAAUUAGUCAACUUUGGGAAGAUGCCUAAUGAGAAGGAUAACGAGAGAGAAUCAUCGAUAACACCAUCUUUGAUUUCUAGACUUUCAAGGACUGGGAGAUGGCAUCUGAACAACUCAGGUAGGAGAAACGCUAAUUUCGAGCAGUCAGAGAUGAAUAGUGAUUUCAGUGUAGUGGGUAAACCAACUUUGUGCAGGGAUCUAGAAAAACUACAAUCAUAGAUUUUCAGAUCAUGUAUGUUGGUUUGCGAGAUUUCCUCCUCUAGCAGAGACUCCACAUAAUCACAUUUUCUAAUUGACAGCUGGUGUGGUGCCAUUGGAAGUUGACUCCACUGAGACACAUCUAAAAUUUCAAUUUCUGAAGUUUGAAGAGCUGUGAAGUCACAACCUGCCAUUUGCAACUGCAGUUUACCAAAAUCCACCAUCCUCAAUUGACGAAUUGCAGGAACUGUGAGUGAAGCCAUAAGCAGUUGCGGACAUUCAUGAAUUUGAAGUUCCACCAAUGAAAGAAGCUGUUCUGGUAAUUUCCCAAUGAGUUUGGGACACCUUCGUAUAAAAAGCUUUUGAAGAUGAGGGAAUUCUCCACAACAUAACCAUUUCUCCCAGUUCUGCAUAUCCUCAAAUGAUAGUGUUUCUAGGAAUUGAAAGGAAGCAUUCCCAUAGAACUCAUCACCCACACACUCUACUCCAUUCAUCCUUGAGAUUUGCAGAUAUUUAAGUUGGGUUAGCUGUCCAAGUGGUGGCAAUGUUGAGCAAUUGCCACAACCCCGAAGCUCAAGGGACACGAGAUUCAACACUGAAGGAUCUCCAAGCCAAUUUGGAAAUCCUUCACCAGGAUAGUUUGUGAUGGAGAGUUGUUUUAAAUUUGGAUGAGGUUGUAACUUGUUGAGUAUAUCAUGCGUUGUUGCACCACUUUGUGUAACACCAUUGGUACACAUGUAACGCCAAUCAAAGAUCAACUCAUCAAGAUAACUUUUAUCCUGCAUAUUAGCUCUUGAUGCAUCAUUAACACUCACCACAUUCUCCAUGUUUGAAAUAUAAAGUUUUCCUCGAAGCUCUGAUAGCUCCCCCAAUUCUCCAAUUCUUAAUCCAUUGUUUUGGCCCACAAUAAAUCGAGUCAACCUUUGUAAAUUUUUUAAUUGACCAAUUCCAUGACUUGACAUUGCUCUCAAUGAACGACAUCCAUCAAUAUCAAGAUAGCGCAAAUUAAUCAAUUUUCCCAUCUUUGAAGGCAAUUCAUCAAGUUCUGAACAAUUUCUCAGCAUCAUCGUUUGUAAAUUGCAUAAACAACAUACUGAUUUAGGUAAUUUUUUAAUCCUCGUGACAGACAAAUCCAAGUAACGCAAAUGUUUUAAAUUACCUAUCGAUUUAGGCAAAUCAGUUAUUGUAUAUGCACAUAAUGAUAACACACGUAAACACCACAUUUUUGGUAAUAUAUCUUGCAAAACUCUUUUACUCAAAUUAUAUAUCGGAUAGUCUUCCAUUUGCUUCACUCCUAAGAAUGUUCGAAUAGAUUUAGCUUUAGUGAUAGCCUCAAAAUUCUUAAAUGCAACAAGCCUCUCAUAAUCACUUUUAAAGUACAAAAAGUGGUGAGCCUUCUCAGAUACUUUCAGUAACUUAUCAUCCUCUUCCACUCGAGCACAAAAAUCUCCAGACACGUGUUGAGCCAAUUCGUGUAUUAGAUCAUGCAUUACAAAGCAUGAUCCUUUUGUUCCAAUAGAUUUUUGAAAGAAUGACUUGGCGAGAAGUUCAUUAAAAUAUGACUCACCUAUCUCUUCCAUUCUCCUUCCUUCGUUUUCUUGUGGAUGUAAAAGACCUUCUGCCAUCCAUAAUAAAAUCAGCUUCUCUUUGUUGAAUUGGUGGUCCUGGGGAAAAAUAGAACAAUAAGCAAAACAAUGCUUCAGAGGUAGAGAAAGAUGAUGGUAGCUUAAUCUCAAAGAUGGAAGAAUUUCGGAGCCACUCUGCCGCCAUAUGUCACUGUUCAACACAACGUUCCAUUCCCCUUUGUCGGCCUCCGAAUACAAGAGACGGCCGAGUACUUUCACAGCCAAAG
rnacentral:lncRNA from 1 species